rnacentral:lncRNA from 1 species
AAUUACCAACGGUGUAAUUCCAAAUCUUGAUAGCUCCAUGCUGAUCCCAGUCACCUUCAUGAACUUUGACUCCUUGAAUGUUUUUGGAGGUGGCGGUGGGCAAUUUGUGAGUUUCACUCCUCCAAAUCUUGAAGAACUUGUCAGCUGGUGCUUUCAGUUCGACUUCAGUCUCCAGUUUUCCCUUCAAAUUAGCCAUGUUGGCACAAAUAUUGAGACUCCAAAAUUCGCGAAGCUCGUUGGAACAAUGGCCUGUGCUGAGAAAAAAGAGGUGUGGCUUGCUUCUUAAAUUGACUUUGGCGUUUCGUCUCUUCUUCAGGUCCCACAGAUCACGGUUCAUGUGGUCCUUGACAUGUUUACUAAUUAUAUCGACGUGUCAAAUUGCUAUUGGAGUGCUUUAUAAAAUGUAUUUUGGACCAAUAAAAAGAUAUGCCUGAUCAAUUAUGACCGUGGCCUGUUGAUAAUGGAUGCAAUUCAAGCCGUACAUUUUUUUUGGUCAUUAGCAAUUAAAUGUCUAAUUCAUACAUUUCUAAUAUUCUCAUAAUGAGCUCUAAUACUCUAUGAAAGUUGCCCGUUGAAUUCAUCUUCUAAUCUGAUUGAUCUGCCAAGGUCAACUUAAGAUUAUACCCAAUGCAUAAUAUAAAGAAAGAGGUCAAUUACCUGGCCUAUAGGUGGACUCAAGGUAUAUUCGGUGAGUUAGAAGAUGCCUUCAUCAUUUCUUUAAAAUAUUAUUAUGAUGUGCACUUUAAAAUAUUAUUAUGAUGUGCAUGUGAGGGUGUUAAGCGAAAAACGUUCCAUAUUUGGCAUAUAAAUCAUUAUUUUAAUUUUUUUAAGUCGAGUUGAGCCUAACUAGAUAAUGUAUAUAUUGGUAGGUGUAGAUUUAAGGUCUCUCUUGAGGAUCUCCAUAGGUGAAGAUAUCGGAGUUAUAUUGUGCAUCUCAACAGGUGUUUUCUCAAAAUGAGAAUUUACAAUGUGACUCUUUGAUCGUGGUGGUAGAUGGUAUCCCUCGCUUCUUCCCAAGUUUAAUUGGGCAAAGGCGAGUGAGGUAGAGUCAGAAGGGCAAACAUUAUUCAUGCAACCAUUAGCCAAAACUAAUGAGGCAAGGUAGAGAUUCAAGUUGAGAAUGUUUUUUUUUUGGUAAAGGUAAGAUAAAUAAUAAGAAAAGCCAAAUGUACAAAAGAUCUCGUCACCAGAACUUGCACUCCAAAUGUAGUAACAAAAGAAGUGGAAGGGUGACGAGAUGCAAAAGCCGCAGAGGCGGCACAACAACUACAACAACAAGGCCAAACUAAGCACGACUAGCUCGACCAGCUAUCAAGCAAAGACAAAAAACAAAGAGGAGGCCAUCGUCUGAUCUAGGACCUAAGGGUCCCCAUUGAAAAUAAUCGGGUCUAGACUCCAACUUCUCUGCAGCCUUCUGUUUCUGAAAUUGUCUUCAACGUUCCUGAAGGUGAUAGCCUUGUCGCGAACCACUUUAAAGAGGUGGUUUUUAAUGGCCGGAAUAGAGAGAGGCUGGUCUCUAAAGAUGAUGGCAUUCCUAUUUUUCCAAAUGAUAUGACACAGCGCGCCAAAUGAAAAACGGGCUAUGCACUUAUAGAAAUCUUUCCCCAUCAAAUAGGUAGUUGCCCAUAUGAAAUUCUCCCCCCAACCUCUGUUGCGCCAGGGUAAAUUGCAUCUGGACGCCCAAAAGAAGGCAACACUAGCCGUGACACAGCAGUCAAAAAACAAGUGGUCAAGAGAGUCAGGCACAUUCUUGCAAAAUGCACAGGUAGCAUUUCCAAUAAUACCAUAGGCCAAAAGUAGAUCCUGGGUUGGAAGCCUACGUCUGGCCAUGAGCCAAAGAUUGAGCUGAUAUCGAGGCACUAUGGCGUUGUCCCAUACAAAGGAGUACCAGUGGACCCGCGUCUUCUUCUUCCUGAUGAAGUUCCACGCCGAUGCCAUAGUGAAUUGGCCCGAAGAGCUUCCUCGCCAACAGCAACGAUCCGGGUCAUUCGUCAGGGUCGGAAGAGGUUGCCCCCACGAUUGAAGCACCAAUCUAAGAGCUUGGCCAGCAUCUGAGAAGAGGUCAGCAACACAAGCUUGUCUAGAGAGCCCUGAGCUAUAGAUAAGAGAGUCUGAAAAGAACAGGUUCAAGGGCCCUCUAGGAUGCCAGUUGUCAAACCACAGAGAGGUUGUUUGGCCAUCGCCAAUUUUCCAGACGAAGGCCAUCCUAAAAUUCCUUCUUAGGGUCAACAAGCUCUUCCAGGCCCAGGAGCUAGAAGUUGGCUUCCUAGCAACCCAAAAAUUCUUGUUUUUUAAGAACGUGGAAUGGACCCAUCUACACCAUAGCGCUUCCUUGUCGGAGAACAAGAUCCAAAUAUGCUUUAGCAUGUAGGCUUUAUUGCAAUCUUGGAGCCUCCUAACACCUAGCCCUCCUUCAUCCUUUGGAAGGCAAACGUCAUCCCAGGCUACCUUCGCACCACCCCUGCCUAGGUCCGGACCUUUCCAUAGGAAUUGUCUAAAUAUUUUCUCUAUCUGUUCUAUCACAGCUGAAGGUAAGACAAAGACACUAGCCCAGUAGGCUUGUAUAGCAUGAAGAACUGACUUGAUAAGCUGAAGCCGACCAGCAAUAGAGAGGAAACGGUGAGUCCAAGACUGAACCCUUGCAGUGAUGCGAUUGACCAGGGUACAACAAUCUGCUUUAUUGAUUCUCGAAGUGAUAAUGGGAACCCCCAGGUACCGAACUGGCAGGCUUCCUUCUCGAAAGCCCAACUCCAAUAGAAUAUUAUUCCUUAGGGAAGGAUUGCCACCCGCCAAGAAAAUUUCACUCUUGCACGAGUUAGGACGAAGGCCACUCCAGGAGGAAAAUAUGUUUAGAGCUUCCUUAAGGAGAGUUACCGAAGGAAGGUGCGCCUCACAAAAAAGGAAGACAUCAUCUGCAAAGAAUAGAUGUGAAAGACCCACUGCCCUGCACCUCCAAAAGAAUUUGAAAUCAGGUCUCGAGGAUUGCUUAAGAAUGAUCCCUGAGAGCACUUCCAUGACCAUAGUGAAAAGGUAAGGCGAGAUGGGAUCCCCUUGGCGAAGACCUCGACCGCUCGCAAAAAACCCGUGGAGCUCUCCAUUCAAAGCAAUUGAGAAUUUAGGAGUGCGAACACACGUCAUAAUUAGGCUAGUGACAGAGUGAGGAAAGCCAAAGGCUAGCAUCACAUUCUCAAGGAAGCUCCAAUCCACCGUAUCAUAUGCUUUCCUGAAGUCCACCUUUAUCGCACAUUUAGGUAGAUAAGGCUGAAGGUGAAAGCUAGAGAAUAGCUCCUGGGCCAGUAAUAUAUUGUCCCUAAUUCGUCUACCUUUUAUAAAAGCAGUCUGAAAAGGGCCUAUCAUGUUCUUCAAAGCUAGGGCCACCCGAUUAGCUAGCACCUUUGUAAUACACUUGUAGAUAGUGUUACAACAGGCGAUAGGUCUAUAAUCCUCCACAGAAGUGGCGUUGAGCACUUUCGGAACCAUUACCAAGAUGGUAUUGUUAACCUCCCUCAAGAGUUUUCCGGAGUUAAAGAAGUCCAACACUGCAGUCGUUACUAAGGGACCUACCGUGUCCCAGUUUUCUUUGAAAAACUCCGCUGUGAAACCAUCUGGCCCAGGAGCCUUUUUCUUGGGCAAAGAGAAGAUAGUGUUCCGGAUCUCUAUCUCUGUAACUGGUUGAGCAAGAAGAGCAGCCUGAUCAAUCGAAAGUGGAUGUUGGAUAACCUCUCUCAAGUCCUCUAACGAAGGUCUAAUAAUCUCCUCUUGUGGCAUCAAGAGGUCCUCAAAGAACUCUACAAACCUUCGUUGCACCAGGUGUGGCUCCGUCAGUAUGUUCCCCGAAGAGUCGAGGACGGAUAGGACUCUGUUCCUCAACUGUCUUUUGUUGACAUAUUGAUGGAAGAAUUUGGUAUUUCGGUCUCCCUCCUUGAGCCAUCUAACCCUGGACUUUUGCCUGUAGAAGGACUCUUCCGAGGAGCGCAGCUCUGCAAAGAUACAUCUUUGGCUUUUCUCCACUUCAGCAAGGUCGGUAGAAAAGGGAUUUAGUUGUAAUUCUGCUUGGGUGGCCUCCAUCAUCUUCCGCGCAUCAAGAGUUCUAGCAGAUAUAUUAGAGAAGGAAUCUCUGUUGAGUUGCUUAAGCCGACAUUUGAGAGCCUUGAGUUUAGAGACAAGCUUGUACAUAGGGAAACCAUUCCCCGGCUCAUUCCACACUUGUGAGACAAUUUCUUUGAACUCCGGGUGCUUCAUCCAGAAGUCGAAGAACUUGAAGGGCUUCCUUGUAUGAGUCGGAUUAAGAAUCUUCACCACCAUAGGCGAGUGGUCUGAGAUUCCAGGAGGAAGGAAGGAGGCUUCAGAGUAAGAUAGAUCCAAGCUCCACUUUGCAUUCACUAGAACCCUGUCAAUCUUCCUUGCUUUCCUAGUAUGCCCUGAAGACGUAGUCCAAGUGUAUCUAAACCCAACGAACCUCAAGUCUUCUAGCUCAGCUUGCUCCAAGCACUGUCCAAACUCAUUGAAACAAGGGAGCCAAUCUUCGGAGCCACCGACCCGGUCCGAUGGAUCCUUAAUAGCAUUGAAGUCCCCCAAGACAAGCCAAGGAGUGUCUCGGAGAUGGGUGCUUUUCAUGAUGAUGUCUUCCCACAGCGGUCUCCUCAGCGAAAAGGAGUGAUCUCCAUAAACAAAAGAAACACAGCAAGCCACCCCAGAGUCUAGGGUCUCAAGGUUCCCAUGAAUUGCCUGCUUGGAAAGAGAGAAGGUUUCAAACUUGACUCUCAUGGGGUCCCAUCCGACCCAAAUUCUACCCCUGGGGAAGAAGUCAUAGUUUGCAGUCCAACACCAACCUCUCAAUAGAGCUUCGGAAAUGGAGUUAAAGCGAUCCUGUGGCACCUUAGUUUCCACCAAACCAACACAGCACAAGUGGUUCGAAGUAAUAAAAUUACGAAUCUCCGCUUGUCUAGUCGAAUCAACCAUACCUCUAAUAUUCCAGCAACCUAUAUACAUAUGUACAAAAGAGGAAACGAGGAAGGGUUACCUCCUUUUCGGAGGCUUGCGACGGCUCUGAGAGGGAGCCGCUCGAGCCGCUGGAGGAGGUGGGUCAGGAGGAAGCACGAGCGGCUUGUCCUGGGUGUUCUCCUCCAUGUUUUUCGUUGGAGAAGCCUUCGGCGAUAGAUCUGGAGGGGCCUUCGGUGAUUGACAAGGCGAGAGAAGAUCUUCAUCUGAGCUAAGGUGGUUGACAGACUCAUUCAAUUCCGCUCCACUCCCUAAGCCUGCAUCUGGAUGGCUAAUGGGAUCUUCCUCCAUUGUCGAGGUGUGGUCAUCCACACUAAUUAGUGCUUGAAACCCACUCUGAGCCCUCCGGGUGGAGGUUGAUGGCAAGCUUUUAAGAGCUGCUUCUGACUGCUUGAAAGGUGGUUCCUCUUCUCCAGAGCUUGAUGGAUGGUCUAAAUAUGUCUCCUUGGGAGGGGGAGAUUUGUUCUUCUUUCCCUUGACUUGUUUCCAUCCAAAAUCAGCCUCAUUCAGGUCUACCACCAGCAUUGGUGAAGUCUCAGAGGGGCGGGCCUCCACUGGUGGGGGGGGAGGAAUGGUCUGAACUUGUUUCUGGCCUUGCACCGCCUUCCGCCCAUUCAAAGAGGUUGCACAAUUGUGCCCAAAGGAGCCACACUUCAAGCAUUCCGCUGGCUUCCACUCGUACUCAAUGGCAAUCGACCGAACAACUCCGUUUAGUCUUACCCUGGUCAAGUAGAACCUUGGCUUGUUUACUUGAAUCUCCACACACACUCUUGCAAAAGAGAUCCUUUGAGAUUGCUCCGUGCGUUGAUCAACAAAUAACGGCUUGCCAAUGGUGCUCGCGAUGGCGCUAUUGCCGGGGCUGUCCAUAGGUCAAGAGGUAGGUUUUUCAAGCGAAUCCACACUGGCACCGAGGUUUGCUUCUCCCUCUUCAACUCUAGGAGCGGCUUCCAUUGUUGCAAAACAAGUGCAACCCUUGCAACCGUUAUAUGACCUUCUUCCAAAAUCUUCCUUCUGAACUCAGGGUCAGGGAUGCGGAAGAAAAAGAAACCCUGGUCAUCGGCAAAAACCUCAACAAGCUUCGGUCCCCAACAUAGCUUGAGCGAGUUCUCCGUGAGCUGGAACGGCAAACUCUUCCCUAUAUAAUAUCCAACCAGACACUCAUGCCAUUUGGGAUCCACCGCAUCUAACACUUCUUCAGGAAGAUCCACCACCGGGACAUCAUCCUCAAACGAGGGAGGAACAAAGGUAAGGUCAUACCCUUUCGCUGCAAGUUUCGCAACAUUCGCCCACGUCCGGACAGCCGGGGCGUCUGGUUUCUUCGCUUGUUUUUGCGAGGCUUGAGGCCCUUUGGAAGCCGACCUUGCUCUACUUCGUCCUCUCGAGCGCCUAUCCCUGCCUGUAGCUUUGGGACCACGGUUUGAGGUCUCUGCUAGUGCAGGAGCCUUGCCCGUGUGCAUGGAGGCCCGGGCCUCCUUGUCUCGAUUGAGGAGGCUAGACGUCCUCUCCGAUUCAUCCCUCAAUUGUGCCGUAUUACUCGGCUCACCACCCACAGCCAUUGGAGCAGCCAUAACACUACCUAACCAGCUAAACCCAGUCCUCUACACAUCAGCCAUCUAGAGAGUAAGAGACUAACCGUUCGGACGCCUCGCACCUCUCGGGUUGGCUGGACGCAGCAAGGACGGGGCAGGGAGGAGGACCAACAGACCGCUCAGGAGCAAGGCGGCUUACUUGAUGCCCUCUUCCCGCUUCAAUCAGGUCCGGGACGCACCAGCUCUGCUCCUCAAGGGCCGAGCAACGCAGCAACUCGGUGCAGGGCGCGGCACAGCAGGGGCGGAGCUGAGCCGCAGCACAGCGUCGAGCACCAGCAGCAGUUCGGUGCAGGGCACGGCACAGCAGAGGAGCACCAGCAACCGUUCAAUGAGCCGAGGGAAGCUUACCUAACGUUGUUGGGACGCCUGCGAAGCACAGACCCGAGCCGCACCAGUACCGCACCUCCAAGGGCCGAGCGGCGCAGCAGAAGGCGAUUUCCGAAGCUCAGAUCUCGCCGCAGGGAUGGAGAGAGUCUAAUCCGUUCGGUGAGGAGCGAGGGCCUUCCCAGAGGAGCUGAACCCCCAAUUUUCACGCCAAUCGGAGGUCUGGAUCGGCCGGAUCGAGCAGCUGACGCCGGCGAGCUACAGUUCAAAACCCCAGAGGAAGAGAGGCGAUGAACAGUACCCGUGCGAGCAUUUUGGCUUUUUGAUUUUCAUUUUGUUUGUUGUUGCAGGAUGGGAAAAUAUUGAAGCGGAGGUUAAACUUACCGGUAUUCUCAGUCUUGGGGCAUUGCAGCCUGGAGAAACUCGAAAAUACGGCACCACCAUUGCACCUGGGCUCUAUGCCCCAGUUCAUCAACAUUUCUUUGUGGCUUGGGUGGACAUGGCUGUUGAUUGUAAGCCUGGUGAAACCUUCAAUCAGGUAGUUUAUAAGCUUGAAACUUUUUGCGAUCCUUUACUUUUCCCUGGCAAUAAUUGGCUUUAUUUUUCCUGAUUGUUUGCCGCCUUCUUUUGGAAUUUCUGAACCAUAUCACCAUUCUGCUUUGAAUGUUAAAGAAAAAUCUGUUCUUUUAGUCAUAAAUGCAUUUGUUCAGAUACUGCAUGCUUGUCGUAUGAUAAUCCUGCAGUGUUAUCUCUAAUCUGCAAACCAUGCAUGUUUGUGCAGGCAUAAGGCAUAUCGAGAGUCAACUGGGACGGUUUCAUGCAGCCAUGGUGAACUUGCAGACCCAGUGGCUGCAGCGGAGGAAAUAGCUUUCUGUAGAGCAUGUGCUCGGUUUGGCUUAGGCCUGUAUCUUUAUCAUGAAGAGUAGACGCUGUAUGGAAUCAACCUAUAGACCAAGGGACAGAAAUGGUGUGGAUUGGGUACAAGAUGCUCCUAGAUGGAUUUUGUGGGAUUAUAGUCCACAGUUCUCUUUUAAACUAUUUGAUGAAGGCGAUUUUGACCCGGUACUAAGCAUGAGAGACACAUAAUAAGCAAGGAAAAUAAGGGGCAAAUAAGGGGCCUUAGGACCUCUUGCUCUAUUACUUUAUGAGUUUCGUGGAAGCCCCUCAUGGCCUAAGUCCGUUUACUCCUUGAUGGGAUAUUGACUCUGAUUGCGCUAAUUUUUUGGCCCCCGUUGGUCUCUUUAUGUUGGGUAUUUCGUCUCAUAGCGAUCUUUUCCCAGUUAGACAUCUCUAAAAAUUAUGCUCCUUUAAACAUAGCUAUUAAGCAUAGCUAUGUUUUUGGUUUGUUUGUUAGCUGUACUAUUGUGGGAGUACUUUUUCUAAACUUUCAAACUUUGUCAAUAUAAUCCAAAAAAAAUUGCAUGAGAUUCCAAUGAGUUCUUCCAGCCAAUCAAUAGAAUUAAAAAGUUUAAAAUUGAAGUGCAAUGAGUUUAGUUUUAGUUUAGGACUGAUUGAGCAGUUUUCUCAAGAUACGUGCUUCUCUCUCGUUCCGUUUCUUCGUUUCUUCCCACAUAUACUGCUCAAAAUUGCCUAAGGGCAUUGGGUGGCCAUAAGUCUUGUAUUUGCCAGCUCGUUCUUAUGGCAGUGCUCCUUCAGAAAAAGUCCAAAAGAGUUUUCGCCCAGCAACCAUACUUCUCUAUAUAUUAUCUCCUUGAGCCUUACAGGUCUGCCCCUAUCAUCGUGCUUUCUUUUUGGGAUGGUUACCAUCGUUUGUACAAGAAGUCAAACUGACCCUUAAAUAUUUCUAAGAAUCAAUGCCUUGGUAAGCUAAUGAAGAUGCGAGUAUUUCUGGCCAUUAGCCAUAAAUGCUGACCGGCGACUGCUAAUAGCUAACCACUUGAACGGCUGUCUUUUCAUUAGCAUAAGUAUUGAUAAGUAAUUGCAUUGAGAUGUUCUAUCUAAACCUUGACAAAAGGAAGAACUUCUCCUUAUGUAUUGCGACUCAGAUGGAUGCUAACUAUUGAUGACUGCAGGCGGUUGCAUUCAAACCUGUAAUUGAGGGAAACACUUGUAAUAUAGCUGAUCAGAGUGGUUCGGAAAAACGCCGGCUUAUCUUGCACCAGUAGUCCAACAUCUCAGGCAAGAAGAGCUGAAGGACUUAGCAAAUCAUUCUCACGAAGCCCUUGAAUUGUCAUUUUGGUGCCAGCUGUCGAGUUAGCUUCACAGGUUUGGCAGUUGGUAUCCAUUGCGGACACAUAUUUCCCUAGAUUCACAAGAUAGCUCGUCUGUCCUUCAUCAAACCAUCGGCCAGCACACUGCGAAACAAAUGUUUUCAGUAUUUGAUCAGAUCCCUUCCAAAUACGAGAAUCGCAGCACUAAUAUGCAAUUCAUAUCAACCAUGGGAGCACAGUGAUCAAACAGACGUGCAUUGCUCUCCAAUAGUAGGGGAGGAAGGACACCGCGUAGUUCUUAGAAUUCAUGCAAUAGUGGUAUAACUAGAGAAAAAAGGAAAGUGGAGCUUCCCACCAAGUUGACUUUCUAUGUUUGAUUCCAGUAAAUCAAGAAAUAGAGAAGAUAAUACAUAGGAUAUGGAAAAACCUCAAAUUGAAGGGCCUCCGAGAUUCUACGCCACAAGGCAGGCAUAGGACCACUCAGUACCCAUUGAGCAGUGCUUUAGGAUUGUUGCUUCAAGCCCUGAACGGUGUAGCCGGAGCCCCACUCGAAGUUGUCCAACAAUGACCAUUCCAAAUAAUCCUUCACGUUCCUAGUACAAACUUAUGAAAUUUGAGACUUUGUGCCCAAUUAUGAGAAGAAUCUUGCUUGAAAAUUUCUUACUUGAUUGCCUUCAGGAGAUGGGGAGUAAUAAUAAUCUAUUGGAUCCAUUCCUGACGAAUUCAACAACUCUACACUAUCGUUAAUUCUGUCAAAGAGCAACACAGGAAGCUCACGCUGGCUCUCAUGAAGAAGGCCAAGGAGAUUUGCGCUGCUCGAGGGGUAAUUCCUUCAAUUCCGUUUGAUUCUUUUUCAUGUUGGAACAAACGUGACGAUGGGGAUAGCACAUGCUUGGAGUCAUUGGAAUGAGCUUGCAUGUGGAUAAUUUGAAUUUGCACUUUGCUGUGAAAUUGAAGAACCCUUCCGCGGUAGGCCUUAAAGCAAUCAUCAUGUUGUUCAGGAAUAACAUCCUAAGAAACCUAAUUCAAAUUUAAAAUAGACUAAAUCAUGUAAUAGUCAUCCCCCGGCAGAUUAUUAUUAUUAUUAUGCCUAUAGUAAUUUUAACUACAAUGUUUGUGUUAAUAACUGUUUGGAUUAUGUUUAAUUUGAAUUAGGUAAAUAAGAAUAUCAUUUUGUGUGGACAGUGUUGUUACUACUAAGGCCAAGUCCCUUGUUUCGGGUAAGAUCCACCAUUUAAAAAAUUAUAUUCAAUUGCAAAAAGUUUUUUCUUUUUUUAAUACUAGACUAGAAUUGUAUUUUCGAAUUGAUAAAAGAGUAAACCUUUUUUCAUAAGAAAAUCAAUUCCAGUCAAAAAAGACGCCGUCACCCGGGGAGGGGGCACUGCGCACGGGGAGUUCCUUGGGGGCCUCACAAAAUUGUUGUGUUUUCUGUUGCUUCCCGCCUAAAAUUCAUCCUCUUCUUGGUCGCACCUCUCCUCCGAGCCUCCAAUCCCCUCGCCUCUCCUCUGCACCUCUCCUCCCAUUGAUCCCCAUUGAUCGCCAGCCAAACCUCUCCUCCGAUUGCCUGCCCGAGUCCACGCACUUGCCGCAUCCGAGUAAGCAUCCGAGUUCCUCCACAAUCAGUCAGCUUGUAAAUCUAUGGGCAAAUCUAUCGGCGAGCAUUUCUUGUUCUUCUCUCAUGUGAUUGGACGCUUGUGAUUGGUGAGCUUGUUCGGCAUCCUCGUUUCCCUCCGGAGAGAACGCUCGUGUGAUUUGGUAGCUUGCGAUUUUGUAGCCUGUGAUUUUCUAACCAUUAAUGGAGCUCCAGGUAAAUACAGAUCGUCCAAUGAGGUAAAUACAGAGGUAAAUACAGAUCAUCAGGAUUUAGGACUUAGGAGAAGAUCGUUGAGAUAUAGGAUGGAUUUAGGAACUGCUUGAAUUAGUGUGUUUAAGUGGUUUUUGCCUUCCUGUUUUGCGCCCUUUAAACUCUCUAAAGACUUUGAAUCUAAUAAAACGAAUAGAGAUCAAGCACGUCCGAACUUGAGAGUCAUUGUUUGUGCUUAGAUUGAUUUUUAUUAGGACAUGAACAUCCACAGUUCUACACAGCAAGAGUUUGAUUUCUGCCUUGAUUUCCCUAUUUAAUAAGUAGAUAGUUCAAAAAAUUUUCUCAUUGCCGUGGCUCGAAGAAUUGUCAGUAACAAUCAACCUUUUGAUCUCAAAUCUUUCUUUACUAAGUUAUGCAUAUCAAAUUACAACUGUAUAAUAUCCGUCAAUAUCCGUCUCAAGUCAUCUCUGUUCUUUUCUUAUAUUUCUGGGCCUUUUUUUUGGCAUCCGUUGUCGAUUCUAGCAAGUACAGCUACAGAGAAUUAGAAAUAGAAAGAGCUUCGGUGAUUUGAGUUUGGUGGUAUUGGAUGUUUGAGAGCCUGUUUUGCAUACUGAAUAUAUAUGCUCAAAUUGCUGGAGGGUCUUGAUGAAUUGAAGGAUGUAUUUUCAAAUGCAAAAGCUAAUGAACUUGUAAUGAGCUGUGCUUAUUUGUAAUUCUUUCCUGGAUGUGGCUCUUUAAGACCAGUGGAAUUGAUUUAGCAUCUGUGAAUUAGGCUUCUGUUAAUUGAAGGAGUAUGCAUUAGCAUUUUUAACCUCAACUGACAAUAUCUCUCAUUUUGAGCUGUUGUGCUUGGAUACUGGGUACAGAUGCUUGGGACUAUGAAAGGUGUAUCCAAGCUAUGUAGCUUAUGGAAACCGAGUGCCACUUUGAAGGGUCUAGGUGAUUUUAAUUCUUAAAUUUAAUGGUUAAGGUUUUUUUUUGUUAGAAUUAAAUAAUAUUUGUCUUCCAACAGGAAGUUUAUGCACCAGGACCCUAUACAACUCAUCCCCACCCCCACCCUCACCCUCACCCUUACCCUUUGGAAUACAACUCUAUACACAAAACGCACUUUGGUACUUAAGUGCCCAUCCUCAGAUGGCGGCAUCUCAGAUGGUGGUAUUUACCACAUAUACAUGGUGAGUGUCAUGCAUGAUAAGAAGGUUAGUGUCUCAAAUUUGUGUCUAAAUUUGUUAUAUAAAUAAUAUCUGGUCCCAUAAUGCCUAAAAACCGUUUGGUUGCAUUUGGUUGCAGGAAUCACAACUAAGAGUUCAAUCAAAGAUUUAAGCGGCGCAAACCAGACGUUAUAUUUUUAGAAUUAUGCAAAUCCCGAAGGUAUCUGCUUGAAGAGGUCCAGACUAGUGAAUUUUAUACUGGAUAUAUUUUUAGAAUUAUGCAAAUCCCGAAGGUAUCUGCUUGAAGAGGUCCAGACUAGUGAAUUUUAUACUGGAUGGAAAGAGGUCAAGAAGAAUAAGAUCAGAGUAGUUUUAUGGGAUUUAAGGUAUUUGCCUUGUCUUCUAGGGUCCCUGCUGCCGCCCCGCGUGAGCAUUCCUCCUGUAAGUGACGAACCAAGAGGGAUGCACACGCAGCGGAUGGCAACAGAACCAUAUAAGGCAGGCAUAGCUGAGAAAGAUGGGUGCAACAUGUUGAGAAGAUUCAAUACUUUUUACAGAGACAGCACUAAAGACUAUCAACUGUAACAAGAAAGAAUGUCUUAUGGGAGGAUGGUGCAGAUAGUGAGAGCGGUAUGGUGAUUUCAAGUCGUAGGGAGAGGGUUAAUGUGCAGGAGAUCACCANNNNNNNNNNNNNNNNNNNNNNNNNNNNNNNNNNNNNNNNNNNNNNNNNNNNNNNNNNNNNNNNNNNNNNNNNNNNNNNNNNNNNNNNNNNNNNNNNNNNACAGAUUUUAACAUCAAAACCUCUGGAAUCUUCACUCCAUUAUCUUUAAUCCAUUAAUCAAGCUCAUAUAAAUUCACAUACAAAAUCAUCCUCGGGGAAGUGGAGGUAUUUCAAUUCACAGUCAACUUUCUUACUAUGGCUACAGUCCUACUCACAUGCCAUAUCCCAACCCUAAUGUGAGGGGACGUCUUUACUCCUUUACUCAAGCUGUCACGUGAAUUCACAAUACUUCUAUGACAUCGUCCUCAACAAAAUGGAGAUACUCCAAUCUAUAAUCAACAUUCAUGCUAAGGUCGUACUCACAUGUCAUGUUUCAAUUCUAAUGCCAGGAGAAGUCUUCACUCCAUCACCCCCAAAUUCAUGAGAAAUGUGGUUAGGUGCGAAAAAUUCAAAAGAAGUGCAUUGUAGUUUAGAUUGGUACACAAGUUGAGCAGGAAGUUUCAAUUUCAUACUGUACUCUUCGUAUGUGAAAAAAGUCCGCCUGAUCUCAACUUUGGUAAUUUAUACCAAAUCAAUAUAGACGCGUGUUCAAAUUUUUUUAAUUUUCAAUGCUUGAGAACAUUUUGAACAACUCUAGCAAUCGCUUAGAAGCUGCAUCUCAUCAUCCACAGCGAAAUUGUGACGACAGCCACGAUACUAAGGUGGGACCAACGGCUCAAAUGAAUUUAGACCAAUUAUCGUAGAAACUUAUGAUUCAUACUACAUAGAUUCUUAAUUCUAGGAUGCUUCAUUUUUGGGCAGUUAGGCUAAAGCUCAAUAUGUGAAAAGUCACACGAGGAAUCGCCUAAAUUCCAAGAAAGUCACCUAAAAUGUGUCGGAAAAUCACCUGCAUCGGAUCCACUAUGAUACCAGAAUGUAAUCCUUAUUCAAGUUAAUCUAAUUUGUAUCCUAAUAUCGUCUACUGCAACUAAAUUUCAGCAUCUCUAUAUAUCGAAGUGUAUAGGUAAACGCACUCAAAGUCCAACCACAUAUUAAGCUCUUAAUGUGAUUGGAAAUUGCGAAUAUUAAUCGAUGGAGGGAUCAAAUUAAAGCAUGUAUCAACUUCCCCAUAACCAUAUCAUAUUGCAAAAACCACGAGUGUCUUAUUACAAGCACAAUUAAACGUGAACACAAAACAAGAUUCUGAUAUUGCCAAAACCCAAGUCAACUUCGCAUCAACUGAUCAUUUAGCUUGAUUUAUUGGGUCUAGAUACAUGAAAGUACUAGAAAUCUCAAGCAUAAUAUAGCACAACUUCACACAUGAUCACGGUCAUGCCAUGAUCUUUUACUUCAUGCACUUAAAACGUGAGCUUCGAUGUCCUUGACCAUGUCGAUGAAGAAGGGCAUGUACUUGUCAGGGUUAGGGUCGCUCUCCUUGUACUUCUCAUACUCGAUGCUCAGCUUGGCUAGACUGCCUUGCUCCUUUGGAAUGACUUUGCAUGCCGGCUUGAAGACCUUCCAUGUGUCAAAGACGUGGCACUCGAUGCCGUGCAGGGUGAACGACAUGUUGUCAUCAUCAAACUCGACCUUCUCUUUGAGCACUUCGGAUUUUCCUUCUACACAAUUGCACCGACAAAAAUAGAAGGUUUAAGUUAGGCGGGGUCAUCAAUUUAAUUUCAAUGACAACAUGGAAUAAAAUUGAUAAUUAGAGAGAUCAGAUUGAACCAAUUACCGACGGUGUAAUUCCAAAUCUUGAUAGCUCCAUGCUGAUCCCAGUCACCUUCAUGAACUUUGACUCCUUGAAUGUUUUUGGAGGUGGCGGUGGGCAAUUUGUGGGUUUCACUCCUCCAAAUCUUGAAGAACUUGUCAGCUGGUGCUUUCAGUUCGACUUCAGUCUCCAGUUUUCCCUUCAAAUUAGCCAUGUUGGCACAAAUAUUGAGACUCCAAAAUUCGCGAAGCUCGUUGGAACAAUGGGUUGUGCUGAGAAAAAAGAGGUGUCGCUUGCUUCUUAAAUUGACUUUGGCGUUUCGUCUCUUCUUCAGGUCCCACACAUCAUGUUUCAUGUGGUCCUUGACAUGUUUACUAAUUAUAUCGACGUGUCAAAUUGCUAUUGGAGUGCUUUAUAAAAUGUAUUUUGGACCAAUAAAAAGAUAUGCCUGAUCAAUUAUGACCGUGGCCUGUUAAUAAUGGAUGCAAUUCAAGCCAUACAUUUUUUUUCGGUCAUUAGCAAUUAAAUGUCUAAUUCAUACAUUUCUAAUAUUCUCAUAAUGAGCUCUAAUACUCUAUGAAAGUUGCCCGUUGAAUUCAUCUUCUAAUCUGAUUGAUCUGCCAAGGUCAACUUAAGAUUAUACCGAAUGCAUAAUAUAAAGAAAGAGGUCAAUUACCUGGCCUAUAGGCGGACUCAAGGUAUAUUCGGUGAGUUAGAAGAUGCCUUCAUCAUUUCUUUAAAAUAUUAUUAUGAUGUGCAUGUGAGGGUGUUAAGCGAAAAACGUUCCAUAUUUGGCAUAUAAUUCAGUAUUUUAUUUUAUUUUAAGUUGAGCUGAGCCUAACUAGAUAAUGUAUAUAUUGGUAGGUGUAGAUUUAAGGUCUCUCUUGAGGAUCUCCAUAGGUGAAGAUAUCGGAGUUAUAUUGUGCAUCUCAACAGGUGUUUUCUCAAAAUGAGAAUUUACAAUGUGACUCAUUGAUCAUGGUGGUAGAUGGUAUCCCUCGCUUCUUCCCAAGUUUAAUUGGGCAAAGGCGAUUGAGGUAGAGUCAGAAGGGCAAACAUUAGUCAUGCAACCAUUAGCCAAAACUAGUGAGGCAAGGUAGAGAUUCAAGUUGAGAAUGUUGGUAUGGAAGGAUAUUUAAAUUAAAGAGGAGCUAGCCUAAUGCAAAAGAGUCACGUGUGGAGAGAGAUUUGUUUAAGUGGAUGUGUGAAGGUUUUAGGUGUAAAAAGUUUCUCUUAUGCUUUCUUCCCUCAAAUACCAAAUCUUUCUUUCUCUCUUUUUUUCCUUCCCCCCCCCCCCCCACAAGGCAUGAUUCAUGUGACACUUGGUAUUCUUUUUCAUGUCUUAGUCAAUCUACUAGCUAAUCGGUUUAUUAAAUGUCCAUGUGCAUUACAAAAAACAAAUCUUAUUUAGUCAAUAGCUCAUAAAUAUUCACAAAUCGUACGACUUUAAUCAUAUAAUAUUUAGCUAAUUGUAUAGAUUAGCAAAUUUUAUUGAUCUAGCACAUUGUCCAAAUCUUUCACCAAGAAAAAACAAGGAUUAUUACCUUAAACCCACUUGUCAAAGAGAUAAUCUUUUCUUAGAGUGGAAAAAUCAUCCCUAACGUGUACUUGCGUUCCAUAGUUGAAAUGGAAGGAUUUACAUUGUUUUAUGUAUGUAUGUCAAACUUUGAUUAGCCAAUUUGGUCGAAACUCCAAAGGUGCGAUCAUUGUUUUAUGCGUAUACGUACAUCCAUCACACACAUAUAUGCAUGUGGGAAAUUGUUGUCAUGGCCAAAGGAAAAAAAAAAAAGUUGGAACGUGGAAGCUGUGUGAUAAAUUGUCACAUCAUCUCAAAGUAUCGAUACAACGUAAAUGGAUAAACAAAAAUUUAGAAACCGAGUUCGUAAAUACGAGAAAAAUCUUGCAAGCGCACAACUUUGCAUGAAAACAAAGGAAUUCACUCUCUAAAUGUAUUAUAAUUAAGGAUGAAAAAGCUUUUUGUUCUCCAGACAAGAAAUUUAUUCAUGAUAGAGAAAGUUGUAACCUUAAAAGGAUAAAAUAUCUAAUUCAUAUCUUUACCAAAAAAUAUAUAUAUAUAUAUCUAAUUCAUAUUGCAAAAUAGCAGCAAGUUGAAAUUUUUAUAUUAACCACCGGGGUUUGCCUCAAUAGCCACCCUUCUCACCUGAGAAGAGAGAUGUGGAGGGUUCAAAUCCUCAUUUUCUUGAAUAGGUUGGGCUGGGGACAAUUAACUUCAUGUAUAUAUUUUGACUCUCACGUCUUAUUAAGAGAUAUGAGAAAAGUAUGAGAGUGAGUUGAAAGUUAAAGUAGGACUAAUCGAAAAAAAUCUCUAUUUUGAAAAAAUGGAUGUCCUAAACUAACUAGCCAGUACUAAUUCUAAAAUCUUAUCUUCUUAAACACUCACAUGUAAGUCUUCAUCGAAUCUCAAUAUGUAUUCUUACAAAUUCGUGCGUUAUACAUAGCAUGAACUUUCAUGCUUGUCCCAAGCCUAAUGUGAGGUUAUAUAUUUACUUCUUAAUGAACAUAUCAUACCAAUUGACAAUAUUUCUACAAAAUCAUCCUUGGAAAAAUGGAGGUUACUCCAAUUAAUAGUCAACUUUCAUGUUGUAGUCAUACUCACAUGUUAUAUCUCGUCCCCAUUGCGAGGAGAUGUCUUCACUCCAUCACUCAAGCAAUCACAAGAAUUGACGAUACUUCUACAAAUUCGUCCUUUGGGAAAGGGGAGGUAAUUCUUUGCCACUGCGAAGAUUUUAAGAAAAGGAGCUAGCUUGGCAAAUGAACUCUCUUUCGGUGAAACAUGAAAAGAACACGAUAUAACAGUCAAAAUAAUAAUAAUCAUACGUAAUUCAGUUUGCAUCCUCGACUUUUGAAUUAUAGAUCUUGUACCCUGAGAUAAAAACGUAAGCAAUCAGGGGGUCUAAACAGCUAUGUAAAAUAGACAAGGCAAAGUUUGGGUUUUUUUUUCUUUUUUUAUGAGAAAAAAAUGUGCACAGUGCAGUAAUUUUGAUAUUAUUGAAAUAACUGGACGAAUACAAAUUAAUGGGAAAAUUAAGUAUCACUUUCGUAAUUCUAAGAUACUCUAUGGUACGAAUGAAUGAUAGAUUGAACAAUAAACGGAAAGAAUUUUACGCUUGGUGCAAGCAGCAAGAAAUUUAAGGUGAGUGCAAGAAAGAAAAUGGAACUAGAAAAUGGUUGAAAAUAAGCGUGACUCGGAUAUCAUACUAAAUGAUCCAGCUUAGAAAUCAGAAGGUUUAAUCAAGUGGUAAGCUUGUUCGUCCUUUUUUAUUCAGGACUUGAAUUUGAAUCGCUAUGUUUGCACAUUCUUCCAGGACCACUCCAAAGAACAUAGACCAACGUGUCUCGAAUAAUUACACACCCAAAAUAGGUGGUAUAAGAGGACUGUCACGCAUGGUAAGAAUAAGUUAGAUGUUCAAAACAUUCUGGACAUCCCAUUAAGUUCUGAAAAUAAUAAAGCACCAACAAUUAAAUGGUCGACAAGGCGAUGCAAAUUUUAACUAUCGUAAAAUAAAGAUUAAAUAGCGAAGUGAAUUACCACCCUAACAUAAAAAGGAUGAAUUCAUAAAAAAAAUUUCCUCCUCCGGCAAGAUCCUAAAUCUUCUCCGUUGGGAUGAUCCAAAGGAAUGGGGCAGAGUCGAUGUGGCCUUCCUUUGGGCUCAAGAUUCGAAAUUCAAGAAACUUAACUUUACUUAGGAAAAAAAAUCAAAUCGAUAUAGCCUCCAUCGUUUCGCAAAAAAAAAAAAAAAAUCAUUUUUCAAUAAAUAAUAGUAUUUUUUGGUAUUUGGCUGAAAUCUUAAAUGAAUUGGAAUAUAUUUUCCGUCGUUUGGUAGGAUAAUUAGAUUUUGAAGGAAAAUAUUACCCAAAAAAUCGAAUUUUUAAUUAUUUUUUCUCUCUUUUUUUUCCUUCUUCCUUGGCAAGUGGCCGACCAUGAUGAUGGCCACUAGCCACAAGCAAGAGACAAGCUCACUAGCCUUGGGUAAGCUUGUCCCUCAAUGAAGAAGGAAAAGGAAAAGAAAAAACAAAAAAAAAAAGAGAGCAAAAAAAUAAUUAAAAACAUGAUUUUUUAAAAAUAUUUUUAUAAGAAUGAAUAAUUCAUUAAUCAAGAACUCAAGCCCGAGCAGUGAGGACCCGCACAUGGCCUUUGUGGACCAGAGCUCGAGUAUGGAGGACUCGAGCAUCUCCCUUAUAGACUUAGGCAAAAGUGCCGAAGAAUCAAGCAUGGGCACUAGGGGUUUGGGCACAGCCUCAAUGGACCCGGGCAUGGGCCCAAGCCCAACCACCGGAGACCUAACGUUAGAGCUUUCAUGUCCAGGUAUAGAAUUUAUGGUCCAAACGCAAAUAUUUACUAGUUUUUCAAAGAGGGAAAUCAUUGUCCUAAAUUUAAGCACGGUUUUCCAUGGAUUAGGAGAAUGUUUUUUCUGAAAAUGUUUCCUGCAAAAGAAAGAAGGCCUUGAAAUUAGUUAAUCUUUCCACAAGUGGAAAUUAUAGCAUUCCUCGCAUAUCGAGUAAUAAUUGUCCUUGAACCAAAUAUAGUCCAGGCAUAGCAGAAAUCUAGAGGACGGACAUGUCUACUUUCAGAAUUAAUAACAUCAUGACUUUGUUUCGCUUUCAGUAUAUAGGAUUACGGAAAUCUAUCUUUAGAAAGAUAUGCGCCACCACUUGAACUAUUUUUAGGAUCACGUGGUAAGUAAUAGCACAUCAACAUAGUCGCAUGUAAGAUUUUCAAUUUUCAAUGCUUGACAACAUUAAGAACAACUCAAGCAAUCGCUUGUAAGCUGCACCUCACAUUUGACAGCGAAAUUGCAACGAUAAUCACGAUAUUAAGGUGCGGGCCAAAAGUUAUUGAAGAAUAUUACGAUUCAUGCAACAAAGAUUCUUGAUUAUAGGAUAUUUUCUUUUCUGGUCAAUUAGGCUAAAGCUCAAUAUGUGAAAAAUCACCCGAGGAACAAUCUAAAAUUCCCAAAAAGUCUCCAGAAUAUGUCUAAAAAUCGUGUGCAUCAAAUCAUCUACACUACAGAAAUAUAAUCUUUAUUCAAUUUUAAUCAAUUUGUAUUUCGAUGCUGUUUAUUGCGAUUAAAUUCAGGUAUCAACAUGAUGCGAUUACUCUAUGUAUUCUCAUGCGCAAUUGAAAUGGUCAAGUAAACACGCCCAAAGUCCACAUCUUGGACAGUAAUCUGCGGAGGGAUCAAAUCAAAGGAUGUACUACCUUACCCCAAACAAAUAAUUUUGCAAAAACCACGAGUGUCUUAUUACAAGCACAAUUACACAUGAAGACAAUAUACCAAAUCUCAUAUUCCCAAACACAACUAAACUUCACAUCACCCGAUCGACCAGCUUGAUUUAUUGGAUCAUCCCGAUACAUGGAAGUAUCAGAAAUCUCAAGCAUUAUAUAGCGAAACUUCAUAUACGAUAAUAGUCAUGCCAUGAUCCUUUCCUUCAUGCGCUUGCGAGGUGAGCAUCGAUAUCCUUGGUCAUAUCGAUGACCACGGCCAUGUACUUGUCGGGGCUAGGGUCACUCUCCUUGUACUUCUCGUACUCGAUGCUCAGCUUGGCCACACUGCCUUGCACUUUUGGGACGACUUUGCACCCCACCUUGUAGACCUUCCACGUGUCCAGGAUAUGGCCCUCGAUGCCGUGCAGGGUGAACGACAUGUUGUCAUCAUCGAACUCGACCUUCUCUUUGAACACUUCGGAUUUUCCUUCUAUAUAAUCGCACCAGCAAAAAUAUAAGGUUCGAGUUAGGCACGGCCGUCAAUUUAAUUUCAAUGACAACAUGGAAUAAAACUGAUAAUUAGACAGAUCAAAUUGAACCAAUUACCAACGGUGUAAUUCCAAGUCUUGAUAGCUCCAUGCUGAUCCCAGUCACCUUCAUGAACUUUGAUUCCUUGAAUGUUUUUGGAGGUGGCGGUGGGCAUUUUGUGGGUUUCACUCCUCCAAAUCUUGUAGAACUUGUCAGCUGGUGCUUUCAGUUCGACUUCAGCCACCAGUCUUCCCUGCAAAUUAGCCAUGUUGGCACAAAUAUUGAGACUUCAAAAUUCACCAAGUUCGUUAGAACACUGGCCUGCGUUGAGAAAAAAGUAGCGUUACUUGUUUCUUAUAUAGACUUUGGCGUUCAUUUUCGUCUCUACUUCAGGUCCCACACAUCAUGAUUCACAUGGUCCUUGAUAUGUUCAUCAAUUAUAUCUCCCUGUCAAAUUGUUAUUGGUUUAUAAAAUGUAUUUUGGACCAAUAAAAAGAUAUGACCGAGCGAUUACAGCUGUGGCCUGUCAAAUAAUUGAAGCAAUUCAAGACUUCUAUCUAUAUCGGUCAUCAGAAAUUAAAGGCCUAAUUCAUUCAUUUCUUAUUUUCUCAUAAUGAGUUCCAAUAUUCUAUGAAAGUUGCGAGUGGAAAUCAUCUUCUACUCUGAUUGAUCUGCCCAGGUAAACUUAAGAUUAUACCCGAUGCAUAAAAUAAUGAAAGAGGUAACUUACCUGGCCUACAGGUGGACUCUCAGGUGUAUUUGGUGAGUUAUAAGAUGCCUUCAUCAUUUCUCUAUAUUAUUAUGAUGAUGCGCAUGAGAGGGUGUUAAAGCCAAAAAAAGGUUUUAUAUUUGACAUAUAAUUCAUUAGUUUUAAUUUUUUAAGUGGAGAUGAGCCUAACUAGAUAAUAGAUGUAUUGAUAGGCGUAGAUUUGGGGUCUCUCUUGAUACAGGUGAAGAUAUCAGAGUUAUGUUGCACAUCUCAAUGAGUGUUUUCUCAAAAUAAGAAUUUACAAUGUGACUCUUUGAUCGUGGUGGUAGAUGGUAUCCCUUGCUUCUUGCCAAGUUUAAUUGGGCAAAAGCGAUUGAGGUAAAGUCAGAAGGACAAACGUUAUUCACGCAAAUUUGGCAAGGCCAAGGUAGAGAUUCGAGUUAAGAAUAUUGGUACAGAAGGACCUUUGAAUUAAGGAGGAGCUAGCCUAAGGAAGAGACUCAUGCUUGGAGGGAGAUUUGUUUAAGUGGAUGUGUGAAGGUAUUAGGUGAAAAAAGUCUCACUUCAGUUGAUAAGGUGUAAGAUGGAGCAAUUUAUUUGGCUCAAUAAAUAAUUGGUUUAAGCUUUUGAAGGUGCAGAUGAGUCUAACUAGAUAAAUUGAUAGGCUCAGAAUUGGGCUCUCUCAAGAUGUGGUGUAAAGUGAGCAAUUAAUUUAGCCGACUAACUCAUUGGUUCAAGUUUUCGGAGUGGAGAUUGAUAAUGCUAGUACGAGUACCUAGAGGGGGGGUGAAUAGGUUUAUAAAAUUUCUUGAAGAUUGCACAAUACUUAGACAGAUGAAUGAUUAAAGAAUCAAUCGUAAGACUGAGUAAAGGAAAGAGAGAAUUAAACACGAGGUUUAUAGUGGUUCGGCUUGAUUCAAGCAUACGUCCACUCUUCUGCACUGACAGCCGAUUGGCUGGAUUCCACUAUGAACAAAGAGAUGUUACAGUGUUGAUCUUCCUUGAUUUCUCGAUGUAGAUGAUCUACUACACUCGCUCAAGGUAUCACCAAGUAUAAACACUCUCUGUGUGUACAAUUUCGCUCGAACUGUAUCGACUAACAAUCAAGGUUCUUCAGACUCUGGAAUUUUUCUAUCGAUCACACACUUAAAACAACUACAACGUCUUCCUUUUAUACUCCUUUAUGUCAUCAUAGCCGUUGGCACUUACCAAAGGAAUUCCUCCAACCUACCCGUUGGUCGGAAUCAAUUAAGAAGAUCAUCCGAGCUAUUUAAGGAAUCUGAUGAUAGCCCAUCAAUCAUGUUCGCCCAUACAAUCAGGAUUUUGGUUUCCAAGAAUAGAACAUUCCAAGAAUGUUUCGUCGACCAUCGGAUCUUCUAUUGUUCUUAAAUGAGAAUCAAAAAAUCCGUAGUGAUUAUCCAACCAAGGGAUCUUUUCCAGAGGAUUGGAUCGAAUCCCCAACCAUAUACUUCGGCUUCGGAUAUCCUUCGCCACUGGAUUAAGAAGACUGUCGGUGAGAAUAAUCUUGAGUCUUGAGUCUUGAGUCUUGAGUCUUGAGAUUACAAAGUCUUGAGACUUUAACUAUCGAUAUCCAGACUAGACUGAUAGAAAGCAAUUAAUUUAGCCGACUAACUCAUUGGUUCAAGUUUUCGGAGUGGAGAUAAGUCUAAUUAGAAGUAUUGAUGGGUUUGGAGUUGGACUCUCUCUUCUCCAUCUCCCCAAGUGAAGGUAUUAAGCUGCUUCUUUUACACUCCUAACAAUUGUUACACAUUAAUAUACUAAAUAUACUAAGAUCAGUCUAUAAAGUUUUGUACACUAAGCGACAAGACGGAGUGUAAGUAAACAUAUAAUCAAGUUGAUCAUUGUCCAGACCCAAUAAAAAGCCUGUCAUGUCGUAUAGUAUACAAUUUUGUGUUAUUGUCUCAAUAUACUUAGCCACAAAAAAGUCGACCAUUGAUGCUUGACCGACCAUUUCAAGAAAAAAUUUCAACACAAGACUUAAUGGAGAGACCGUAUACUCCAAAUUGACCAUAAGAGGCCAUUCUACCCUCCACGCACAAUUGCCAAAAACACUGGUGGAUGGAUGCUUGCUUUAGUUGACCAACAUUUCCCGGAUAUAAGAGUUAACCAACAAUUGUAGCAAACUAGUUGAAGAUUGUUUGGUAGGCACUUGCAACCUUACCCUCUUGAUGAAGGAUCUGUGGUUCACAAUCUCCAUUACGGACGCGGUGCUCAUGUUUUUUGGCAUCCAUUUUGUUAUGUUUUGCUAUGAGAGGACAGGACAACUGCAUUUAAUUACGGUCUUGGAGUGGUGUCUUAUGAUCGAGUACUUUUUCUAUAUAAUGUGGCUGUUGAUUGGUUUUCAAUCGCGGCAAAUUGCUUGAUCCAAAUUAGGGUUCGAAGAAUUUUGAUAAUGGCUUGAUCUGUCUGAAUUAUGGUUUAUAUGUAGGGCAAAACAUAAAGACCAUGUUGUUUAGGAGGCACACUAGCUAGCCGCGUCAACUUGGGAAAUUAAUAAAAUAUUGUCAUGUCAAAUUUCCAGCAUCCAAAAUUGAAAUUGUUACUCAAGUGAUUCGACGAAACACAAGUGUCAUAACUUUCGUGCUAAAGUGAUAUACCUUUUGUUUCAACCAUUUGAAUCGAAAUAAAAAAAGAUGGUGGACUUUAAAUAACCAUAUUUUGCUUUUUGAAACCCCAAUCAAUCUUCAAGACACCAAAAAAAAAAAAAAAAAAUUAAGGGCUAAUCAACGGCCUUAGUCUUACCUGCAAUGUAUUCCAAAUCUUAUAUAAUAUCUUAGCUGGCGAUUUCAGCUCCAAUUCGCCAUGCAAUGUCAUUUUGCGUUUUCGAAACGAAGAGUUAACUAAAGUUCAAAAUAUGAACGCUCAUGUGCAAACAAGUUAGCAUGGAUACACUUCAUAUGUAUAGAUGAUGAAGGCCCCCGAUUGCCAUUAUUUAUGUUUCUACAGGGCCGUGCAAGGCAUGAUUCAUGUGAUCCUUGGUAUUCGUUUUCAUGUUUUAGUCAACCUUCUAACUAAUCGGUUUAUUAAAUGAGCAUGCGCAUUGCCAAAAAAAAAAAAAUCUUAUUUAAUUAAUAGCUCGUCAAUUUUCACAAAUCGCACGACUUUAAUCAUAUACUAAUUUAGCCAAUUGUAUAGAUUCGCAAAUCUUAUGGAUCUAGCACAUUGUCCAUAUCUUUCGCCAAGAAAAAAUGAGUCCUACCCUAAACCCACCUGUCAAAGAGACAAUCUUUUCCUAGAGUGCUAAGAUCAUUCCUAUCGUGUGCUUGUGGUCCAUAGUUGAAAUGGGAUUUACAUUGUUUCAUUUAUGUAUGUCAAAAUGCGAUUAGCCGAUUUGGUCAAAACUCCAAAGGUGCGAUCAUUGUUUCGUGUCUAUAUGUACAUGCAUGACACACAUAUAUGCAUGUGUGAAAUUGUUGUCACCGCCAAAGAAAAAAAAGGCUAGAAUGUGAAGACUACGUGAUCAUUGUCAUAUCAUCUCAAAUUAUCUAUACAACAGAAAUGGAUGAACCGAAAUAUAGAAACUAAAGUCCGCAAAUACGAGAACAAUCUUGCGAACGCACAACUUUGCAUGAAAACAAAGGAAUUCUCUCUCUCUCUCUCUCUCUCUCUCUAAAUGUAUUCUGAUCAAUAAUGAAAAAGCUUUUUGUUCUCCUAACGAGAAACUUAUUUGUGAUAGAGAAAAAUGUAAUCUAAAAAUUAUAAAAAUAUCUAAUUCAUAUCACAAAAUAACAGCAAGUUCAAAAUAUAUAUAUCUUUAAAAAAGGAUUUCCUGAAUUAACUAAACUAAUAAUUCUAAAAGCUUAUCUUCUUGAACACUCAUGUAGGUCUUCAUCAAAUCAUAAUGUAUGUUCUUACAAAUUUGUGCAUUGUAAAUUGAAUGAAUUGUUUAUUGAAGACAGCAUUGCUCUUUAAUUGAUAUGAUGAAGAUAUCAUCGAAAUGAUAUAUUUGAUAUGAUUGCCCUUGAUUGAUUUAUUGGGAUAUUGUACAUGGAAAAUUGAUUUUUCCGACAAAAUCAUCCUUGAAAAAUGGAGGUACUCCAAUUAAUAGUCAACUUUCAUGUUGUAGUCAUACUCACAUGUUAUAACUCAACCCCAAUAAGAGGAGACGUCUGCACUCCAUCACUCAGGCUAUCACAAGAAUUGACAAUACUUCUACAAAUUCGCCCUCCGGGAAAAGGGAGGGACUUCCUUGCCACUGCGAGGAUUUUAAGAAAGGGAGCUAGCUUGGCAAAUGAACUCUCUUUCCGUGGAACAUGAAAAGAACACGAUAUAACCGUCGAAACAAUAAUAAUCAUCCAUAAUUCAGCUUGCAUCCUCGACUUUUGAAAUAUACAUCUAGUACCCUGAGAUAAAGACGUACGCAAUCAUGGGGGUCUAAACAGCUGUGUAAAAUAGACAAGGCAAAGUUUGGUUUUUUUAUGAGGAAAAAAAAAAACAAGGUACAAAGCACAUUAAUUUUGACAUUAUUGAAACUACUGGAUGAAAAAAAAUAAUAAUGGAAAAAUGAAGGAUCACUUUCGUAACGCUAAGAUACUAUAUGGCACGUAUGAAUGAUAGAUUGAACAAUGAACGGAAAGAAUUUUACGCUAGGCACAAACAGCAAGAAAUUCAAGGUGAGUGCAAGAAAGAAAAUGAACUAGGAAAUGGUUGAAAAUAAGCAUGACUCGGAUAUCAUACAUACUAAAUGAUCCAACAUAGAAAUCGGAAGGUUUAUUCAAAUGGUAAUCAUGUUCGUCCUUCUUACUCAGGACUUGAAUUUGAAUCGCUAUACUUGCACAUUCUUCUAGGACCACUCCAAAGAACAUAGACCAAUGUGUCUCGAAUAAUUACACACCCAAAAUUUGUGGUAUAAGAGGACCGUUGCGCAUGAUAAGAAUAAGUUAGAAGUUCAAAACAUUCCAGACAUCCCAUUGAAUUCUGAAAAUAAUGGAACCCUAACACUUAAAUGGUCAACAAGGCGAUGCAAAUUUUAUCUAUCGUAAAAUGAAGAUUAAAUAGCUAAGUGAAUUACCAACCUAACAAAAAAGGAUGAAUGCAUAAAACAUUUCCCUCCUUCGGCAAGAUCCUAAAUGUUCUUUUGUUGGGUGAUCCAAAAGAACGGGGUAGAGUCGAUGUGGCCUUCCUUCCGGCUCAAGAUUCGGCUUAGUCCUAGAAAAAAUAAAUUCAAGAAAUUUAACUUUACUUAAGAAAAAAAUUAAAUCAAUUUAGUAUGGGUUCGUUUCAUGGAAAAUGUGACGUUUUUAGAAAAUAUUUUUCAAAAAGUCAUUUUUUAAGAAAAUGAUAAUAUUCUCAGAUGUUCAGCUAAAAUCUGAAAUGAACUAAAAAAAAAUAUUUUUUACCGUUUGAUAGGAUAAUUAGAUUUUCAAGGGAAAAAUUACCAAAAAAAAUCAAUUUUUUUAAUUUUCUUUUCUUUUCCUUCUUUUUAUUUUUCCUUCUUCCUCAGCCAGUGACCAACCGCUAGGCGUCGGCCAUCAUUGCGGCCGACCACUACUCGAGGAAGAAGGAAAAAAGAAAAGAAAAACGAGAAAAAGACAAAAGAUAAAUAAUUAAAAACUUGAUUUGUUUAAAUAUUUUUAUAAGAACGAAUAAUCCAUUAGUCAAGGACUUGAGCUCAAGUAUCGAGGACUUGCAUAUGACCUUUGUGGACUAGAGCUCAAGCAUCGAGGAUCCGAGUAUGUCCUUCAUGGGCUCCAGCCUAGGUGCCGAAGAAUCGAACAUGGGCACCAGGGGUUUGGGCACAGCCUCAAUGACCCCGGUGUGAACCCAAGCCCUAUCACUAGAGACCUUAUGUUAGAACUUUUGUGCUCAAGCGUAGAAUUUUCAAUUUAAAUGCAGAUAUUCAGUCAUAUUUUGGAAAAUAUUUUUCAUUUUUUCAAAGGAGACAAUCAUUUUUUCUAAAUUUAAGUGUAGUUUUCCAUUGACUAGGAAAAUAUUUUCCCGAAAAAAUGUUCCCUGCAAAACAAACAGAGCCUUGGAAGUGGUUCAUCUUUUACGAGUGGAAAUUAUAGCAUCCCUUGCAAAUUGAGUAAUAACUGUCCUUGAACCAAAUAUAAUCUAAGCAUGGCAAAAUUCUAAAGGACAGGGACAUGUCUGCUUUCAGUAUUAAUAAGAUCAUGGCAAUUAGAUUUCGCUUUGAGGAAAUAGGGUUACGGAAAUCUAUCUCUAGAAAGAUAUGCGCCACCACUAAAACUAUCUUUUGGAUCACUUAUUUAACCGUGGUAAAGUCAUAGCAUAUCAUCAUAGUCGCAUGUAAGGUUUUCAAUUUUUAAUGCUUGACAACAUUUUGAACAACUCUAACAAUCGCCAAUAAGCUGCACCUCAUAUUCGACAGCGGAAUUUUUAACCAUAGUCACAAUAUUAAGGUGCAGGCGAAAAGUUAUUGAAGAAAAUUAGGAUUCAUGCUACAUAGAUUCUUGAUUAUAGGAUAUUUUCUUUUCUGGCCAGUUAAGCUAAAGCUCAAUACAUGAAAAAUCACGCGAGGAACAAUCUAAAAUUCCUAAGAAGUCACCUGAAAUACGUCUAAAAAUCGUGUGCAUCAAAUCAACUACUCUACAGAAAUAUAAUCUUUAUUCAAUCUUAAUUAAGUUGUGUUUCGAUGUUGUUUAUUGUGAUUAGGUAUUGUCACGGUGCGAUUUUAUAUUCUUAUGCGCAAUUGAAAUGGUCAAGUAAACGCGCCCACAGUCCAAAUCUUGAACGGUAAUCUGUGGAGGGAUCAAAUCAAAGAAUGUGCUAGCUUCCCCCAAACAAAUCAUUUUGCAAAAACCACAAGCGCGUUUUAUUACAAACACAAUACCACAUGAACACAAUACACGAAAUCUCAUAUUUCCAAACCCAACUAAACUUCAGAUCACCUGAUCAACCAGCUUGAUUUAUUGGAUCAUCGCCAUACGUGGAAGUAUCAGAAAUCUCAAGCAUUAUAUAGCGCUACUUCAUAUCCGAUAAUAGUCGUGACAUGAUCUUUUCCUUCAUGCGCUUGCAAUGUGAGCAUCGAUAUCCUUGGUCAUAUCGACGAGCACAGCCAUGUACUUGUCGGGGCUAGGGUCACUCUCCUUGUACUUCUCGUACUCCAUGCUCAGCUUGGCCACACUGCCUUGCCCCUUUGGGACGACUUUGCAAGCCGCUUUGAAGACCUUCCACGUGUCAAAGAUGUGGCCCUCGAUGCCAUGGAGGGUGAAUGACAUGUUGUCGUCAUCGAACUCGACCUUCUCUUUGAACACUUCGGAUUUUCCUUCUAUACAAUUACACCGGCAAAAAUAGAAGGGUUAAGUUAGAGACUGCUGUCAAUUUAAUUUAAGUGACAACAUGGAAUAAAAUUGAUAAUUAGAGAGAUCAGAUUGAACCAAUUACCAACGGUGUAAUUCCAAAUCUUGAUAGCUCCAUGUUGAUCCCAGUCACCUUCGUGAACUUUAAUUCCUUGAAUGUUUUUGGAGGUGGCGGUGGGCAUUUUGUGGGUUUCGCUCCUCCAAAUCUUGUAGAACUUGUCAGCUGGUGCUUUCAGUUCGACUUCAGCCUCCAGUUUUCCCUGCAAAUUAGCCAUGUUGGCACAAAUAUUGGAACUCCAAAAUCCACCAAAUUCGUUAGAAAACUGGCUUGCGUUGAGAAAAAAGAAGUGUGACUCGUUUCUUAUAUAGACUUUGUUGUUCAUCUUCGUCUCUACUUCAGGUCCCACGCAUCAUGAUUCACGUGGUCCUCGAUAUGUUUACUAAUUAUAUCUACUUGUCAAAUCGUUAUUGGCAAUUACUUUAUAAAAUGUAUUUUGGACAAAUAAAAAGAUAUGGCAGAGCCAUUACAGCUGUGGCCUGUUAAAAGUCUUGAAGCAAUUCAAGACUUUUAUUUAUUUCGGUCAUUAGCAAUUUUAUGCCUAAUUCAUUCAUUUCUUAUUUUCUCAUAAUGAGCUCUAAUAUUCUAUGAAAGUUGCGAGUGGAAAUCAUCUUCUAAUCUGAUUGAUUUGCCAAGGUCAAGUCAAGAUUAGACUCAAUGCAUAAAUAAUGUUAUAGAUAAAUUAUCUGGCCUAUAGGUGGACUGAAGGUAUCUUUGAUGCAUUAUAACAUGUGCUCAUCGUUGCUCUAUAUAUUGUUGUGAUGCACAUUUUAGAGUGUUAAACAAAAAAGGCUCCAUAUUUGGCAUAUUGUUGAUUGGUUUAAAUUUUAAAGUGGAGCUGAGUCUACCCAAAUGAUAGACAUAUUGAUGACUGUAUAUUUGAGGUCUCUCAUGAUGAUCUCCAUAAGUAAAGAUAUUAGAGUUUUGUUGCAUAUCUCAACAGGUGUUACCUUAGUCAAUGGUUGAUAGGAUCGAUUUAUAGUGAAUAUCUCAAAAUAAGAAUUUGCAAUGUGACUCUUCGAUCUAGGCAAUAGAUGGCGUUCCUUACUUCUUGUCAAGUUUGUCUUGGCAAAGGCGAUUGAGGUAGAGUUAAAAGGGCAAAUGUUAUUCAAGCAAACAUUAGUCAAACUUGGCAUGGCCAAGGUAGAGAUUCAAGCUAAGAAUGUCAAUGUAGAAGGACACUUGAAUUAAGAGGGAGCUAGCCUAAUGGAAUAGGCUCACAUGUUGGGGGUGAUCUAUUUAAGUGCAUGUGUGAAGGUAUUAGGUAAAAAAAAUUCCACCUCAAUGAUGUGGUGGAAGGUGGAGCAAUUAAUUUGGUCCACCUCAAUCAUUUAUUUAAGCUUUUGGAGUGGAUGUGGGUUUUACUAUAGGCUUCGAGUUGGGCUCUUGCAAGACCUAGCGUAAGGUGGAGCAAUUAGUUUAGCCAAAUAACUCCAUGAUUCAAGUUUUCAAUGCAGAGAUGAGUCUAACUAAAUAUAUUGAUGGACUCAAAGUUAUCNNNNNNNNNNNNNNNNNNNNNNNNNNNNNNNNNNNNNNNNNNNNNNNNNNNNNNNNNNNNNNNNNNNNNNNNNNNNNNNNNNNNNNNNNNNNNNNNNNNNNNNNNNNNNNNNNNNNNNNNNNNNNNNNNNNNNNNNNNNNNNNNNNNNNNNNNNNNNNNNNNNNNNNNNNNNNNNNNNNNNNNNNNNNNNNNNNNNNNNNNNNNNNNNNNNNNNNNNNNNNNNNNNNNNNNNNNNNNNNNNNNNNNNNNNNNNNNNNNNNNNNNNNNNNNNNNNNNNNNNNNNNNNNNNNNNNNNNNNNNNNNNNNNNNNNNNNNNNNNNNNNNNNNNNNNNNNNNNNNNNNNNNNNNNNNNNNNNNNNNNNNNNNNNNNNNNNNNNNNNNNNNNNNNNNNNNNNNNNNNNNNNNNNNNNNNNNNNNNNNNNNNNNNNNNNNNNNNNNNNNNNNNNNNNNNNNNNNNNNNNNNNNNNNNNNNNNNNNNNNNNNNNNNNNNNNNNNNNNNNNNNNNNNNNNNNNNNNNNNNNNNNNNNNNNNNNNNNNNNNNNNNNNNNNNNNNNNNNNNNNNNNNNNNNNNNNNNNNNNNNNNNNNNNNNNNNNNNNNNNNNNNNNNNNNNNNNNNNNNNNNNNNNNNNNNNNNNNNNNNNNNNNNNNNNNNNNNNNNNNNNNNNNNNNNNNNNNNNNNNNNNNNNNNNNNNNNNNNNNNNNNNNNNNNNNNNNNNNNNNNNNNNNNNNNNNNNNNNNNNNNNNNNNNNNNNNNNNNNNNNNNNNNNNNNNNNNNNNNNNNNNNNNNNNNNNNNNNNNNNNNNNNNNNNNNNNNNNNNNNNNNNNNNNNNNNNNNNNNNNNNNNNNNNNNNNNNNNNNNNNNNNNNNNNNNNNNNNNNNNNNNNNNNNNNNNNNNNNNNNNNNNNNNNNNNNNNNNNNNNNNNNNNNNNNNNNNNNNNNNNNNNNNNNNNNNNNNNNNNNNNNNNNNNNNNNNNNNNNNNNNNNNNNNNNNNNNNNNNNNNNNNNNNNNNNNNNNNNNNNNNNNNNNNNNNNNNNNNNNNNNNNNNNNNNNNNNNNNNNNNNNNNNNNNNNNNNNNNNNNNNNNNNNNNNNNNNNNNNNNNNNNNNNNNNNNNNNNNNNNNNNNNNNNNNNNNNNNNNNNNNNNNNNNNNNNNNNNNNNNNNNNNNNNNNNNNNNNNNNNNNNNNNNNNNNNNNNNNNNNNNNNNNNNNNNNNNNNNNNNNNNNNNNNNNNNNNNNNNNNNNNNNNNNNNNNNNNNNNNNNNNNNNNNNNNNNNNNNNNNNNNNNNNNNNNNNNNNNNNNNNNNNNNNNNNNNNNNNNNNNNNNNNNNNNNNNNNNNNNNNNNNNNNNNNNNNNNNNNNNNNNNNNNNNNNNNNNNNNNNNNNNNNNNNNNNNNNNNNNNNNNNNNNNNNNNNNNNNNNNNNNNNNNNNNNNNNNNNNNNNNNNNNNNNNNNNNNNNNNNNNNNNNNNNNNNNNNNNNNNNNNNNNNNNNNNNNNNNNNNNNNNNNNNNNNNNNNNNNNNNNNNNNNNNNNNNNNNNNNNNNNNNNNNNNNNNNNNNNNNNNNNNNNNNNNNNNNNNNNNNNNNNNNNNNNNNNNNNNNNNNNNNNNNNNNNNNNNNNNNNNNNNNNNNNNNNNNNNNNNNNNNNNNNNNNNNNNNNNNNNNNNNNNNNNNNNNNNNNNNNNNNNNNNNNNNNNNNNNNNNNNNNNNNNNNNNNNNNNNNNNNNNNNNNNNNNNNNNNNNNNNNNNNNNNNNNNNNNNNNNNNNNNNNNNNNNNNNNNNNNNNNNNNNNNNNNNNNNNNNNNNNNNNNNNNNNNNNNNNNNNNNNNNNNNNNNNNNNNNNNNNNNNNNNNNNNNNNNNNNNNNNNNNNNNNNNNNNNNNNNNNNNNNNNNNNNNNNNNNNNNNNNNNNNNNNNNNNNNNNNNNNNNNNNNNNNNNNNNNNNNNNNNNNNNNNNNNNNNNNNNNNNNNNNNNNNNNNNNNNNNNNNNNNNNNNNNNNNNNNNNNNNNNNNNNNNNNNNNNNNNNNNNNNNNNNNNNNNNNNNNNNNNNNAAAUAUGGGUAUAAAAUGUGGGAUCACAAAAAUAAAUAACAUUCUCCCACUUGAUCCCAUCUAAUUCCACAAAAACUUUACGCUUAAAGAAAAGAAACAAAACACAUGGAUCAUGGCGACAUGUCCUCUAAGAGUGAGUAAUAUCUUCCAUAUAUCACAAUGCAUCUUAUUUCUUUAAUGUCAGCCUAUAUGUGACAACAUAUCUUAAUGAAUAAACCCCAUGUUUAUUCCAGAACCAAGGAUAAAUGUUAUUCUCAUAAACAACAAAAUGUGUACACAAAAAUUGAGAAUCAAUAUUACAAUUGAACAAGAGUUUCAUACAACAAAAAUCGUUCAUAUGACGACAAAUUACAUGAUGGGACCUAUUCCCAUACUAGUUACAUGAUCCUUAUACUUCAUUGGUGGCAUGCCUUUAGUUAAAGGAUCGGCUAUCAUCAAUUCAGUGCUAACGUGUUCAAUGACCACUUUAUUCUCCUUAACACGUUCCCUUAUGGCUAAAUACUUAAUAUUGAUAUACUUACUUCGACUGCCACUUUUGGCAUUUUUAGCCAUAAAAACCGCAGCUGAAUUGUCACAAUAUAUUCUUAAUGGCCUAGAAAUUGAAUCAAUAAUUCUAAGCCUAGCAAUGAAAUUCUUCAACCAUACACCAUGCGAGGUAGCCUUAAAACAAGAAACGAACUCAGCCUCCACAGUGGAAGUAGCAGUCAAAGUCUGCUUGGCACUUCUCCAUGACACGGCUCCGCCAGCUAACAUGAAAAUGGUAUCCAAAUGUUGAUUUUCGUGAAUCAACACAACCCGCGAAGUCCGAAUCUGAAUAACCGAGCACUUCCAGGUUGUCAGUCCGUCUAUACAUAAGCAUAUAGUCUUUGGUACCUUGAAGGUAUCUCAUCACUUUCUUUGCAGCCCUCCAGUGGUCUAAACCUGGAUUACUCUGAUACCUUCCCAACAUUCCCACAGCAAAAGCGAUGUCAGGUCGAGUGCAAACCUGAGCAUAUAUCAAGCUUCCAACAGCAAAAGCAUAUGGAAUGUUGUUCAUUUGUUCCCUUUCUAGAUCGUUCUUCGGGCAUUGGUUCAAAUUGUACUUGUCACCCUUCACAAUGGGUGCUAUACUUGGUGAACAAUCUUUCAUCCGAAAUCUCUCUAGGACCUUAUUGAUAUAGGUUUCUUGAGAUAGUCCUAAAAUGCCUCGAGGUCUAUCUCUAUGGAUCUUAAUGCCCAUGACAUAAGAUGCCUCACCCAUAUNNNNNNNNNNNNNNNNNNNNNNNNNNNNNNNNNNNNNNNNNNNNNNNNNNNNNNNNNNNNNNNNNNNNNNNNNNNNNNNNNNNNNNNNNNNNNNNNNNNNGGCUUUGAGAGCUUUUCGAGACUUUUCAGCUUUCCCUCUUUUUUUUUCAAGGAGAGGACAAUUUGGUCUGAUUGUCCCUUUUUCUUACAUUCGAAACAAACUACAUCUUUGUUUGGUUCCUCAUUAUCAACAAACUUGGUUUGCUGUUUCUGAAGACUUUGUUUCCUUGAGUUGAACCUUCUCCCUUUUCUAUUCAGCUUUCUGAACCUUUUAAUCAUAAGAGCAAACUCCUCAUCGUCCAGAUCUUCUUCAGAGUCUGUAUUAUCAGAAUCAUCGUUAGAUUUUAAUGCAAUGGAUUUCUUACCUCUUGGAUCUUCGUCUUCAUUAAUUCGUUCCACUUCAUAAGACUGAAGAGUUCCAAUCAGCUCGUCUACAGAUAAUGGCAUAAUUCUUUGCGUCUCUCUUAUUGAAGUCUUUAUAUGAUUCCAAUCCUUGGAGAGUCCACGCAGUAGCUUGUUCACCUUCAUAGGAUCAGAAAUUUUCUGUCCUUGAUUCUCAAGACCAUUGACAAUAUCUGUAAAACGGCUAAACAUGUCAGUUAUAGAUUCUCCUUGUUUCAUUUUGAAGGCUUCAUAUUGACCAAGGAGAAUGUUAAUUCUGGUCUCCUUCACUCGGUCUGUCCCUUCAUAAGUGAUAUGUAAUCUGUCCCAGACUUCUUUUGCUGUAUCACAAGAAGAUAUUCUGUUAUAUUCAGUUGGUGAUAAAGCACAAUAUAAAGAGUAAAUUGCUUUUGCAUCGAGUGCUUGUCUCUUGUUUAUCUCUUCUUGAGACAUUCCGCUGGUUUCAACAAUUUCUUUCCCUCUUUCGGAUGCUGAUGCAGCAGUAGGAGUAAUUCCUCUUUCCACCACAUCCCAUUCCAGAGGAUCCUUUGAUCGUAGAAAAGCUUUCAUCUUGUUUUUCCAGAUGUUGUAAUCCUUUCCAUCAAAGUAGGGAGGUCUGGUAUUGCUUUGCCCUUCCACCAGCCCUGGUGCUAGCAUACUGGCCAUGGAUCUUUUACUCUGAAGUAAAACACUUCAAAUAAAGUAAGAACACAGGCUCUGAUACCAAUUGAUAAUGCUAGUACGAGUACCUAGAGGGGGGGUGAAUAGGUUUAUAAAAUUUCUUGAAGAUUGCACAAUACUUAGACAGAUGAAUGAUUAAAGAAUCAAUCGUAAGACUGAGUAAAGGAAAGAGAGAAUUAAACACGAGGUUUAUAGUGGUUCAGCUUGAUUCAAGCCUACGUCCACUCUUCUGCACUGACAGCCGAUUGGCUGGAUUCCACUAUGAACAAAGAGAUGUUACAGUGUUGAUCUUCCUUGAUUUCUCGAUGUAGAUGAUCUACUACACUCGCUCAAGGUAUCACCAAGUAUAAACACUCUCUGUGUGUACAAUUUCGCUCGAACUGUAUCGACUAACAAUCAAGGUUCUUCAGACUCUGGAAUUUUUCUAUCGAUCACACACUUAAAACAACUACAACGUUUUCCUUUUAUACUCCUUUAUGCCAUCAUAGCCGUUGGCACUUACCAAAGGAAUUCCUCCAACCUACCCGUUGGUCGGAAUCAAUUAAGAAGAUCAUCCGAGCUAUUUAAGGAAUCUGAUGAUAGCCCAUCAAUCAUGUUCGCCCAUACAAUCAGGAUUUUGGUUUCCAAGAAUAGAACAUUCCAAGAAUGUUUCGUCGACCAUCGGAUCUUCUAUUGUUCUUAAAUGAGAAUCAAAAAAUCCGUAGUGAUUAUCCAACCAAGGGAUCUUUUCCAGAGGAUUGGAUCGAAUCCCCAACCAUAUACUUCGGCUUCGGAUAUCCUUCGCCACUGGAUUAAGAAGACUGUCAGUGAGAAUAAUCUUGAGUCUUGAGUCUUGAGUCUUGAGUCUUGAGUCUUGAGAUUACAAAGUCUUGAGACUUUAAUUAUCGAUAUCCAGACUAGACUGAUAGAAAUGUUUUGUCAGUUUCAAAAUAUUCUGGAAAGAUUUCUCCAACAGAGAUAAGUCUAAUUAGAAGUACUGAUGGGUUUGGAGUUGGACUCUCUUCUCCAUCUCCCCAAAUGAAGGUAUUAAGCUGCUUUUUUUACACUCCUAACAAUUGUUACACACUAAUAUACUAAAUAUACUAAGAUCAGUCUACAAAGUUUUGUACACUAAGUGACAAGACGGAGUGUAAGUAAACAUUUAAUCAAGUUGAUCAUUGUCCAGACCCAAUAAAAAGCCUGUCAUGUCGUAUAGUAUACAAUUUUGUGUUAUUGUCUCAAUAUACUUAGCCACAAAAAAGUCGACCAUUGAUGCUUGACAGACCAUUUCAAGAAAAAAUUUCAACACAAGACUUAAUAGAGAGACCGUAUACUCCAAAUUGACCAUAAGAGGCCAUUCUACCCUCCACGCACAAUUGCCAAAAACAUUGGUGGAUGGAUGCUUGCUUUAGUUGACCAACAUUUCCCGGAUAUAAGAGUUAACCAUCAAUUGUAGCAAACUAGUUGAAGAUUGUUUGGUAGGCAGUUGCAACCUUACCCUCUUGAUGAAGGAUCUGUGGUUCACAAUCUCCAUUAUGGACGCGGUGCUUUUGGCAUCCAUUUUGUUAUGUUUUGCUAUGAGGGGACAGGACAACUGCAUUUAAUUACGGUCUUGGAGUGGUGUCUUAUGAUCGAGUACUUUUUCUAUAUAAUGUGGUUGUUGAUUGGUUUUCAAUCGUGGCAAAUUGCUUGAUCCGAAUUAGGGUUCGAAGAAUUUUGAUAAUGGCUUGAUCUGUCUGAAUUAUGGUUUAUGUUGGGAAUAACGGAUCCCCGAAAAACGAAUUCGACACUAAAUCGAACCCCUAAACCAAUGCGGAAGACGAAGCCCGGGAAAACAUGUAUCACCGAUCGUAAAGCACACCAUGGAGUCGAGCGUACCUUGUUAGCCACAGAUUAGACACCGACGCCGAUAAGAGGAAGAGAUUUGGCCCUGUUUGAUCCGAUGACACCUUAAAGGGAAGAAGAAAAUGCCGUAUGCCUUACUGUUUCUUCUUUUUUCUUUUUGAGAGAGAAUGCGCAGGAGAGGAGAAAAACGUACGUCAAUUCUGCCAAAAGGUAUCUUCUCUCUCUCUCUCCUCCCUUUUAUACCUUCCCCCAUCCACGGGCCCUAUUUCCGUGGGCCGGGUCUUUUGGGCCCAACACAAGCGGACGGACCUUAAACCCAUCACCAAUUAAAACCAUCAUCUCCCACUCGCACAUUGUGGGCUGAACAGGAUUCUCUUUACCUCUCUUUAACAUUCAUACCGGUGAAUAAUCCGUGCGACAAGCAUACUUUGAGAGCUUGUUGCCAUACAUAUGUUACGAAUAUAUAGAAGCUUAUAAUGGGCAUCACACUCCGAGUAGAUUUAGUAUGCAGUACCAUAGAUCGAUCGAUCACAUUUAUAUCUCUCUUGAUCUCUUUCUAAUAAUGAUAUAUAUAUAUAUAUAUAUAUAUAUAUAUAUUGUAUUCACAAUUAUGAUUAUCACAAAGACAGUUAUAAUUGAUUAACCGGUGAAUACAAAACUACAAUGUAAUUCUCCAAAUUCGAUCUUCCUCUUCCCUUCAAACUCUCAAUUUCAGUUCAGCUUGCUUUUCUAAAAAUGCCCCAUUAGAUCGAAUCAAACUCAUGACCAUUGGCAACAUCCUAAGAUAGCAAACACUAAAUAGAAAUUUUGAAAAUAAGUAAGAGUCAUGAGGGGACUAAAAAAUUGAGGAACUCUUUUCCUCAAGAGUCUCACACGACAUAAAAGUUGAGAUCAAACUUUUGCCACUCUUAUUGGUCGUCUCAUGUAUACGUAGUAUGAAGUACAUAUUACGGUAACAACUCCUUUCCCAUGGAGCGUAUGUCUACACCUUCAAUACCGUACAUAUGAUAAUUCAGACAUACCCAAUGUCUAACUUGAGUUCACGUAUCUACUCAUUCACAAAAUUCAUCAGAACUCACAUCUGGCAUCAUAGACAGAUAAAGUAAAAUAUGUGGGGUAUUUUACUUUCGGACAUAGUAAGUAUUAUGUCCUCAUCUUAACACCUAGUUAAGGCGACAUACGUAUUUUAAGCUUGAGCUCUCGAUUAUCACCUAGAUAAUAAGCUUAAAAACAGUCUCACCUCUCUUUAUCACACAGUAAAUAGAGGCGAUUACCCAUGUGAGUGGGCUAAUCUUAUAUCUGUCCAACAUACUUUCUCAACUUAAAAUAAUACACUUAGUAUUAAGAUGCAUAAAGAUCAAACAAAGAUACAUAGGCAUUAAUGAUGAAAAACACAAAUUCAUCAAAUGUGAACACUUCAGGGAAAUUACAAUCCAGUACAUCAGACUCUACGCAAUCCUAGAGAUUUCAUAUGGCCACAAAACACAUCUCUAGGUAUUGGCUUUGUCAUAGGAUCUGCUACCAUUCUAUGCGUAGUAUUGGCUUUUUCAUAUGUACUCUAAGUUCACAUCUUUUCGUGCAAUCAUAUCAUUGAAAAAAGUAUACUUGGUAUAUUUAUAUUUGGUCUUGUCAUGAUAUUUUGGAUCUUUGGCGUACGCUUUUGCUGCUUGGCUAUCACAGUUAACCAACAAUGAAUCUGCAGCACUUCAAAUAACACCUAAAUGAUCCAAUAAUCUCUUAAGCCAAACAUCUUCUUUUAUUGCUGCUGAUAAUGCCACGAACUCAAUUUCCAUCAUGGACAAGGCUAUACACUUUUGUUUCUUACUGCUCCAACAUAUGGUGCCAUUAUUUGGUAAGAAAACAAAUCAAGAGGUAGAUUUUCUUUCAUUUAAAUCUCCUCUCUAAUCAGCAUCAGAAUAGCUUUUGAGUUGCAGAUCCUUUCCAUAAUAAUUCAACGUAUAAUCAGCAGUCUCCUUUAGAUACCUUAGUAUUCUUUUAACGGCUUUCCGACGUACUUGACCUGGAUUGGAUUGGUAUCUUCUCACCAUUCCAACUACAUAACAUAUGUCAGGUCUUGUACACAUCAUAUCGUACAUCAAGCUCCCAACAGUACUAGCAUAAGAAACAUGUUUCAUUUGUUCCUUCUCUUGUGGAGUCCUUGGACACAGUCUAUGGCUUAAUCCUUCACCUUUUGCAAUAGGAGUGUCAAUGGGUUUACAAUCCCAUAUCCUUCAAUUCAAAAUUGGAAGACAACCAACUUUUGACAGUAUUGACAAACUCCAUAUUACUUCCAGCAAUUAGUAUAUCAUCAACAUAUAAUGAUAUGAUCACAAAUUGAUCAUUGGAUCUUUUGAUAUAUACACAAUGAUCAUCAUCUAUCAUUAUAAAGUCAUAUGCCAUUAUGGCAUUAUGAGAACAUAUAUACCAUUAUCUUGACGACUGCUUAAGGCCAUAUAUUGACACCCAAAGUCGACAUACCUUUUCUUCUUGGCCUUUCACUAUGAAACCAGCAGGUUGUUCCAUAUAUGUUCCUUCCUCUAAUUCUCCAUUAAGGGAAGCAGUUUUUACAUCCAUUUAAUGUAACUCAAGAUCCAUACUAGCCACUAUUGCCAGAAUAAUACAAAUCGAGGUAAAUCUCACUACAGGAGAAAAUGUAUCUUCAUAAUCAAUUCCUUCCUGUUGAUUAUACCCCUUCGCCACAAGGCGAGCCUUAUGCCUUUCUAUCGAGCCAUCAGCUUUUCGCUUUAUUUUGAGAACCCACUUGUUCCCAAUAGCUCUGCGUCCCUUUUGGAAGAUCAACCAGUUCCCAGACUCGGUUUGAUUUCAUUGACUCUAUCUCCUUUUUCAUUGUAUAAAUCCAUUUUUCCUUACUAGGGCAUUUCAGAGCCUCAUUAAUAUUUCUUGGCUCAUCCUUAUCUCGUGGAGUAAUUAUAAAAGUUUCCACUUCAAUGUCAAAACAUCGACGGGGAAUACUUUGGCGACUUGUUCGCUAUAUGAGAGAUUGUACACUUAGCACAUCAUUCCCCAUUAUGCUCACACUCGGAUUAGAUAAUUACGAUAUCAUCUCAUCAUGUGGUUGUAAUUGAGAAUGAGUUGAAUUCAAUUCAUCACUUCUCAUAUUACUCCCACUUGGACGAACUCCACUAACAUCAUUAUCCUGAUCUGAGGUCUCAAAUAGGAAGUAAUCUUCUCCUAUUUCGCCCUUCUUAGAAAAUUCAUUCACUAAGAAUGUGACAUCCCGUGAUUCAAAUUCAGUUAUACUCCCACUUUCCUGCUCACCUACGAACACAUACCCUUUCGAGUGUUUGGAGUAUCUCAUGAAAAUACUGUUCUUUUAUUUGGGACCAUAUUUCCCAAAUUUGUAAGAGGGCUCAUUAGUAUAGGUAGCACAACCCCAUGGCUUAAGAAAACUUAAGUACGAUUUUCUACCUGUCCACAACUUAUAUGGAGUGGAAGCAACUGAUUUGGAAGGCAUCCGAUUAAGUAUAUAGGCAGCAGUUAACAAUCCAUCACUCCAAAAAAUGAUAGGUAAGUUAGCAUGCGCCAUCAUGGACCUAACCAUUUCCAGUAGGGUUCUGUUUCUUUUCUCUGCAACACCAUUUUGUUGAGGAGUAUAUGGAAUAGACAACUGUAUUUCUAUUCAUUUUCAUCACAUUAUUUUCUAAACUCAUCAGAUAAAUAUUCUCGACCUCAAUCGGAUUUCAAUACUUUUAUUUUCUUGUCUAAUUGAUUUUCUUCCAAGUUCAUAAACCUUUUGAAACAACUUAUGCUUCAAAUUUAUGAGAAAUCAAAUAGACACAUCUGAAUCGAGUAUAAUCAUUUAUAAAAGUGAUGAAAUAAACAGCCAUUUGCCUUCCUCUCAUAUUCAUUGAACCAAAGACAUCAGAAUGGACUAAAUGCAGAGGAAAUUCAACUCUUUUAUCCUUCCCAAAUGGUUUCCUUGUUGUUUUCCCUACUAGGCAAUGCUCACAUAUGGGUAAAUCGACUUUUUCAAUUUUGCCCAACCAGACCUCUUUGGCUAUUCUAUUUAUAUAUUAUUGGCCAAUAUAACCAAGUCUAGCAUGCCACACAUUCACAUCAUUAUCAUAUGAAGUAGGAGAUGUGAAACAAGGGAAUAACAUAUAUUGACAUCACCACAGUCAACAUUUAGUACAAUAAAACCAUAUAUAAAGUGACCACAAUCAUAGUAGUUUGUAUCCAAAUACAAAUCUACACCGUUAUUACGGAAGUUCAAACUAAAACCAAGCUUAACCAAUAUAAAAAACAGACACUUAAAUUUCGACGAAUCUCCAGAGCAUUUAGAACAUCAUGUAGGAACAAGGUGCGUCCACCACACAUGUUUAGUUGGCAGGUGCCAAUCCCUUUAACUUCAGCUCUAGAGUUGUUUCCCACAUAGAUCCACUUAGUUCCAGUUGGUAUUCGUCGGAAUUCCACGAAGGAUCCUCUAUCCUUCACUACAUCGUCUGUUGCUCUUGAAUCUACAAUCCACAAAGGAUUGGAUUCAGCCAAUAAAUCAGAACUUGACACAUAAUCAAAGUUCUCAAAUGUACAAGAGGUGUUUACCUUUUUCGGCUCACAACUGUUGCGAGCAUAGUGACCUUUUCUUGUCACAAUUGUAACACCUCACACUUGACUUUUUCUUCACUUGAGGACGUUUUCCUCUCUUAUGUUGGUUAACUCUUGAUCUCUUGCAAUAAGGACUUAAUCCUUUGCAUUCCUACAUAUUGAACGAAUCAAUACGCUUGCGCUUAGAGCUCAAAGCCCUUUUUGAGCUGGAACCAACAUUGCAAAUUUCUACUUUCAGCUCACAUGCCGUUAAGCGGUCCUCUAUCAGCUCAAGGUGGCACACAGCAUCCUUAAGAUCUUCUAUAACAUGGUCAAGAGCUUCUAGUGCUUCUUGCUUUUCUAGCACAUAUUGAAUCUUCAUAUUUAAUAUUUCACAAUUGUUGCUGUUCACAUCAACAAUUGCGCUCUUAGUUGCUGAAUCCAUCAAUCUGAACACAUCAAACAUAUAUGCACGAAUAAUUAAUGCCUAUCAUUUAUGCAUCCCUUUUGCACAGACCCAUCAUAUUAAUAAACAAUUUCAAGUAAGGUUUUAGAAUCAAAAGGUCAUUACGUUUCCAAUCAUCCUCCAAAAAUCUUAACUUAAAACUAUCAUUAAUAUGAUUGUCAUAUGCAAAAUCAAUUCUAUGAAAUUACAAAAACUUUUAAACUACCCACAACUAAUUACCCACAGCGAUCAACAAUAACAGAAAGCAACAGAUAAUUGAUAUCUAAUAAAACAAUAAUGCUUUCAACUAAUAUAACAAUCCAUUACACUAAGUAAUAUAUCCAAAAAGAAAUAUCAACAUAUAAAGAGAUAUUCACACCCAAAAACAUCUCAGACUAAUCUAAGAAAUAAAUAGGGAAAGUCCAUUCUAAUCUAUUAGUCAAAACAUCUGAGAAAACUGAAGGCACACUUGCCAAUUAUGGAAAAACUUUUGGAGAGCUCUCGUGUCGCCAUCAAGGCGCAUUCACUCUGUGUCAUGUGGCGCUCAAUCUAAGGGUUGAAGUUUUGGCCAACUCAAUCUUAUAGUAUUCUCUUACAAAAACUUCCACUAGGCCCCUGUAAUCUGAGACCACGUUGACCUCCCAUAGCCGAUCUAAUACUGUUUGCCAUUCAGGUGGAAGAGUGUUCAUCAAAGCCGGCACAUUUUCAAAAUUCGGCAUAAGAUAACCAUUCUAGAUGAUUUCCUGUAUCAUCUGAUUGACUUUGAUCAUGUGUGAUACUAAAUCACCAUCAAGCCACCGAUAAUUAGCUAACUCUUUCAUCAGCCUUUUCAGUCUAGCUCUUCCUUCGUCCGUUCUCGGAAUUGCAGGUAUCCGUGCAUAACGCAUCAUAGUUCUUGCAACGAAUGCAGAACUCAAAUUGAUCACUUAUAAUCCACAAUUAAACAAAAUGGAAAAUACAUAAUUUUCCAUGAUUCAUGUAACAAAUGCAGAAUAAAAAAUGGAUUACCUCUAACCCACACAGACAUAAUUGAAAAAGAAACAAAUUUCUUUUUUUUUUCUCGGGUUAACGGUCGUCGGUCAACGGGUCAAUGGUUAGGUCAACGGGUCAACGGUCGGUCAACGGUCGGUCAACGGUCAACGAGUCAACGGCCAAGUCGUCGGACCGAUCGGACCGAUCGGAACGGUCGGGCCAGAUCGCGCGAACCGCCUACACGUGCCGCGCGCGUGCGCGGGCUUACGUCACGCAGACGUCAGCCGGCACGUGCCACACGUGUGCCGGGUGUCCGCGGGUCGGGUCGGGUCGUCGGUAGGGUCGCCGGCCGGUGACCGCCCGGCCAACCGGCGUCAUUGCUGACGUCAUCGAUGACGUCACCCCAACGGUUACUGACCGUUGGGUGACGUCAUGCUGACAUCAGCACGCAUCGGUUCGUCGACCGGCGCGUGCCAGUUCACCGGCCGCUAGCGCCCAUGUGCCGAUUCGCCGUUGGCGCGUGUGGCGCAUGCGCUGGCCGAUGCCAGCACUUCGGGCGCGUGGUGCCCACGCGCAGCUGCUUCUGACCGCGUGUGUGGGCGCGUGCGGCGUCGUCUGGCGGCGCACGACAUGUUGCCGAACUCGCCUCGACGAUCUCUUUCACCCAGUGCCUUCAUAAUUCGAUUUCAACUUACGAAAACUCAAAAAAAAUGGCCGAACAGCAUUCAGGUGUCGGGAUUUCUCGCCCUGAUCCGUACAGCCGAAGGUUUUCGCGAAAAAUCAAUGAAAAAAAACGUCAAACAAGUUGGGAAAAACGUGAACCUGGCUCUGAUACCAAUGUUGGGAAUAACGGAUCCCCGAAAAACGAAUUCGACACUAAAUCGAACGGCUAAACCAAUGCGGAAGACGAAGCCCGGGAAAGCACGUAUCACCGAUCGUAAAGCACACCACGAAGUCGAGUAUACCUUGUUAGCCACAGAUUAGACACCGACGCCGAUAAGUGGAAGAGAUUUCACCCUGUUCGAUCCGAUGACACCUUGAAGGGAAGAAGAAAAUGCCGUAUGCCUUACUGUUUCUUCUUUUUUCUUUUUGAGAGAGAAUGUGCAGGAGAGGAGAAAAACGUACGUCAAUUCUGCCAAAAGGUAUCUUCUCUCUCUCUCUCCUCCCUUUUAUACCUUCCCCCAUCCACGGGCCCUAUUCCCGUGGGCCGGGCCUUUUGGGCCCAACAUGGACAGACGGGCCUUAAGCCCAUCACCAAUUAAAACCAUCAGUUUAUAUGUAGGGCAAAACAUAAAGACCAUGUUGUUUAGGAGGCACACUAGCUAGCCACGUCAACUUGGGAAAUUAAUAAAAUAUUAUCAUGUUAAAUUUCCAGCAUCCAAAAUUGAAAUUGUCACUUAAGUGAUUCGACGAAACACAAAUGUCAUAACUUUCGUGCUAAAGUGAUAUACCUCUUGUUUCGACCAUUUGAAUUGAAAUAAAAAAAAAAAAAAAAAAGAAGAUGGCUUUAAAUAACCAUAUUUUGCUUUUUGAAACCCCAAUCAAUCUUCAAGACACCAAAAAAAAAAAAAAUCAAUCAUAAAAUUCAAUCCUUAUUGGAAAUUUAUCUUUAUUUUUAUUUUUUCGCAAUUUAAAUGGCUAAUCACAAUUGCCUUUGAUUUGCAUACCUUUAAAUUUCUUGUCUAAAAUUAACAAAAGAUCCUCCAUAUCCUUUAUAGUUCACCAUCUAUUUAUAUAUGUUGGAAAUUCAAUUACGGUGAAACAACUAUGCAAAAAAAAAUUUAAAAAAAAUGAAAGGGCUAAUCAACGGCCUUAGUCUUACCUGCAAUGUAUUCAAAAUCUUAUAUAAUAUCUUAGCUGGCGAUUUCAGCUCCAAUUCGCCAUGCAAUGUCAUUUUGCUUUUUCGAAACGAAGAGUUAACUAAAGUUCAAAAUAUGAACGCUCAUGUGCAAACAAGUUAGCAUGGAUACACUUCAUAUGUAUAGAUGAAGGCGGCCCCCAAUUGCCAUUAUAUAUGUUUCUACAGGGUCGUGCAAGGCAUGAUUCAUGUGAUCCUUGGUAUUCGUUUUCAUGUUUUAGUCAACCUUCUAACUAAUCGGUUUAUUAAAUGAGCAUGCGCAUUGCCAAAAAAAAAAAAAUCUUAUUUAAUUAAUAGCUCGUCAAUUUUCACAAAUCGCACCACUUUAAUCAUAUAAUAUUUAGCCAAUUGUAUAGAUUCGCAAAUCUUAUGGAUCUAGCACAUUGUCCAUAUCUUUCGCCAAGAAAAAAUGAGUCCUACCUUAAACCCACCUGUCAAAGAGACAAUCUUUUCUUAGAGUGCUAAGAUCAUUCCUAUCGUGUGCUUGUGGUCCAUAGUUGAAAUGGAAGGAUUUACAUUGUUUCAUGUAUGUAUGUCAAAAUACGAUUAGCCGAUUUGGUCAAAACUCCAAAGGUGCGAUCAUUGUUUCGUGUCUAUAUGUACAUCCAUGACACACAUAAAUGCAUGUGUGAAAUUGUUGUCACGGCCAAAUAAAAAAAAAGGUUAGAAUGUGAAGACUAUGUGAUCAUUGUCAUAUCAUCUCAAAUUAUCUAUACAACAGAAAUGGAUGAACCGAAAUAUAGAAACUAAGUCCCCAAAUACGAGAACAAUCUUGCGAACGCACAACUUUGCAUGAAAACAAAGGAAUUCUCUCUCUCUCUCUCUCUCUAAAUGUAUUCUGAUCAAUAAUGAAAAAGCUUUUUGUUCUCCUAACGAGAAACUUAUUUGUGAUAGAGAAAAAUGUAAUCUAAAAAUUAUAAAAUAUCUAAUUCAUAUCACAAAAUAACAGCAAGUUCAAAAUAUAUAUCUUUAAAAAAGGAUUUCCUGAAUUAAUUAAACUAAUAAUUCUAAAAUCUUAUCUUCUUGAACACUCAUGUAGGUCUUCAUGAAAUCAUAAUGUAUGUUCUUAUAAAUUUGUGCAUUGUAAAUUGAAUGAAUUGUUUAUUGAAGACAGCAUUGCUCUUUAAUUGAUAUGAUGAAGAUGUCGUCGAAAUGAUAUAUUUGAUAUGAUUGCCCUUGAUUGAUUUAUUGGGAUAUUGUACAUGGAAAAUUGAUUUUUCCGUAUAUUUCUUACCAAAAUUAGUUAGACUCCAUGCAUUAUAAAUAGGUGUGUAGUCAUACAGUUUCAAUAUGAGAAAGUAAUACAAUUUCCCAACUCAACUGCUUUCCAUCAUUUUUUAUAUUCUGACAUGUUAUCAGAGUAUUUCUUCUAGCUUCAGCUCUUCUACCCUCCCUAAGUCAAAAAACCAUCUCAGAAUCAGAACCCUCCUUUCUUUCAUCUUCACGACCAAACCUGUGAAGAAAAACUUUCCACUUAUAACAACAGUAUACAAAAUGAGUGAUCACGCCAAAAAAUCAAGCCUCAAAAUCUGGAAUUUUUUAAGAUCAGAGAUCCCCAACGUCCAAGAAUUGGAUGAAUUUCCUUCAGAUCAACAAUCGGACUUAGCGGAAGAAGACCAGACAGAGGAUUCAAUCCAGCCCAAUCACCAAGGCAAUUUUUCCCGGCCCAUACGUUCAAUGGCUCCCGGUCCCAAUCCAACAUUUUCAAGGCCAGACGAAUUCGGCCCAGAAUACAAUGGGCUCCAUAAUUGGAACCUAUUUUCAGAACAACGGGCUAGGAAGAGGCGCAUCACUCAAUACCAAGCCCAAUCUAUGAUCUGGACCGGGUUGGUCUUUUUCGAAUCAAAGUGGUUCGGGUCCAAUUGGGUUUGGGGUAAAUCCAUACCCGACCCGUGGACACAGUUAUUUCCUCUUGCAGGCACCAUUGGUGGUGGGUGGCCUAAGCCAGGGGAUCCCUUGUACACACUUGCCGCCGACGGACCCAAGCUCCACCCCAUCACACAGCAGCUCUCAAGGCCAGAAAACUAUUCUGAGUGGUCUCGGGAGCUCCAGCGACCACUAGUUACAAAGGACAAAGAGGGAUUCAUUGAUGACACAAUCUCGAUCCCAAUUGAUGAGCGACUAGUAAGUCACUGGAUGAAGUGCAAUCAGCUUGUUCGAACAUGGAUCAAGAACAACCUCAUGGAAAGCUUGACCGGGCCAAAAUUUUCUCAAUAAUGCUAGCCUUAAAGAAACUAAAGCAGGAAAGUCUCUCGGUUUCCACUAUUUUCAACAAAUUGUCAGCAUUAUGGAACGAACUUGAGAUGGCUGAAGAAAAAUUGCAGGGACCCGAAGGAACCCUUAGCUCAAAAUUGCGCGAUUAACAAGAGGGAAAAGGUAAGUAGAUUUUUGUUCAUCUUGAAUGACAGUUAUUUACUUUUCCGAAGCCAAAUCCUUACCGUGGACCCUGUUCCCCUAAACGGCCAUAUACACCUGGCGAUGUAGGAAGAAUCACAAUGUCUGGCCUCCGUGGAGUAUCUAAAGAUGGAGAUUGCAGGAGAUUGCAUUGUUCUUCCAGCUAGGGCGAUGCCGGAACAAUGGCUUCUUGCGGCGAGGUCCGACCAUGGCAGACCUAGAAACCCUCUCACGAUGCCGGGCAUGCUAAACGAAGAAGAUGACCUAAUGUCAUCAAGAUUGAGCAGCCUUAAUGUAUUUGCAUGAUUAGAUGACCCAAAAUAGAAGGGGGUUUUUAGGGGUGCGAUUGGUAACGUUUCUGUUCCGGGGAACAAUUUUUGAACUGAAAUAGUUUUUUUUUUUAAUUCCAAAUAACAAUUUCUAAGUAUAAGAACGCGCUUGGUAACUACAAAAAAAAUUUACUCUAGGAAUAGAAAUGCGUUUGGUAAACUUGUAUAAUUUUUUUUGUUUCUUUUAAUUUUUCUAUAUUUUUAUUAUAUUUUUCCUUUCUUUUUUCUUCUUUCUUCUUUUGGCCGGUCGACGAGGGCUAGCAACCUUGCCGGCCUCGCCGGGCCACCACCAGGUCGUUAUCGCCCAGCAGUCCUGGCCAGGGCGAGGCCGAGCCUCGCCGGUGGCCUCGGUUGGUCACCAGUGGCCUCAGUUGGUCACCGGCGAGGCUCAACCUCACCCAGGUGACGCAAGGUCGGCCUCGCCUUGCCGAGCUCGCCUAGCCACCGGCAAGGUCAACCUCGAUGGGGGCCGACGACGCUUCGACAACCGGCCAAAAGGAAUAAAGAAAGAAAAAAUAAAAAGAAAAAAGAACUGUUUCUCAUAAUUGUUUCCGGGAACAAGAAACAAUGUUUUUCUACUUCUUAUUUAUGUUCCAAAUAUGUUUCCGAAAACAAAAGCUUUACCAAACGCAUUUCUGUUUUUUUUUUCGUUCCCCGAAACAAAAGAACAAAAAAUUUUGUUUCCAGGAACAUAAACAAAAAUAAAUAAACAGGCCCUUAUUCCAUCAAACAGUUGUGAUUUAAUCACGAAAUCACGAAAUCAAACGGUCCUAGUCAUUUUCAUGCAAUCAGAUGGACUAGGUCUCAUCGUGGCAGCUCCCAGAUCAGAUGGCAAAUAUCAUGCCACAUCAACACCGAUGUAGAAGGGAUCCAACAACCAUAAUUAAAACAGUUCUCAAAUAAAUCACAUGCCCAAAAUUCCAACAAAGGAAAGCAUAAAUUUUGUGAUUAUUAUAAACGUCCCUACCAUACUAGGGAGAAUUGUUGAAAAUUACAUAGAAAAUCGGCAGAUAAGGAAAGAAAGGAAUAAAAUAUAUCCGUCACAGCACAUGCCAAGAUGCACCAGCCCAUUUAGAAUGAUCAAUUCCAUCCUAUUAUGAAAGCUCUAAGUCAAAUGGAAACAAAAGUUAAGACGGUGAGUUAUUCAGGUAUUUCUUAUUAUUUAAAUUCCAUUUCAAUUGAGGCAUGAAUUAUUGAUUUAGGUACUAGUGAUCAAAUAAUCUACGACAAGCAUUUUCUUUUUUAUGUUCAUAAAUCAUCCCCCAAACUUCAGUGCUUCUUCUCGAUGGAAAAAACACUUCUAUCACUAAAAUUAGAAAUAUCCAACUCAGUCCUUGCAUCACAUGGCACAUUGUCCUGCCCAUUCCAUAUUUUCAAUUUAACCUCAUUUUUAUCUCAAAACUUUGUUAAGAUAACUCUCGUUGGGUCUUCUUCGAAGAUAAUUCCUAUCGAGUCUUCUUCGAUUCUGACAUUUACUUGUUUUAGGCCCUUUCAACUAGGAAACUUAUGGGCUUAUGUAGAAUUCAUGAGAGACUUUAUUUUUAGGACACACUUCCCAAGAAUUUUGAUAUUUCAUAUUUCCUUUAAAUAAGGGCAUAUUAUGUAAUGCCAACGUUAAUAAUAAUGUUGUUCUGUCUCAUCAGCGUUUGGGUCAUAUUGUCUCUUUUCCUCAUCUUAAGUGUUCCAUUUGUCUAUUGGCUAAACAAUCGCGAUUGCAUUUUCCACAAAGCGCUUCACAUGCCACUAUAACUUUUUCACUUCUACAUUUGGAUAUCUAGGGACCAUAUCACACUUCACACCGUGAUAGGUCUAGAUUNNNNNNNNNNNNNNNNNNNNNNNNNNNNNNNNNNNNNNNNNNNNNNNNNNNNNNNNNNNNNNNNNNNNNNNNNNNNNNNNNNNNNNNNNNNNNNNNNNNNCAUUGACGGGAUGCUUGUUUCAAGCCAUAUAUAGAUUUCUUAAGCUUGCACGUCAAAUGCUCACCUUUACUAGAGGAGAAUCCUUCAGGUUGUUUCAUGUAAACCUCCUCCUCUAGUUCUCCAUUGAGGAACGUCGUUUUCACAUCCAUCUGAUGUAAUUCCAUAUCAAAAUGGGCAACCAAUGCCAAAACAAUACGAAGAGAAUCUUUCUUAGAUACAGGAGAAAAAGUCUCAAUGUAAUCGAUUCCUUCCUUUUGAGUGAAUCCUUUGGCAACAAGUCUAGCUUUAUAUCUUUCAAUGUUACCCAAUGAAUCCUUCUUAGUUUUGAAUACCCAUUUACAACCAAUGGCCUUCAUACCAUCAGGUAACUCAACCAAAUCCCAGACUUUGUUAGAUGCCAUAGAACUCAUCUCUUCCUUCAUGGCAUUGUACCACAAAUUGGAUUUAUCACUAUCCAUGGCUUGUGAAAAUGUUUCAGGAUCAUUCUCAGCUCCAAUAUUGUAGUCAGAUUCUUGUAAAUACACGAUAUAAUCACUAGGAAUAGUCGAUUUCUUUAUUCUAGAAGAUCUUCUCAAUGUUGCAUCAACAUUCUGUUGGAGAAAUCUCUCUAGAGUGUUUUGAAGCUGACAAAACGUUUCUAUCAGUCUAGUCUGGAAGCUGUGCAGACCCUUGUACUUAGAAUCUGAAAACUUUCAAAUCACCAGACUCAGCACACAAGACUCAAGACUCAAGACUAUUCUCAUUAACAGUUUCUAAUCCAACGACGAAGGCGAUCCAGAGCUAAAGUGUUUGGUUAAGGAUUUGGUCUUAUCGACUGGAGAAGAUUUCUUGGCUGGAUUUGAUAUAACGGAUUAUUUAUUCGAAAUCAAGAUCGUUUGAAGAUCCGAUGAUUGACGAAAUAUUCUUGGAAUGUUCUAUUCUUGGAAACCAAGAUCCUAAUUGUAUGUGUGAAUAGGAUUGAUGGGCUAUCGACAUGUUCCUUUAAUAGCUCGAAUGAUCUUCUUAAUUGAUUCUGUCCAAUGGGAAGAUUGGAAGAAUUCCUUUGGUAAGUGCCAACGGGUAUGAUGGCAUAAAAGAGUAUAAAAGGAAGACGUUCCAGUUGUUCUAGUGCGUGCUCGAUAGAGAAAUUCCAGAGUCUGAAGCUCCUUGAUUAUUAGUCGAUUCAUAUUGAACGAAACUGUACACGCAAAGAGAGUCUAUACUUAGUGAUACCUUGAGGGAGUGUGGUAGAUCUUCUACACCGAGAAAUCAAGGAAGAACAGUACUGUAAUAUCUCUUUGUUCAUAGUGGAAUCCAGCUAGUGGGCUGUCAGUGUAGAAGAGUGGACGUAAGCUUGAAAUAAGCCGAACCACUAUAAACCUUGUGUUCAAUUUUCUCUUCCCUACUCUCAGUCUUAUUCUGAUCGUUGUUUGUUUAUUGACGAGAAAAAUUAUCUUAUUUCUAUCAACUGUCUAGUAUUGUGCGAUUAUCAUAAGAAAUUACACUUUAUACUUAUUCACCCCCCCUCUAGGUACUUAUACUAGCCAUAUCACAUUCUCUUGAGGAGCAUGUUGCUCAACUGGUUGUUCAACAGUUUCUGGUAAUUGCUGAACAAUUGGAUCUACUAUAUCAAUAUCAGCAGGUUGUGGAACUUCAACAAUUGGUUGUUCAAUAGCCGGCUGAACUGAAGGGGCAUUAUGAGCAACAACCAAUCUUAAACUUGAGGUGGAAGGUUGAGUAUCUGUAUGAUUUUUCUUAGGAUCAAGAUCCUUCGAUCGAUCGCUCCCACUGAUCAAGUCAUUUUUUAAAGAAAUUUAGCGUUUAUUGAUUCCACAAUCCUAGUGGUGUGAGAUGGACAAUAAAACAUGUAUCCCUUAGACCUUUCGGCAUAUCCAAUGAAAUACCCGCUUAUGGUCCUUGGGUCCAACUUCUUUUCUUGUGGAUUAUAAACUCUCACUUCAGACGGGCAUCCCCAAACACGCACAUGAUGCAAACUCGGUUUCCAACCUUUAAAUAACUCAAAAGGUGUCUUUGGGACAGCUUUAGUCGGAACUCGGUUUAAUAUGUACACUGCCGUCUUAAGUGCUUUAGUCCAUAAGAAUUUAGGAAGUUUGGAGCUGCUAAGCAUACUACACACCAUGUCUAAUAAGGUCCGAUGUCUUCUUUCCGCUACGCCAUUUUGGUCCGGAGAACCAGGCAUAAUAUAUUGGGCAACUAUCCCAUGCUCUUGAAGAAACCUUGCAAAUGGACCAGGUGCUUGUCCAUCUUCAGUGUAUCUACCAUAGAAUUCUUCACCCCUAUCUGAUCUCACGAUCUUAAUUUGCUUAUCGCAUUGUUUCUCUACUUCCGCCUUAAAUACCUUAAAGGCAUCUAAUGCUUCAUAUUUAUUAUGAAUCAAAUAGAGAUACAUGUAAUAUGAGUAAUCAUCUAUGAAAAAGAUGAAAUAUUUUUGACCACAUGAGUCCAUAUCCGGACUACAAAUAUCCGUGUGUAUGAUUUCUAAUAUUUAUGUACUCUUCUUGGCACAUUUCUUUGUCUUGUUAGUCUGCUUUCCCUUUAUGCAGUCCACACAAGUAUCACAAUCAGUAAAAUCUAAAGUACCGAGUACUCCAUCAUUUACUAAUCGCUUAAUUCUUUCUAUGGAGAUAAUGUCCCAAUCUCCUAUACCACAACAUAGAGGAAUGUUCUUUCACAAUACAUCGUUUUAUACCAGCUUUAUCAUGAACAUGCAUCGCAUCAUAAUAGGCAUUGUCUUGUAAAUUAAUUCGAAAAAGACCAUCAGACAAAGUACCACUCCCGACAAUUUCAAAUUUAAAUGAUAAACAGAAGUUUGAAUCUGAAAAGUUAAAAGAGUAUCCCAAAGGUACAAGUCUUGAAACUGAAAUUAAGUUUCUAGAAAAACUAUGAACAUAAAAGGUCUUUUCCAAAUUUAAAACAAAACCACUAUUGAGAACUAGUCUAUAUGUCCCAAUAGCUUCCACAUGCAAACACAUCUUGUUUCCUGAAUAGAUGCUUUGUUCACUUCCCACUAACUUCCUGUGGUUUUGAAAACCCAGCAUGGAAUUCGAAAUAUGGAUUGUAGAUCCAGAAUCAAUCCACCAAGUGUUGUGACUUACAUCAGUCAUAUUAGAUUCAUAACAAACAUAAGAGAUUGGAUUACCUUUCUUCUCGAGCCAGGCCUUAAAUUUGACACAAUCCUUCCUUAUAUGCCCAUUUCUGUUUACAAAAGAAGCAUUUGGAUUCUUUCUUAAUGUCAGCUUGGGGAGGUAUUUUACCUUUUCCCUUAUGCUUGCCAUAGCCCUUAUUCUUUCCUUGUGUUGACAAAUGAGCACUUUCUCCCAAUUCCAUAACCAGUCUUUCUUCCUCUUGAACACAUAUGGUCAUGAGUUCAUUAAUAGACCAUUUUUUCUUAUGUGUGUUAUAAGAGAUCUUGAAAGGUGCAUAUUAUUGUGGGAGAGUGUUCAGAAUAUAAUACAUAAUGAAGGAUUCAGAUAUCUCAACCUCAAGGUUCUUAAGCUGAGCUGCAAUAUUCCUCAUUUGCAUGAUGUGCUCAUGCACACCUCUAACACUAGUGAGCUUCAAUGAUGAAAACUUCAUAAUCAGGGUCAUGGCAUGCGCCUUCUCAGAACUUUCAAACUGCGCAUCUAUGGCCUCCAAUAAAGCCUUAGCAUUGCCAUGCUGAGCAACCGAACCACGAAUACUAGGAGAUAUCUUAGCUCUUAUAAACAUGGCACAAACGCGGUUGGACCACUCCCAUUGGUUAUAAAGAGCUAUCUCAGCUGGAGUGCUCAAAUCAGUAGGAGCAGGUGGUUCGUAUUUCCUUAUAGCAUAGUCAAUGUCCAUCCACCCAAAUUGAAGAAGAACUAACUCCUUCCAAACUUUAUAGUUCUCACCAUUCAGUAUAGGAAUAUCAAACUUAAAUUCAGAAAAAUUCACAGGUUGCGAAACUGCAUAUCAAAUAAUCAUGCUUAUGUCACAAAAUUUGAGGCAAAUAUAAAUAAAUCAUGUUUUACCAAUGUAAACAUGUCACAAUAUGAAUCACAUAACAUAAAAACUACAUGUGGGCUAAGUUUUUAAUUUAAAUAGAUUCAUAAUUACUUCAUGAAGAAACUACCAUAUUAUAUGCAUUUUCUUAAUCCCUAUGGGUAAAUUAAGAAAAAUAAUAUGAUAUUUCAUCCUAAUUAAUCAUAUUAAUAUAAUGAAAAUUCUUGUGGGAUAAAAUUCAUCAUAUUAAUAUAAUUAAUUACAAUUAAUGUCCAUUUCUUAAUAUGAUCCGGAGGCUUUUAUUAUAUAAUUUAAUUAAUUAAAGAUGCUGUGGCCACUCUCUAAUUAAUUAAAUAUAUGGACCAUUGGACAUUUAAUUUCAUGAAUAAAACAUUCAUAAAAAUGCAUAAAAUGACAUAAUAAUAAAUAAAUAAAUACAUCAAAGGGCAGAAUUGUAAAUUAAUAAAUCAGCCAAGGGCAAGAUUGCAAAAAAACAUGAAAAUUUGAGGCAUAAUUGUAAAAAGAGACGCACGAAGAGACGUCAGGCGCGUGCCUAGCACGUGCCCGUUCCCGCGGCACGCGCAUGGUCUGCAUGCGCCUAGCAACUGCUGCGCCCGUGGAUCCCACACGCGCAGCGGUUGAUUGCGCGUGAGAGCGCAUGGCACGUGGAUUCCACGCGCCUGCAACCGCAGCGCACGCGUGAGCUCCACGCGCCUUCUUCCUCGCGCGAACAGAAGCCUUUCCGUCAGUUUUUCGCCGUUUUCCGCCGCACUUUCACCGCCGUUUCUUCUCCGGCAGCCCAUCCCAGACAGAAAUCAAUAAUGGGUUUUGAAGAGCAUGCCGGCACGACUACAUGGGUUCAAGUUUCAGCGAAAAUGAGCAAAAAUUGGCCCCAAAAUCAAACGAAAAUUUCCCAAAACACAAUUCCUUCAACCACCGCGACUUCUGCCACCCAAUUAGCCUCCGGCGAACACCGAUAUACCGGAAAAACUCAUGGCUAAUAUUCCUAAUGGCAGUGCGACCGUGCGGGUCCCAAAUCAAAGGGUGGGUCGCCGGAAUUUGCCCGGAAUUUGGGAGUUUCUCUGUUGGUCUCAAAAUCCGAAGUUACUGUUCAUGUUCAAAAAUGCCCGAAAAUACACCAAAAAUUCGAGAAAAACAAGGUAGAGGCACUAACAUGCUCUGAUACCAAAUGUUAGACAAAAUAAUUCAUAUGCGGAAGCCAGGAUCGAUUAAAGACAAACCUCCUGCCAUUGUUCGUAUUCACGUUCGUCGAAUGUCCUGAAAAAUCAAGAAAAUAAUAGGCACACUCUACUAACCAAAUCUCCUCACGUACUGAUGGUGUAUUCUAAAUGUGAGGAUUUUGUGUCAGACCUUGUGAUCGCCCGUCAGAAAUGAACGUACGUUUCUAUUUAUAUCUCGUCUUCCAUCAAGACGGUUACCAAUGGGCCGUUGUCACGAAAGGGUACGAAGUGUGGAAAAACUUCAUGUCGAAUAGUCAUAACUUUAAGAGAAAAUAUGGGUCUAAAAUGCGGAAUCACAAAAAUAAAUAACAGUGGAAACUUCAUGAAAUAGCUCGAAUGAAAACAUAGCAAGUAUUCUUAAUAAAAUAAAAAGAGACUAGAAUAUUACCUCGGGCGAUGCGCGAGAUGGAGUAGGUUUAAAAAAACAGUUCUAAUUUGCAAAUAAAAUGGCAAAUCCAUCUAAUAUCUUUUAAUUUUUAUUUUGAUCAAAAGAAAAUGUACAUAAGUCGAUCAACAAUUGCUAGUCUAAGUUAAUACUGCACUAAACCAUCUUUCAUUAUUUUAAAUGUGUUCAAAUUAUCAUAUAUAAAUCACCCCGUGCUAGGGUGCAAAAAAGCUCGUGAUGAAUCAUGUGAUUACAAUUUUUAUGCAAUAUACAAAGGUAAAUUAUAAUGGGCAAAGGAGUCAUAUUUAGCAUAAAAUAACCUAGACAAUAAUGAAAAUUGACAAAUCUAUCGUAAAAUUCAUUAUCAAACAUCAUUAGUGGUUACAUUAGGUAAGCUAUCAAAAUAUUAUAAGAUAAAUAUAGCAUGACCAUUUCAUUGGACGAAACGUGGAGUGAGUAAUAUGUAUAAUUAAAAAGUAGGAGAAUAUAAAUACAAUAGAAGCUAAAGUUCUCAUUAACUAUGGAUUUUUGUUAGGUCUACUAUUAGUGUAAAAAAUAAGUCACACUAUCACCUAGAUUGUUGAGGAGUGAAUAAAUUUGUUACAUUACUAUCUUCAUGCGGACGUGUCAUCCAUCUAAUAGUGUUUGUGUAGAAAGUUCUUUAUGCUGAUAGUGAACUUAAUAAUAAUCGUUUAGGUACUAAAAAAGACUUAAAAACUCAAAUGAUGAAUAUAUGACAUGCUUUCCAUUAUAGGGAAAAUUAUUCAAAAAAUUCUAAACCUAUUACACUUUGGUCAAUUCAAUCAUAAACAUUUUAAUUGUAUCAAUUUAGUCCUAAACUUUUGCAUGUUUUUCCAUUUAAGUUUAUUUGGCUAAUUUAACUGAAAAUCUUUAACAUGGAUGCCAAUAGUGCCACAUAAAACAGCCAGUACUAACAUGAAUAAUUUUUUAUUAUUUCCUUUUCUUCUUCUUCUUUUUUUCUUUUUUCUUGUUUUCUUUCUUUUCCUUUUUUUCUACCAAGCCUGGCAAGGUAUCAGCGACCCUCACCGGGCUUGGAAGGGAAAAAAAAAAGAUUUGUUAGCGCAUUAAGGGAAGGAGAUAGAUAAAACAAGAAGUCGAGACCACUGGCUUCAAUAUCAUAUUUAAUUUGGGAGGACAUCUUCUAUAAAAGUGAAAAUUAUUUAAAAACGGUGUUAAUCACAUUAUUAAGCAUCAACAUGAUUGUAUCUCGAGAAGAAGCGGGAGAUCUUAUACUUGAUUUAUACUUGGCACAAUCUUUUGAGAUCAAAUCUUGAUUGAAAUCUAUUCAACAAUUGAUGUGGAUGACAUAUCUUCGACUGAACUUGAGACGAAGGUUUAGCCUAAUGCAAGAAAAACUAGCCGAUAAGAUCAUCCUGCCAGACUAUAAGGAAGCAACUUUCCAUGACUCUCCAUUUUAAACAAAGGAUAACCCUAAUUUUCAACGAUCUAAGUAUGUAUAUGGGCAUCCAUCGCCCAAUAUAUGCAUGUAUGAAAUUGUUGUCGUGGCCAAAAUAGAAAAAAAAAUGUGGAAGCUGUAUGAUUGUUGUCAUAUCGACUCAAAAGUAUCAAUACCACGUGAAUGGAUAACCAGAAAUCUAGAGUGCUAAAUUCACAAAAUGAGAACAGUCUUGCAAACACACAAGUUUGUGUGAAAACACAGGACUUUCUCUCUCUAAAUGUAUUCUGAUUAAGAAUGAAGAAGCUUUUUGUUCUCCAAUCGAGACACUUAUUGGUGAUAGAGGAAAGUGUAACCUAAAGUGGAUAAAACAUCUAAUCUAUAUCACAGAAUAGCAACAAAUUCAUAAUUUCUAUCUUCGAAUAAUAGUUUUGUAAACUAACUUAAUCCUCAUAAUAAUUUCUAUCUUAAUCCUCAUAAUAAUUUCUAUCUUAAUCCUGUAAAUCAAAUACUCAUUUGAAUGAUAUUUAUUUCAAUUAGUGCUAUAUCCGGAAGUCAACAUACAUUGGAUGAGAUAUUUAAAAUCAUAUCAUAUCCUUGUCUUAUCUAAUAUUAUUUUAUCUAACAAAAAUAUCCGAAUGGCCAAAUGUAGUGUAAGCAACUUUCAUAUUUAUUCCAUUCCCAGUGUAAGCAACGUUCACGCUAUCGUCACACUCACGAGAUAUCCCAACCCUAAUCUCCUAGGAUGUCUUCUUGUAGUGUAAGCAACCUUCAUACUUAUCCCGUCCCUAAUGUAAGCAACAUUCAUGCUAUCGUCACACUCACAUUGGAUAUCCCAACCCUAAUCUCCUAGGAUGUCUUCUACUCAAGCUAUCAUAUGAUUUGACAACACUACUAAUCGUCCUUCGGAAAACAGAGGUGCUCCGAUUUAUAAUAAACUUUCGCGCAUUUGUCAUGCUCAAAUAUCAUGUCUGAACCCUAUCGCAAAGGGGGUGUCAUCAUCCAUUAGAAUUGACAACACUUCUCAAAAAUCGUUCUUGGGAAAAUGGAGGAAGUUCUUGCGAGGAUUUGAAGGAGACAGCUAGCUUCGCUACUGAACUCUCUCUCAGUGAAACUAAAAUAGAAAACGACAACAGUGAAGAUAAUAAUAACCAUUUAUAACCUUCUUUCCUUAUACAAUUUGUAUUCUCGACUUUUGAAAUAUACAGUUUGUACCGUGGAUUAAGGCAUAUGCUUCAAACCAUGGGGUCUAGAAAAGUUAUGUAAAAUUAGACAACGCCGGGUUUGGUUUUUUCUAAGGAAAAAACAAGGUGCAAAGAAUAUACGGAGAGCAUUAAUUUUGAUAUCAUAAAACUACUGGAUGGAAAAUGUAACCAACGGGAAAACUGAGGAUCACUUUUCUAAUUCUAAGAUACUAUAUAAUACGUACGAAUAGUAGAUUGAAUAAUGGAUGGAAAGAAUAUUACGCUUGGCGCAAACAACAAGAAAGCUAAGGUAAGUGCUAGAAAGAGAAUGGAACCCCGAAAUGGUUGAAAGUAAGCAUGACUCAGAUAUCAUACUAAAUGAUUUAACUUACAAAUUCAAAGGCCUGUUUUUUUUUUCCCGAAAUUCAAAGGCUUGUUCAAGGGAUAAGUAUUUUCAUCCUUCUCGUUCAAGACUUGAGUUUGAAUCAUCAUUCUUCUUUUGAGACCACUCCAAAGAAUAUAAAGAUGCAUGUCUCGAACCACUAGAGGCUUACCCAACUAUCACCAUUCCCAAAUGGGAAUGAAGAGGUGGAGAGGUCAGAACUCCAAGUGGGUCAAUGGACCUACCAAGGAGCUCUAAAGUUUAGGAAUACACCUGACAGAAAAAAAAAAAAAAAAAAUAUAUAUAUAUAUAUAUAUAUAUAUAUAUAUAUAUAUAUAUAUAUAUAUAUCUGUGUGUGUGGGCGUGCGCACGUCUUCAUUAAUAAUUCGGCUGGUAUAUAUGGUCUAGGAGGACUAGCACAUAUGGUAAGAAUUAGUCAAAUGUUCAAAAUAUUCUGGACAACCUAUUGAAAAUUUAAAUAAUAAUAUAACCCUGAAACUUAGAUGGUCAAGAAGGCGAUGCAAAUUUUAUCUAUCAUAAAAUGAAGAUUAAACAGCUAAGUGAAUUACCACCCUAACAAAAUAAAAUAAUGAAUGCACACCUUUUUUUGUCCUUCCCAAGCAAGAUCUUAAAUCUUCUCCGUUGGCGAUGGAUCCAAAAGAAUGGGUAGAGUCGAUGUGGCCUUCCUGCCGCCGCAAGAUUCAGUCUAGUCCCAGAAAAUAUAAAUUCAAGAAACUUUUCUUAGAAAAAAAAAUCAAAUCGACAUUAAAAUAGUUAAUCUUUUACGAGUGGAAAUUAUGGCAUUCAUUGCAUAUUGAGUAAUGACUGUCCUUUUCUUGGGGAUGCUAGAACAAAUAUAAACCAAUCAAAGUAGAAAUUUAAGGACAGGGACAUGUGUACCUCCUAUAGUAAUAAAAUCAUGACAUUUUUUAUUAUAAGAUUACGCAGAGCAAUCUCUAAAGAGGUAGGCACCGCCAUUUAAUUUAAGUUUUUGUCACUUAUUGAUGGGUUUUAUGGUUGUUAGGCCGCCCAUAUUAGGCUAACCUAGCCCAUUAUUAAAAUGGACACACAAUUAAAAGAAAAGAAAUAACCACCAUAAGGCAAUUAUUGUGGGUUACUUCUUAAAGCAAUAUAUAUAUAUAUAUAUAUUAAGAGAAGUGCUUAUUCUUAAAAAGUGAGAAUGGACAUUAAAAAAAAAAAGCUGAUAACUCUAUAAUAACAGAGUUUUUUUUACCUAUUUUAGGCAACAAAUAUGGUAUUUCAUAAUCCAAUAUUCGUUAAAAAAAAAAAUUGGAUUUCCUUCUAUUUAAGCAAAUCUUCUUUGUUUAUGCAGAAUAAUGAGAUAUAGAUAAAAUAAGAAAAAAAAUUAUAUUAUUCAAGAAUUCAAAUAAACAAUAAAUAAAAAAAAAGUUAUGAGAUGGAUACCAAAUCAAGGAUUCGAAGAAUUAUUCUCUAAUUUUACACACACGAAAAAAAAAAAAAAAAGCAAUUACGUUGUGUUAGGAUUCUUGAAUAUAAGAUAAUAUAGAUAGUUGGUUCUUUUUUUUUUCAUAUCUUUUUUCAUUGUUCUGAGAGUUUUUCAAGUAUUUUGAAGAGAAGACAAAAUUUGUGAUAAAAUUCUUUUUCUUUAACUUAAAAUGCUGGGUUUGAUUUAUAUAUUUAUUUUUUCUUUUACUAUGUUCUAAUUUUCUUUUAUUAGGGCUACAAUAUAACCUAACCAUGAUGAUAUGAAAUUUCAUUAUUUUAUGCAUGCAAGUAAUUUCAUUUAUGUAAGUUAUAUAUUAUUGUGCUUAAUGCUUUUAAGUGACUGUCUCAUGUGUAUAUUUGAGAUUGAAAAGUGAUAAUAUGUAAUUGUUCCUUAUAAUAUAUAAUAGUGAAUUAAACGUUGAUAAAGAUAUAUCGCGUUAUUUGUAUAGCUUUUGAUGAUAAGGUGAUACAAAAGGCUUAUUGUAAGUCAGGAAUAUUUAUAGAUUUUAAUAUACUUAUUUUUAUUUAAAUUUACAUAAAGAUAUAGUAGAUUAAUAAAACUAAGUAUGUUUGUUAUAUCUAGAGAUAUGAUAGUAUAUAGAUUAGAAAAUUCCAUUAUCACAUGUUUGAUAUCAUUAUUGUAUGCAUAACAAUCUAAAAUUCAUAUCUAGUGGUUAUACUAAAAUCAGAUACUCUAACAUAUUUAUCUAAUUGAUUUACUACAUUUAGUCUCUAAAUUUUGCUUUUAAGAUUUUUAGUUUUAAUUUAUUCUUAAUUCUAAUUUUGAUAUGUCAAAUCAAUUUUAGAAUUAAUCUAUUUUAGUAUUUAAUUAGUUUAUUAAUCAUCAAUUUUCGUGGGACAAUAUUCUUUCUCAUAAUUAUAUUACUUGUUCAAUACGUUCACUUGCAUUUAGAAUUUUACGAACAAAACCUCUCUCUCACUCAUGAAGGAAAUCACUCUCACUCAACAAACAAAAAGGGAGUAUUUUCUUUCAUGACGCUACAAUAAGGGUGUAUUUAAUUCAUGAAAAAUCAGGUACAUCCCUUUGGUGAUGUGCUUUUCAAUCGGUGAUUCAAGUUUUCUUGGACACAUUUCUUGUAUGUGGUUUUUGCAUUACUCGAUGAUAUGUAACUAGAAUUUAUUUCCUUGACUUAUUUUACUGAGGUAAAUAAUACCACAUCAAUAUUGAUGCAUGUACAAAAAUUUUCAAUUUUCAAUGCUUGGGAACAUUUUGCACAACUCUAGCGAUCGCUUAUAAGCUGCACCUCACCUCAACGGCGACAUGGCAACAAUAGUCACGAUGCUAGAGUGUGGGCAAUGGCUUAGAUGAAUUUAGACCAAUUACUGAAGAAAAAUAUUAUUCAUACUGCAUAGAUUCUUAAUUCUAGGAUACUUUCUUUUCUGGCAAGAUAGGCUAAAGCUCAACGUGAAAAAUCACAAGGGGAACGAUCAAAAAUUCCGAAAAAGUCACCUGAAAUAUGCCCAAAAAUCGCUUGCGUUGGAUCCACUACACUUCCAAACUAUAAUCUUUGUUCAAGCUCAUUUAAUUUGUAUUUUGAUAUCGUUAUUGCCAUUAAAUUUUGUCAUUGUUACGAUGUGAUUAAUCUAAUCCUCGCACACAACUGGAGUGGUUAGGCGAACGCGCUCGAAGUCAAAGCACGUAUCGGAAAUCUUGGAUAUUCAUCUAUGCAGGGAUCAAAUCAAAGAAUGUACUAACUUUCCCAUAACCAAAUCAUUUUGCAAAAACCACGAGGUUUCUUAUUGCAAGCACAACUAAACAUGAACAUGAUACACGAUUCUGAUAUCUCCAAAACCCAAUUCAACUUCACCUCACCUGGUGAACCAGCUUGACUUAUUUAAUCAAGAUACAUCAAAGUACUAGAUUUCUCAACCAUAAUAUGGCACAAACUUCACAUAUGAUCAGUCAUGCCAUGAUCUUCACCCUCAUGCACUUAAAACGUGAGCAUCGAUGUCCUUGGUCAUGUCGAUGAAGAACGCCAUGUACUUGUCGGGGUUAGGGUCGCUCUCCUUGUACUUCUCGUACUCGAUGCUCAACUUAGCCAGACUGCCUUUCUCCUUCGGGAUGAGCUUGCAUACAGGCUUGAAGACCUUAAACUCGUCGAAGAUGUCGCCCUCAAUGCCAUGGAGGGUGAAUGACAUGUUGUCAUCGUCGAACUCAACCUUCUCUUUCAACACCCCUGAUUUUCCUUCUACAUAAUUGCACCAGCCAAAAAAAAUAAAGAAGUUUAGGGGUUAGGCAAUAUGUAGAGGGUCAUCAAUUGAAUUUCAAUGACAACAUCGCGUAAAUUUGUAACUAGAGAGAUGAAAAUUGAAUCAAUUACCAACGGUGUAAUUCCAAAUCUUGAUAGCUCCAUGCCGAUCCCAGUCACCUUCAUGAACUUUGACUCCUUGAAUGUUUUUGGAGGUGGCGGUGGGCAAUUUGUGGGAUUCGCUCCUCCAAAUCUUGAAGAACUUGUCAGCCGGUGAUUGCAGUUCGACUUCAGCUUCUACUUUUCCAUGCAAUUGAGCCAUUUUGUCGCAAAGAUUGAGAUACCAGAAAUUCUACAAGUUUUUCGCCACACUGCCUUUGUCGAGAAAAAAGUGGUUCACAAUUGUUUCUUGUAUAGACUUUGGCAUUCAUUUCGUCUCUACUUUUUCUUUUUUUUUCAUUUCGUCUCUACUUUAGGCCCCACAACGUGAUUCACGUGGUCCAGGGAUUUUUAUCAAUCAUAUCUUCCUGUCAGAAUUGCCGAUUGCUUUUUAAAAUGUAUUUUAGACCAAUAAAAUGAUAUGCCUGAGCAAUUUAUAGCUGUGGCCUUAUAUAUCCAUCCGUCAAUAAUUAAAUGGCUUAUCCGUACAUGAUUCUAUUAAAGUUGCGAGUGGAAAUCAUCUUUUAAGUCGAUUGAUCUGCCAAGCCCAACUUGAAGAUUAUAGAAAAUGCAUAAAAUAAUGAAAAUAGCUAAAGCUUGCCUAUAGGUGGAUUGGAGGCAUACUUGAUGCGUUAUAAGAUGCACUCAUCAUUGCUCGAAAUCAUUGUUGCAGUGCACAUGUGAGAGCGUUAAGCGAAAAAGGUUCCAUACUGAAGAUGCGAUGUAAGAAGUAAUAAAUUUGGCCCAUAAUUUAUUAAUUUAAACUUUUAAGAGAAAAUAGUAUAAUUAUACUGAUGGGUUUUGACAUUAGCUCUCUCUAAUAAUCUUCACAAAUGAAGAUAUUAGCUUUUAACAAGUGGUAAUCUAGUCGAUGGUUACAAAGAAUUGAUAUCUAGUAAAUAUUUAAAAAGAAAAAAGAAAUUUCCAAUGUGACUCAUUGAUCGGGUGGCAGAUGGUGUCCCCCGCUUCUUGCCAUGUUUGGCUGGGCAAAGGCAAUUGAGGUGGAAUUAGAAGGGCAGGUUAUUCUUGCAAACUUUAGGCAAACUUGGCAAGGCCAAGAAGGAGAUUCGAGCUGGGGAUGUUGAUGAAGAAGGAUACUUGAAUAAAGAGUGAGCUACCCUAAGGAAAGAGGCUCACAUGUGGGGAGAGGGGAUUGGUUUAAGUGUUACAUGCGAAGGUAUUAAAUGAAGAGGUUUCACAUCAAAGAUGUAGUGUAAGGUGCAAUAAUUGAAUUGGCCCAAUUAUUCAUUGGUCCAAAUUUUUGGAGUGACGAUAGGUCUCAAAUAGUUAAAUCGAUAGAUUGAGAGUUGGGUUUUUUUUUAUAUCUUUUCACAAUCACUAUAAGUGAAGGUGUGGAGUUUCUUCUAUGCUCCUAACAAUUGUUAUGCACUAGUCUCACCAUUAGGUAUACUAAUAUUGGUUUACCAAAUUGUGUAUACUUAUUGACAUGACAUAGUGCAAGUGGACAUUUAAUCAAGUGGGCCAAUAUCAAGACCCGAUAAUAAGCCAACCACGUCACUUAGUAUAAAAUUUUGUGAAUUAAUCCCACUACAAUAAGCAAUCCUCUGUAGAUAUUACCAUUCGCAUGCUAGGUUAAUUUCAUUGAAAUAUCCUACUUCAUAUAACAUAUUGGAGCAAGAACAUCAAAGACCUUAUAUUAUGCCUGUUAUGACACAUUUAGUCCAAACUAUUUUUUUUGUGAUACUACAAUUCACAAAUUUGUACCCUAGUGUUACAUUUAUCAUUUGUUAAGGUUAUGUGAAACCUGAAAAUGGAGAGUCUUCAGCUGCAAUGGGGACUAAAGAAGCUCUAUUGCGUCAAGAACGUGGCAUUGUUGAUGCUGCUACUUGGACCAGAUCUGGGCAGUAGCAAGAUCUGGGCAAGCCACCCAAGCUUCUAGCUCAACCGGCCAUGGAGGCCGCUAACUUUGAAGCCAGAUCUGACCUCGAAGCUCACAAUCGCUAUGGCCAAAUCUGGCAGGUGGUUAAACAAGGGCCGACAAACUCCACCGGAGGUCCAAGCGGUGAUGGGGCAGCGAGAGACAAGCGCCAAAGGAGCUUGGGCGAAGCAAUUGUGAACUGGAAGACGAUGAAUAGUAACUUUUAAUGCGAUGAACAGUAACUUUGAAGACGAUGACCAAUAACUUGUGAUAAAUAGUACUUUGAAUUUUCUUUUUUUAUCUUUUUAAUCUUUUUCUGAUGUGGUGCUUACAUGACACUGCGUGGUGCCACAUUAGCGGCACUUUUCCUUGGAAAAAUAUUAAUAAUGGCACAUCGAAUUCACAUGUGGUUCUAAAUAGAACCCUAAUAAAGGGUAAAUGUAUUAUUUAAAUACAAAUUUAGAGUUUUUGGUGUCACAAAAAAAAAAGAAAUAAAUGUGUUACAAUUGGUAUAAUGUAUAAUUUUUUAUGACUAUUUCUUUUAUAUAUGACAUAAACACUCAAGUUUUUGAGAAAUAUGGAUAUUCAAUGCAUAUAGUUAUCUUUUUGGCGGACAGCCCUAUUAACAUUUGCUGCCAUGACAGUGGCCUGAAUUUGCAUGUUCACAAAAGAAAUUGUAAGUGCGCUCAACUUAGGAAAAAUUAGAUUCUAUCCGAAGAAUCCAAACGCACCCUAACCAUCUCUCUACGCGCCCCUAACACCAAAUGCGCACCUCUCCCUCCAAUCGUCCCCAUCAAUGGCGACCUUUGCUGCUUCACCACCUACCACCGGUGUCGAUGAGGGGUCCCCUCCGACGUAUAUAGUGAAUUAAGGCCUCCGCCGACACCUUUCUCUCUCUUUCUGAGUGGAAACUGAGCUACUGUCAAACUUGUCAUGAGGAGUCGAUCUCUGUCUUGUCACCUGUAACCAGAUAUUUUAUGGCAACACCAUCUACAAGAGGCACCUCCUCCGGAUAUUCGCUUGCCAUCGACAACUAGCCACGAUCUUGACGGUGAUGGUCAUAUCUCGACGAGGCCCCGAUGUCAGCUUCUAGAAAGGGAGAGCGAGAGACAGGGGUGGUUGGGAUUUGAUUAUUUAUGUCGAGAACCAACUAAUACAGUAUGUCUCGAUACUAGCAGAUGGAAACUAUUAGGAAGGGACAAAACAUCCUCAUUUGCUCCUUUAGGUUUUGCUUGGGAAUCGAGGGAGAAUGGAGGUGAUGAAGAUUAGGGUUGAAAAUAUUGAAAAGUUUAAAAUUCUGAUGAGAAGGAAGAGAAGCGAAGGUUUGGUGGGUUUGCUUCUCUCUUUCCUCCCCUUCUUCUCUUCCAAACAGAGCUUUAGGGCGAGACCACCAAAUUGUCACUGAAGAAAGUCACCCUAGAAAUUCAGUCGAUCAUAGGCUCAUCGUUGGUUUCCCUGGACAGGGGAUGACCAUUCUCUCCCGGCAACUUCCGACUCAUUUCGUAUGCUUCCUAUAAUAUACUCAGCCUUUUAAAUUUGCCCAAAUUUGCAACAAAAGAGAUGCUAAAGUGAUGCUUUCUUAGGGGUGGAUAUAAGAGUUUUCUUGAUGUGAGUUACAUUAAUUGAUAUUGUAAUUUACCAUUUUACGGUUGAUCCGUAAAACGAGGUUUGGUCUAAAGUGAGAUAAAAGGUUUCUUAAUUAGUCUAGUAAGGAACUGGCUAGUGUAGGCCGAGUUGAGCCUGACCCAUAAUGAGGGGCUUGGCUGGAAAUUCGAUAAAUAAUGUUCAACUCUCUCCUCUAACCCUAAUUCUCACAUGUAUCCUCACAUAAGAUGUGUUUACCUAACGUUAGGGUGAGGGGGCCGCUUCAUUGAGCCAGUGAUACGAAGGGCAAUAAAGGAGAAGGACUUGAUGUAUGGAAUAUUGGUUUUCCACUUCCGCUUCAAGAUCAGUGGAUAUCAAAACAGGUGCAUUAAUAUUUCUUCUCAAUAAUGCAUGUUCUUGUUCUGAUUAUGGAGAUCUUGGGGUUACACAAUUUGCAUCCAACAUAUGGUAUCAGAGCAACCAUAACCUUAGAACUUGAACGCAUAAAAAAAUUUCCCUAAUUUGUGAUUUUCGUGAUUUUUUGUUCAAUAAAAAUAAAAUUAAAUCACAAAUUUAGAUUGUGCUUGACAAGACGAACAGAUCCGUAGGCAGCACGUCGCCAAGGGAUGCUGCACGCGCCCCCACACGAGGCCACGCGCCCCCACACGAGGCCACGCGCCCCCACAUGCAAGGCACGGCUCGCACGUGCGAUGCACGCGUCGUGCUAACGUCACGAUGACGUCAGCGACCAGGCCCGAACCGACCCGUUGACCGACCCGACCCGACCCGACCGAGGAUCCGACCUGAUCCGUUGACCGACCCAACCCGGUCAACUUUUGACCAAACCAGUCAGCCGGUUGGACUAGGCAGCUGGACCGAGCGGUCGAGUCAGGAACCGGUUGGACCAGUUUUUGACCGGAUCCUUCGCCCACGCGUGAGCCCCAAGCGCCGCGCACUCAGGCGGCGUGUGCGAGUGUGUGGGACCUCUGAUGGGCGCGUGGUUGAUGGCGUUAGAUUCAUAAGAUCCUCCUCUAACUUAUGGUAUAUUUAUUUUAUAUGUUUAAUGGUUUUAUAGAUGUGAAAAUACAUACAAAACCCUAAAUGCGCAUAUUUUUAGUGUAUUUUUUGCGUAUUUUUCUUACAUUUUUCUGUGAUUUUGGAAAUACAAGUGUUGGAUUACUGGUAUAUUAUCAUAUAAAUAUUAUAAAUGUGCAAUUCAUUAAUAAAAAUUAAACUUUAUUGUGAAUUGAAGCUGACUUAAUGAGAUACAACUAUUAUGGGAUAGUAAUUGAGCUAUAUAUUGAGGUGAUAAGAAACAAUUAGGUUAUGAAACUUUUGUUACUCAAGCAUACUUUUUACACGCUGGUAACCUUUGAAUGAUGGAUGUCUUUAGAACUCAUUAUCAAAUCGAUUGUACUAAUUAACACAUCUAUUGAAUUUAGGUAAUGUAUGUGAGUUAAGUUAUUGCAUAUUGUACCUAAACUCAUCCGAUCACUAGUUGAUAUCUAUCAAGUUAAACAUUUUUUGUUAAUGGUUAAGGAGUAUUGAAACAUUUACUCAUAGCAAUAGUAUCUACUAUUGUAGUUUGGAUACUUAAUUCUGUGAUUUGACUCAAUUAAUAGGUCACUGAUUGAUGCAAUGAUAAUUUGUUACUUAAAAUUGUCUAAUAAAUCAGCUAUUGACUUUAGAGACGUUGUUUAUCUUAUGAAACUCAUAAGCAAUAGUUGAUCAACUGUCGAGAUUGUCAAUCUGGAAUACCCUAUAUUACUAAAAUAAAGCAAUGUAAUUAGCAUGAUAUGUGAUUUUAGUGAUUUAUUAUCCAUAUUACUAAAGUUAAAAUCACAUGUAUAUGGUGUAUGUGAGAAGUAAAGUUUAUAUCCCUAAUAUGAGAAAGUUUCAAGAAUUCAAUUGAGCAGUAACUGCUAAAAUGGCACGCUUGAUUGGAUUUGAGAAAUAUCGGUCACGUAUAAUGAUUGUGAUGUCUCCUGAUCUAAUACAUGGCCAUACUCCCAAAUGAGGUGAUUGUGUAUUAGUUUAUAGAGGGAUACAUGAUGGUGUGGUGGAGGAGUGACUGAUCCUAGUGGUUCAUAUGCUCAAAGGUGAUGAAUUCACGAAGAUUUGAAUAUAUUCUCAUAACCGCUAUCAUGUGGGAAGUGUACAACCGCAUGUCAUAUAUUCUGCCCAAAAAUAAUUAUAUGAUUAUACAUAUAACUCUCUGAAUAUUUACUUAUACGUCAAGUUACACAAUACUCACAUGAUGCUAAUUAUAUACAUUGCUUGUUUUUUCAGUCACAUUUUCUGUAAUUAAUAACUUCAUUAUUAUUGAGAUUUUUACUGCUUCAAAUUUUAAGUAGUGGGCUUGGGAAAAGAGUAAUAAAAUUUGCUUACUGUCUAUGAAGUGUUCCAUUCAAGAACACUUGAAAAGUGAUUUGCCUACGAGCUCCACUACUAGGCAAAUGAUAGAAGUCUUAAUGGCUUGAAAUUAUGUCUUGUCUAAUAUCAAAAUUAGGAUACAUCUACAAAGAUUGUGUUUAAGACAUAAUGAUAUAUAUUAUAUAUAUAUAUAUAUAUAUAUAUAUAUAUAUAUAUAUGUCUCAUAUACGGUUGAAAAUGUUGUUUCCAAAAGUUUUCUAUUUAAGAAAAAUAACCGAGAUAAAGAAUAAAACAGCUAUAAUUAGUCUUAAAGGUUAUCAAGCUUAAUAGUAGCCGUGAAUAUUUUGACAAGUAUGACAAUGCUGAAUAGCUUAAAGGAUCAUUUGUCAAAUACUUGGUCAAUUCUUGGGUGAUAACUUAAUUUACUAUGCCGAAAAAUCCUAACAAAAAGAUUUGUCCGAAAGGCAUAAUUACACCAUAAUUAACAUGGUGAUGAGUAAGACUAAUUUAUACGAUCUACUAUGGUUGAUAUUUUGAAAGCAGCAUUUUCACAUACAAAAGAUAUCUCUUACCAAAGUUGUUUCAUAAACUUCUUUUGAGUUAUAGACUGGACGUAAAUCACUUAAAUCAUAUUAAAUUUAGAGGUGUCAUGCAGAAGUGAGGUUAUCUAAUCUAAUAUUAAGUGCGUUGGAAUUUAGAUUAACUUAAAAUUAUUUUAUAUCUUACCCAGAUUGUUUAAAUAGAUAUUAAUUUUAUGACCCUAACAAAGGUACAAGAAUUAUGAAAUUACAUACUGUAAAGUUUCUAGAGUUUGACAUAGUUGUAGAUGAUUGUUGCUCUCAGACUAUUAAGGAUAAUAGUACGAUGGAGGUUACUGUGUCUUUUUGCUUAUAAAAUAAUUAUAGAUUAAACCUGUUGAAGUUUAAGGUACAAUUCUUAAUCUAGUUUAUGAUGAAAAUUCUCAAAUCUCUCAAGUCAGAAUGAAGUGGUUCUAGUUUUACUUAGGAGAUUUAUUAGGGAAAAACGAUCAAUUAUACCAUCAAACUAUAUAGUCUAUUUGUGAGAGUAUGACUGCAAUAUCCUCUAUAUGGUUGAUUUAUCGACUUAAAUAAAUGUUGUUUCAUAUCCUCAAUCAAGUAUGCGAUUAAAUGUCAUAAAAUAUGAUAUGCAAUCUAUGAAACAUCAUAGUGUUUGGAAACUCAUUGACUUGCCUAAAGAUCACAAGUUCAUUAGUUGCAAAUGGCGUACAAAACUAAAAGGAUUUUAAAGAAAAAUAAAAAUUGUGGAAUUUAAAGCCAAACUAAUAACUAAAGUUUUCACUCUGAAAGAUGGAUGGAUAGUUAAUAGUGAAAAAAUAAUUAUUUAUUUCCAAUAUUUUUAAAGAUUCUUUCAGAGUGAAUGUGGCAUUAAUAGUUUUUUUUUUUAUGAAGUUACGCCAAAUAGAUACAAUAUAUAUAUAUAUAUAUAUAUAUAUAUAUAUAUUUGCAACUUGAAGAUUUUGCAACAGAUGUUUUAAGUAAAAUUAUGUGUAGACUGAAAAGUUUUAUUCAUAGUCUUAAGCAAGUUUCCAAAUAAUAUUAUUAAAGUUUCAUAGUGUUGUUAUUUUGUUCAAUUGGGAACAAAAAAAUUCAAUAUACUACAAGGUUAGUGGGAGGAAAUUUAUUUUUCUCAUACUCUAAGUGAUAUGUUGUUUACAAGUAGUGACCUUGAGACAUCUUUUAUCCUUUGUACUGAGAUUCGUAAGGAUUGUUUUUGUCAUAUUAUAUUAGAUUUUCUCAGAGGACAUUUGCUGAUCGUAUAUUGAAAUUAUUCAAUAUACAUCAUUGCUGGCUAGGAAUUGCUCCUGUUGUUAAGGGUGAUGGAUUGAAUCUAUCACAUUAUCCUUAUUUAGAUAUUGAGAAAAUAUAAUUAAAUGGUAUACCUUGUAUCAGUGCACUUAAAAGUAUAAUGUAUGCUCAAAUUUGCACUAGACUAAAUAUUGUUUUUGCAACGAAACUUCUAAGCAAAAAUCAAUCAAAUCUAGGAUGCAAUCACUAGGUUGCUGUCAAAAAGGUUUUAAGGUACUUAAAAAUGACAAGAUGUUAUAUGUUAAUUUACAGACAUAUUCAAUUCUUACAACUAGUAGGGUAUUCAGAUGUAAACUUUGAUGGUUGUUAGGAUGACAUGUGAUGAAUAACAUAAUACAUUUUUAUGUUAGUAGGAAGUACAGUAAAUAAAGUUCUAUGUCAUCUCUUACUAUGUAAGUAGCGUUAGUAACAUUCUUUUAGACUGUUACUUGGGCUAUUAAACUCUGGAACCUCAUGAAAGAGUUAACCGUUUUUAACUUUAAAAUAGACCCAUACAUUUGUAUUGAGACAAUAAUUUUGUAGGAUUAUUAAUAAUAGAGGUCUCAAUGGGUCUAAAUAUAUGGCGGUCAAAAUUUUUUACCAGAAUGAAACAAUACAAAAAUGUGACGUAAUAAUAUAACAUAUUUUCACAGAUGAUAUGGUUGCAAAUUCACUAAUUAAAAGCCUAUGCCCAUGUGUAUUUGAGCGACAUGUCAUUAGUAUAGGCCUAGGAGCAUCAUGAGAUGUUGUUUAGUGAGAGCUAUUUUGGCUUUACUCUGAUAAAGGUUUCAUCUGUGUUCGUUACACUUUGUAACGGUUUGAUAUGUAUCAACUUUUGCAUACAAUAAAAUAUUUUUGAAUGUAUUGUUAUUAUGUUGAAUACAUAUUGAUAAAGUCUCAAGGUAUUAUAUAAACCUUGAGUGAAGGUUAGGGGCAUUCGAUUAUUAAUCUUGUGCAUAUGUCUUGUUAGACAUAAAGAAAUGUUAACCGUAAGGACAAGACAUAUGUGGGUUCAUUGGAACCAUAAAGACAUUCUCUAGUGACACAAGUUUUUGUGACACUUAAGGUAAGAAAAUUGUGAUUGACAAAUGGGAUCUUUCCAUAAGAGAUGUUAUCAAUUUGCCACACUACCAUAUUGAAUCCAUAUCAAUAAAGUUGAGAGCACUCGUGACCAUGGAAGGCUCUGUGUGUAUACAUGCAGUUAUUGCCAUGAUUCGUGUUUGAGACUUUAUGGGAUGGGAUUGAUUAUUAAGAAUUAUCUCUAGACCAAUGUGCACACAUACGGUAUAAUUUCAAUUAAUAUAGCUCAAGUGGGAGAAUGUAAGAGUUUUCCUAUUAAUUAAUAUUGUAAUUUACCAUUUUACGGUUACGGUAAAACGAGAUUUGGUCUAAGGUGAGAUAAAAGGUUUCUUAAUUAGUCUAAUAUGAGACUAGCUAGUGUGAGCCGAGUUGAGCUUGGCCCGUAAUGAGGGGGCCUGGCUGGAAACUUUAUAAAUAGUACUUUAGUCUUUCCUCUAAUCCUAAUUCUCACAUGCAUCCUCACAUAAGGAGCGUUUACCUAACGCUAAAGGUGAGGGGGCCGCUUUAUUAAGCCAAUGAUACAGAGGGCAAUAGAGGAGAAUGACUUGAUGCAUAAAACAUUGGUUUUCCGCUUCCGCUUCAAGAUCAAUGGAUACCAAAACAGGUGCAUCAAUCUUUCUUCUCAAUAAUGCAUGUUCUUGUUCUGGUUAUAGAGAUCUUUAGGUUGCACAAUUUGCAUCUAACAGUGGAAACUUCAUGAAAUAGCUCGAAUAAAAAUAUAGCAAGCAUUCUUAAUAAAAUAAAAAGUGACUAGAAUAUUACCUCGGGCGAUGCGCGAGAUGGAGUAGGUUUAAAAAAAAAUUCUAAUUUGUAAAUAAAAUGGCAAAUCCAUCUAAUAUCUUUUAAUUUUUAUUUUUUUCAAAAGAAAAUGUACAUAAGUCAAUCAACAAUUGCUAGUCUAAGUUAAUAAUGCACUAAACCAUCUUUCAUUAUUUUAAGUGUGUUCAAAUUAUCAUAUAUAAAUUGCCCCGUGCUUGGGCGCAAAAAAGCUCGUGAUGAAUCAUGUGAUUACAAUUUUUAUGCAAUAUACAAAGGUAAAUUAUAAUUGGCAAAGGAGUCGUAUUUAGCAUAAAAUAACCUAGACAAUAAUCAAAAUUAACAAAUCUAUCGUAAAAUUCAUUAUCAAACAUCAUCAGUGGUUAAAUUAAGUAAGCUAUCAAAAUAUUAUAAGAUAAAUAUAGCAUGACCAUUUCAUUGGACGAAACGUGGAGUGAGUAAUAUGUAUAAUUAAAAAGUAGGAAAAUAUAAAUAAAUAGAAGCUAAAGUUCUCAUUAACUAUGGAUUUUUGUUAGGUCCACUAUUAGUGUAAAAAAUAAGUCACACUAUCACCUAGAUUGUUGAGGAGUGAAUAAAUUUGUUACAUUACUAUCUUCAUGCGGACGUGUCAUCCAUCUAAUAGUUUUUGUGUAGAAAGUUCUUUAUACUCAUAGUGAACUUAAUAAUAAUCUUUUUAAGUACUAAAAAAGACUUAAAAACUCAGAUGAUGAAUAUAUGACAUGCUUUCCAUUAUAGGGAAAAUUAUUCAAGAAAUUCUAAACCUAUUACCCUUUGAUCAAUUCAAUCAUAAACCUUUUAAUUGUGUCAAUUAAGUCCUAAACUUUUACAUGUUUUGUCAUUUAAGUUUAUUUGGCUAAUUUAACUGAAAAUCUUUAACAUGAAUGGCAAUAGUGCCACAUAAAAUAGUCAAUACUAACAUGGAUAAUUUUUUAUAACUUUUUCUUUUUUUCUUUUCUUCUUCUUUUUUUUUUUUUUUUGUUUUCUUUCUUUUCCUUUUUUUUCUACCAAGCCUGGCAAGGUAUCAGCAACCCUCACCGGGCUUGGAAGGGAAAAAAAAAAGAAGAUUUGUUAGCGCAUUAAGGGAAGGAGAUAGAUGAAACAAGAAGUCGAGACCUUUGGCUUCAAUAUCAUAUUCAAUUUGGGAGGACAUCUUCUAUAAAAGUGAAAAUUAUUUAAAAACGUUGUUAAUCACAUUAUUAAGCAUCAACAUGAUUGUAUCUCGAGAAGAAGCGGGAGAUCUUAUACUUGAUUUAUACNNNNNNNNNNNNNNNNNNNNNNNNNNNNNNNNNNNNNNNNNNNNNNNNNNNNNNNNNNNNNNNNNNNNNNNNNNNNNNNNNNNNNNNNNNNNNNNNNNNNUCGACUGAACUUGAGACGGAGGUUUAGCCUAAUGCAAGAAAAACUAGCCGAUAGGAUCAUCCUGCCAGACUAUAAGGAAGCAACUUUCCAUGACUCUCCAUUUUAAACAAAGGAAAACCCUAAUUUUGACUGGAUCAGAGAAGUAGACUAUGUCUCAUACAGGCGGCUACACGCAAACAAUUGCCUUUCUUUCGAUAAUGCUAAAGAAACGCAAUAAAGACAUCAUAACAAGUUUAUAAGAUUAAUCUACAAAGCAUAAGUGGAUGUUUAAAUAAUUAUUACGUCCUACUUGAGUAUUCAAAUUGAAGAUACAGCAUCGAUUUAUGAACCGUGUAAUUUUAAUUUUUUAAUAUUAUUACACAUCAAUCUUUGAUUUUCAGCUAACAUUAUUUUAAUUUUUUAAUAUCCACCUACAUCGAUAAAAAAAAAAUUGACAUAUCUUAUCUCUUUCUGUUUAUUUGUUUUUUUUUUUUUUAAUAAGAUGAGGUCCUGAAAAAGCUUUGACCGAGUGUCGGCCAAAGCUUCUGAGGGCAUGAUAGAUGAAGUUACUGUAUUGAAAGCUAAAAAUAGAAUAAUCCGUGUAAUUUUCCUAACUUAUCGCCUCAAAUCUGCACACUUGAUUGCGAGUUGUGGUUCUAUGGGUGGACCAUAGAAGGAGGUCCGCCAAUGACUGAAAAGAAUUGCUAAAUACCGUGAUACUACAUUUUGCACAGCCGUUGAGAUCAUAUUGAAAUUUCACACCAAAGUCUAAGAGUAAAUUGAUUAAAUUAAGUUUAAGAUUGAAUUGACAUUUAUACAAUAGGUUGUAGAUUGACCGAACGAUUUAUACAUUAUAAAUGCAUUUGAUUACUAAUCGGUGGUCGCUUGAAAAUGGAGGGAAUUUCACACUGGGAAUUUGCUAAAGAAUGGUGGGUGACUUAUCUUAUAGUCAGUACUAAGUCGUAGGCUUAGCUUUAUCAAACAAGUUUAUAGAUGAAUUAUAUUUAAUAAAUAAAUAAAUAAAAAGGAAGGUGCUUGUUUCAAUAAUUCGAAUUGGAAUCGUCGGUUUGCCAAACAAAUUUAAUUGUCGACUGUGCAAUCGCAUGAUUCAUGGUAUUUUCACUGUUUUCAAUCGAAGAAUAUAAGGUACAUUUUAAAUUAAUUUUGUCAAAAUCUUCAAACCGACGCUGUAACGAUUAGUUGGGAGACAAUAAAUGGUGCUCUGAAAGUGAAGGUGUUGAUAGAUUUUCAAAGUGUUAUUGGGGUUAGGUUUGUGAUUGAAUCCGCACAUGUUUGGUAAUAGAGGAGUGGAAGGCUCAAAAAAGUAUCUUAUGGUGUCUAAUCCUAGACCAGGAGGGUUUCUUAUCAGAAAUUAUGGUCUUUGAAAAAGUGUUUACCAACUAGAAAAGUGUUAACUAUUUAGUUUUCGAUCUUGUACAUUCACGUUUUCUUAAUCAAUGUCCAAUCAAAUCAUUUUACUUUUAUAAUUUUUUUAAACAAAUCCAUCCGACAACAAUCUAGCGAAAUCCAACCAACAUGACUGCGGAAUGUGAUGAGGAUUAAAUAUUUUUCUGCCGAUUGUCUAUGUGAGCAUCUAUAUUGGUUAAAAUUUAUAGGCAUCAUAUUCUGACGCUGUUCAAUAUGGGUAUAUUUUCAUACAAUAGUGCCCAUAUAGGUGUCCAUAUUGACUAAAUUCCAUCCAUGUUAUGCUGAGAAGCAAGAGAUUUGGUGGCCAUGGCUGCAACUAGUGGGUUAAGCAGCCAUGGCACAAGCACAGAGAGAGAGAGAGAGAGAGAGAGAGAGAGAGAGAGAGAGAGACGAUGGCGACUUGAGCUGGCAUGGAUGGCGACUUGAGUUGGCAUGGCAACUGUUGUGGCCUCAAUAUACGAGAUCAGUGACCAACUCCAAAGGAGCAACGACGGCACGCACGGUGGAGAGGGGGAACUGUGGUGGCAGGUGUGUUAGUUGGAGCAAGCCUAUCAGAUGGGGAAAGAGUGCGUGGAUUUUGGGUUUUAUGGGAGUAAGAGUAGUUUGGGAAAUGGAUGCGUGUGUUGGAUGUGUUUUGAGUGAUAAUGUGAUUUAUGGUAGAUGAAGAUCACCAUCAAAGCAUGAAGAACAUGCCAUCAGCAAAAUAUGUAGAUUGAGAUAGAUGAAGUUCAUAGCCAGAGACAUAAAGAAACACCACUUGCCAAGGCUAAAGGGACAUCGAAUAGAUAAAGUUCACCACCAAGAUAUCAAGAACAAGCUACCAAUCAAGGAUAAAAGCCUUCAAGAUGGGAGAGAUUCACCACCGAAGCCUAAAGGAAACAUACCAACUAAUGAUAAAGAACUUCUUAGUCCAUCAUUAAGGAACUUACAUUAAAAAAAAAAAAUGGGGCAGAAAUUAGCUCAUUUGAGGAAAAUCCCAUAUACUCACCAAAUUCAAAUCUUCUAUCUUACAAAUGAGAUUACACCUCUAUUUCUGGAGAGAUUUUGCUAAACAAUAGAAAAGACUCUUGAAGUCUAAUAAAUUGAAAUGACUCUAGGAGUAUUUACAUAAUUAAGACUCUUGAAAGUAACAGCAUAUUAAAGGUUAGUAAAAACUAGGACUUGAGAUCUGUAAACUAAGUAUAAAGAUGACUAAUAAUUAGGAAUAAAUGCAUUUAAUGCAUUUAUCUAAGGUUAAAUGCUUUAUAACUUGACUUUAUCCUCCAAGUUUAUCCAUUGAUUUAGGCAGUCAAAUAAACACCUUGAAAGAUCGAGAAAUAGCAGAGGAAAUCGACCAAAAAUAGCCUCUAGUCUCUAGGUAGUCAAUUAGUAGUUUCUACGACCCAAAAAAAAAAAAAAAAAACAAUUAGUAGCUUCAAAAUUGACCAUAAACCUUGUAAAUCAAUAUCUUAGUAGUCGAUGGGCAACCAUGAAAUCGACAACUAGCAUAUAGAAUCACACCUGCAAACUUAAGCCCGUCAAACCAGAUUGUAGCCAAAAUUGGCCUUUGCUUGCAAAAGUAAAGAUUGAGCUGGUUUAACAAUGAUAACUAAGUUAAACUUGACAUAGAACCGGAUGCUUUUGCAUAAGAAAUAAAUGGUAAUUUGAUAAGUCAUGUGUGAGUGAGAAAAAACUUGAAAUCAAUUGUAAAUAUUGAUCAUAAUUGAAAGUUUGAAAUGUGAGGAAUAUAUUUGAUUUAGGAAGUAAAGUUAGAAGAUGAUUUUUGUAAUUUACUGAGAUUUUAAAUGCAAUGACAAGCUUUUCCACAACUUAGCCUUUUACAUUCUAAAAGAGACAUCACAAUUUAUGCAACACUUGCCGAAGCCCAAUCCGUCAGGAAGGCCUGGUGGAUGCAAGCCUAUUUACUCACAACCUUCGAUUUUUUGGCCCAUUCUGAUAAAGACUGCAAAGGGUAAAUCCCCUUUUUGGUGUUGAGUUGAUUUUGUGGGAAGGGAAACGAUAUUUGCAUUGACAUAAUAUAUGAUACGUUUAGCAUCCUGUAUAUAAGGGUCCGGUGUCCACUUUGACCUGGAUAAUUCCAAUACAUAGAUUAAAUAUCUCCCAAAUAAAGUGAUCCGACCUAGAAGUUAGGAUAAGUCUGGAUAGUUUUCAUUUAUUCGGGAAAAGAUGAAUUUGUUCUAAAAUCGGAUCUUUGGAGAACUAGUAAUCAGUUUGAAACCAACAAAUGCUAUAUAUCAAGACAUUUUAAAUCCCAAAAUUUAUACAUUUCUUAUCCAGUCCUAUCCAACUACAUAUCAUGACCAAACAUAGUCUCCAUGAAUGAUGGUCCUUAAAUCAAGUCAACCUCACAUGUAGACUGGCAUGUCUUGUAGUUUUUUCCAAUCAUGGAUGCAUUUGAAUCACAUGGAUGCGAACACAACCUAUGAACUCAAUGCCAACUUACCUGGAAAACAUGCCAUGGAUCAAAUCAGCGCAAGUGGGAACGUUAUACAAGCAAUCUUUUGACAUGGCCUUUUAGAAACUUAAAAACCAACACACCAUGAAGUUUUUUUUUUUUCAUUUGAACCUUUUGAUGAAGUACACACGCUGACUCUAUUAAGCAUGGUAAAAUGAUAAGAACUAGAAACACUUGCCCUUCAACUAUAGAUAAUAGAUGAUAAUAGAUAUUGCACUGAUAAGUGAUAAACCAGUUUCUAUUUGGUGUAACAUGAAAAGAAUAACUAGAAUCCAAAAUCCAUCCAUCAAGCGAUGAAUCAUUAGUGACAGACAAGACAUAAUCAGCACUAUCUACUACAACUGCAACAUUAUCUGCAGAAUCAAUUAUAAUUUCCUUACCCUUCUCAUUUUUCAACUUAAGGCAAUCCCUUCUAAAAUGCCCCCUCUUGCCACAGCUCCAAUAGACAACAUUAGCAGUCCUAGAUUGACUACGCAUGUUCAUAUUAGUACUACUCUUACCCACACAUGUUAUAGAUCUUCCUAUAUUUUCACUUACUAAAGCAGUAGAUACAGAUUAGCCAAAUUCUCUUCUACGAAUAUCCUCGCUCAAAAUUAAAUCUCGAACCCCAUCAAACGUUAAACUUAUUGACCUUGAGGAAUUACUAACAGCAGUAACAGUAAUAUUCCAACUAUCAGGCAAUGAGGAUAACAGAAUCAAAGCACGUACCUCAUCUUCAAAAUCAAUCUCAAUUGAACUCAAUUGACUAACAAUCAUAUUGAAUUCAUUGAUACGAUCUGCAACUGACGCACCUUCUCUCAUCUUCCAAUUAAACAAACAUCGCAUCAAAUAGACCUUGUUGAUCGUAGAGGACUUCUCGUACAUAUCCGAUAAGGCUUGCAUCAAAUCAGCAGUAGUCUUCUCCUUCAAGAUGUUAAAUGCAACGUUACGAGCAAACGUCAUCCAAAUAACACCCAUAGCUCGUCUAUCCAGCAAAUCCCAAUCAGCUUGCUUCAUCAUCUCUAGUUUCUCCCCAGACAAGGGCAAGUGCACUUUUAUCUGAUAAAGAUAAUCUUCAAUAUCUGCAUCUUCCAAAAACUAAAAUCCUUCACAUCAAAUCUAUCAAUUCUCACUUUUACUUCUUCUGUCACCAUCGAUUCGCUUCAACUUAGCCAAGCCUGGCUCUGAUACCAAUUGUUGCGAUAAAGCGAGCGAUUGAACAAUAAUAUAGACAGAUGAAAAAAUAAAUCGGACACCAGAAUUACGUGGUUCAGUCGUAAAGACCUACGUCCACAAGGAAAAUAGCAGCGAAUUUCACUAUAAAUUAAGCGAUACAAGGAGAUUACACAAUCGAGUUACUCAAACACUCUCUCGGUGUUUCCCAAACCCCAAUUUAACCCCAAAUCCAAGUGUUUAUAAAUAAACAACUUACUUAGAGAUAAACUCACGGCACAAAAUUACCGCGCGUUCAAGCUCAAAAUGCGCGUGGAUUCAAGGACUUGCGGCUCCCUUCUACGUACAGCUUUUCUUUUUCUGAUCACACAGGGCUUCAGCGGCAUGGUCCUUGUCUCGGCAUGUACGUAUAGCGGCCAAGCAAGCAAAAACCCUCACUAUCGGCGUCCCUUUUAUAUGUGUGCCCCAAAAGUCAAAUUCUUGACCUAGGGCCCACCUUCUUUUCCUUUUUGGCUUCACGUGAAAGACGCUACAUUGGCCUUUCAUGUCUUUGUGUGUGCAUGUGUGCCCAAGGUCAAACUUUUGACCUUGGGUCACACCAUUAACCAAUCUUCAAUUGUCGAAGGGAAUCACGUGCAGGGGCUUCACUUUUCUUUUCUUCAAUUCGGAUUCCGCAAGCUUCCAUGUGGCAAAGAGGAAACUUUGUUUUCAUUUUCCUUUUAUAUUUCCUCUUUUAUAAUCCUUCGUGUAGUCCCACAAAAACUUGAGACAUAAUUUAACAAGUAGGAUCAAUUUAUAGUGAAUAUCUCAAAAUAAGAAUUUGCAGUGUGACUCUUCAAUCUAGGCAAUGGAUGGCGUUCCUUACUUCUUGCCAAGUUUGUCUUGGCAAAGCCGAUUGAGGUAGAGUUAAAAGGGCAAAUGUUAUUCAAGCAAACAUUAGUCAAACUUGGCAUGGCCAAGGUAGAGAUUCAAGCUAAGAAUGUCAAUGUAGAAGGACACUUGAAUUAAGAGGGAGCUAGCCUAAUGGAAUAGGCUCACAUGUUGGGGGUGAUCUAUUUAAGUGCAUGUGUGAAGGUAUUAGGUGGAAAAAAUUCCACCUCAAUGAUGUGGUGGAAGGUGGAGCAAUUAUUUUGGUCUAGUAAAUCAUUUAUUUAAGCUUUUGGAGUGGAGGUGGGUUUUACUAUAGGCUCAGAGUUGGGCUCUGGCAAGACCUAGUGUAAGGUGGAGCAAUUAGUUUAGCCAAAUAACUCGAUAAUUCAAGUUUUUGAAGCAGAGAUGAGUCUAACUAAAUAUAUUGAUGGACUCAAAGUUAAGCUCCUUCUUCACCAUCUUCUCAAGUGAAGGUAUUGAAUUUCUUUUGUGCUCCUUACAAUUGUUAUACACUAGUCUCAACACUAGAUAUACUAAGACCGGUCUACAAAGUUUUGUAUCUAAGUGACGUGACAGAGUAUAAGUGACCAUUUAAUCGAGUGGGUCAUCGUCAAGACCUAAUAAAAAGCCUAUCAUGUCACUUAGUAUACGAUUUUCAGAUGUGAUCUCAAUAUACUUAGCCUCUUUUAUAGACAUUGCCAUUUCCAUAUAUGGGUUGAUUUCAUUGAAAUAUUCUACAUACACUUUGGGUUUAUUUGUUUGAAAGAAUAUCGUUUAUGGAAAAUGAUUUUCUGAAAUUCCAGCAUUUGGACAACAAAAAAACUAGCUGAUUUACAAAAAAAAAAAAAUCAUGAAUAGCAAAUAACUUCCUUUUUCUAAUGAAAAAGAAUUUCAUAUAUCAUCAAAUGAACGAAAAGUAAUUAUUUUUCUUGACAAAUAUUUUUAUGAAAUUUUUUCCCUUACAAGUUUUCGGGGAAAGAAACUCACUCCCUCUCUAUAUGGCAUAUACGCUCAAGCUUUUGAAAAAUAGGGAUUUUCAACGGGUAUGGUUAUUUUAUUGUCGGGCAGGGGGGUUAACAAAAUACCCAUGACAGAUUGCUUGCAUUUUCAACUUAUUUUCAACUUAGAAAGAUUCCAUUUUAUGAAAGAAUCCUAACUUCCCCUAAUCACACCAGUUUACUCCAAAUCCUCUCCCCCCCCCCCCNNNNNNNNNNNNNNNNNNNNNNNNNNNNNNNNNNNNNNNNNNNNNNNNNNNNNNNNNNNNNNNNNNNNNNNNNNNNNNNNNNNNNNNNNNNNNNNNNNNNGAUUGUGGUGGCAGGUGUGUUAGUUGGAGCAACCCUAUCAGCUGGGGAAAGAGUGGGUGGAUUUUGGGUUUUAUGGGAGUAAGAGUAGUUUGGGAAAUGGAUGCGUGUGUUGGAUGUGUUUUGAGUGAUAAUGUGAUUUAUGGUAGAUGAAGAUCACCAUCAAAGCAUGAAGAACAUGCCAUCAGCAAAAUAUGUAAAUUGAGAUAGAUGAAGUUCAUAGCCAGAGACAUAAAGAAACACCACUUGCCAAGGCUAAAGGACAUCGAAUAGAUAAAGUUCACCACCAAGAUAUCAAGAACAAGCUACCAAUCAAGGAUAAAAGCCUUCAAGAUGGGAGAGAUUCACCACCGAAGCCUAAACGAAACAUACCAACUAAUGAUAAAGAACUUCUUAGUCCACCAUUAAGGAACUUACAUUAAAAAAAAAAAAAUGGGGCAGAAAUUAGCUCAUUUGAGGAAAAUCCCAUAUACUCACCAAAUUCAAAUCUUCUAUCUUACAAAUGAGAUUACACCUCUAUUUCUGGAGAGAUUUUGCUAAACAAUAGAAAAGACUCUUGAAGUCUGAUAAAUUGAAAUGACUCUGGGAGUAUUUACAUAAUUAAGACUCUUGAAAGUAACAGCAUAUUAAAGGCUAGUAAAAACUAGGACUUGAGAUCUGUAAACUAAGUAUAAAGAUGACUAAUAAUUAGGAAUAAAUGCAUUUAUCUAAGGUUAAAUGCUUUAUAACUUGACUUUAUCCUCCAAGUUUGUCCACUGAUUUAGGCAGUCAAAUAAACACCUUGAAAGAUUGAGAAAUAACAGAGGAAAUCGACCAAAAAUAGCCUCUAGUCUCUAGGUAGUCAAUUAGUAGUUUCUACGACAAAAAAAAAAAACAAUUAGUAGCUUCAAAAUUGACCAUAAACCUUGUAAAUCAAUAUCUUAGUAGUCGAUGGGCAACCAUGAAAUCAACAACUAGCAUAUAGAAUCACAUCUGCAAACUUAAGCCCGUCAAACCAGAUUGUAGCCAAAAUUGGCCUUUGCUUGCAAAAGUAAAGAUUGAGCUGGUUUAACAAUGAUAACUAAGUUAAACUUGACAUAGAACCGGAUGCUUUUGCAUAAGAAAUAAAUGGUAAUUUGAUAAGUCAUGUGUGAGUGAGAAAAAACUUGAAAUCAAUUGUAAAUAUUGAUCAUAAUUGAAAGUUUGAAAUGUGAGGAAUAUAUUUGACUUAGGAAGUAAAGUUAGAAGAUGAUUUUGGUAAUUUACCAAGAUUUUAAAUGCAACAACAAGCUUUUCCACAACUUAGCCUUUUGCAUUCUAAAAGAGACAUCACAAUUUAUGCAACACUUGCCGAAGCCCAAUCCGUCAGGAAGGCCUGGUGGAUGCAAGCCUAUUUACUCACAACCUUCGAUUUUUUGGCCCAUUCUGAUAAAGACUGCAAAGGGGAAAUCCCCUUUUUGGUGUUGAGUUGAUUUUGUGGGAAGGGAAACGAUAUUUGCAUUGACAUAAUAUAUGGUACGUUUAGCAUCCUGUAUAUAAGGGUCCGGUGUCCACUUUGACCUGGAUAAUUCCAAUACAUAGAUUAAAUAUCUCCCAAAUAAAGUGAUCCAACCUAGAAGUUGGGAUAAGUCUGGAUAGUUUUCAUUUAUUCGGGAAAAGAUGAAUUUGUUCUAAAAUCGGAUCUUUGGAGAAUUGGUAAUCAGUUUGAAACCAACAAAUGCUAUAUAUCAAGACAUUUUAAAUCUCAAAAUUUAUAUAUUUCUUAUCCAAUCCUAUCCAACUACAUAUCAUGACCAAACAUAGUCUUCAUGAAUGAUGGUCCUUAAAUCAAGUCAACCUCACAUGUAGACUGGCAUGUCUUGUAGUUUUUCCAAUCAUGGAUGCAUUUGAAUCACAUGGAUGCGAACACAACCUAUGAACUCAAUGCCAACUUACCUGGAAAUCAUGCCAUGGAUCAAAUCAGCGCAAGUGGGAACGUUAUACAAGCAAUCUUUUGACAUGGCCUUUUAGAAACUUAAAAACCAACAUACCAUGAAGUUUUUUUUUUUUUUUUUUUCAUUUGAACCUUUUGAUGAAGUACACACGUUGACUCUAUUAAGCAUGGUAAAAUGAUAAGAACUAGAAACACUUGCCCUUCAACUAUAGAUAAUAGAUGAUAAUAGAUAUUGCACUAAUAAGUGAUAAACCAUUUUCUAUUUGGUGUAACAUGAAAAGAACAACCAGAAUCCCAAAUCCAUCCAUCAAGCGAUGAAUCAUUAGUGACAGACAAGACACAAUCGGCACUAUUGGCUACAACUGCAACAUUAUCUGCAUAAUCAAUUAUAAUUUCCUUACCAUUCUCAUUCUUCAACUUAAGGCAAUCUCUUCUAAGAUGCCCCCUAUUGCCACAGCUCCAAAAGACAACAUUAGCAUUCCUAGAUUGACUACGUCUGUUCAUAUUAGUACUACUCUUACCCACACAUGUUAUAGAUCUUCCUCUAUUUUCACUUACUAAAGCAGUAGAUACAGAUUCGCCAAAUUCUCUUCUACAAAUAUCCUCGCUCAGAAUUAAAUCUCGAACCCCAUCAAACGUCAAACUUAUUGACCUUGAGGAAUUACUAACAGCAGUAACAGUAGUAUUCCAACUAUCAGGCAAUGAGGAUAACAGAAUCAAAGCACGUACCUCAUCUUCAAAAUCAAUCUCAACUGAACUCAAUUGACUAACAAUCAUAUUGAAUUCAUUGAUACGAUAUGCAACUAACGCACCUUCUCUCAUCUUCCAAUUAAACAAACAUCGCAUCAAAUAGACCUUGUUGAUCGUAGAGGGCUUCUCGUACAUAUCCGAUAGGGCUUCCAUCAAAUCAGCAAUAGUCUUCUCCUUCAAGAUGUUAAAUGCGACGUUACGAGCCAACAUCAGCCAAAUAACACCCAUAGCUUGUCUAUCCAGCAAAUCCCAAUCAGCUUGCUUCAUCGUCUCUGGUUUCUCCCCAGACAAGGGCAAGUGCACUUUUAUCUAAUAAAGAUAAUCUUCAAUAUCUGCAUUUUCCAUAAACUAAAAUCAUUCACAUCAAAUCUAUCGAUUCUCACUUUUACUUCUUCUGUCGCCAUCGAUUCGCUUCAACUUAGCCAAGUCUAGCUCUGAUACCAAUUGUUGCGAUAAAGCGAGCGAUCGAACAAUAAUAUAGACAGAUGAAAAAAAUAAAUCGGACACCAGAUUUACGUGGUUCAGUCAUAAACACCUACGUCCACGAGAAAAGCAGUAGCGAAUUUCACUAUAAAUCAAGCGAUACAAUAAGAUUACACAAUCGAGUCACUCAAACACUCUCUCGGUGUUUCCCAAACCCCAAUUUAACCCCAAAUCCAAGUGUUUAUAAAUAAACAACUUACUUGGAAAUAAACUCACGGCACAAAAUUACCGCGCGUUCAAGCUCAAAAUGCGUGUGGAUUCAAGGACUUGCGGCUCCCUUCUACGUACAGCUUUUCUUUUUCUAAUCACAAAGGGCUUCAGCGGCAUCGUCCUUGUCUCGGCAUGUACGUAUAGCGGCCAAGCAAGCGAAAACCCUCACUGUCGGCGUCCCUUUUAUAUGUGUGCCCCAAAAGUCAAAUUCUUGACCUAGGGCCCACCUUCUUUUCCUUUUUGGCUUCACGUGAAAGACGCUACAUUGGCCUUUCAUGUCUUUGUGUGUGCAUGUGUGCCCAAGGUCAAACUUUUGACCUUGGGUCCCACCAUUAACCAAUCUUCAAUUGUCGAAGGGAAUCACGUGUAGGGGCUUCACUUUUCUUUUCUUCAAUUCGGAUUCCGCAAGCUUCCAUGCGGCAAAGAGGAAACUUUGUUUUCAUUUUCCUUUUAUAUUUCCUCUUUUGUAAUCCUUCGUGUAGUCCCACGAAAACUUAAGACAUAAUUUAAUAGGUAGGAUCGAUUUAUAGUGAAUAUCUCAAAAUAAGAAUUUGCAGUGUGACUCUUCAAUCUAGGCAAUGGAUGGUGUUCCUUACUUCUUGCCAAGUUUGUCUUGGCAAAGCCGAUUGAGGUAGAGUUAAAAGGGCAAAUGUUAUUCAAGCAAACAUUGGUCAAACUUGGCAUGGCCAGGGUAGAGAUUCAAGCUAAGAAUGUCAAUGUAGAAGGACACUUGAAUUAAGAGGGAGCUAGCCUAAUGGAAUAGGCUCACAUGUUGGGGGUGAUCUGUUUAAGUGCAUGUGUGAAGGUAUUAGGUGGAAAAAAUUCCACCUCAAUGAUGUGGUGGAAGGUGGAGCAAUUAUUUUGGUCUAGUAAAUCAUUUAUUUAAGCUUUUGGAGUGGAGGUGGGUUUUACUAUAGGCUCAGAGUUGGGCUCUUGCAAGACCUAGUGUAAGGUGGAGCAAUUAGUUUAGCCAAAUAACUCGAUAAUUCAAGUUUUUGAAGCAGAGAUGAGUCUAACUAAAUAUAUUGAUGGACUCAAAGUUAAGCUCCUUCUUCACCAUCUUCUCAAGUGAAGGUAUUGAAUUUCUUUUGUGCUCCUUACAAUUGUUAUACACUAGUCUCAACACUAGAUAUACUAAGACCGGUCAACAAAGUUUUGUAUCUAAGUGACGUGACAGAGUAUAAGUGACCAUUUAAUCAAGUGGGUCAUCGUCAAGACCUAAUAAAAAGCCUAUCAUGUCACUUAGUAUACUAUUUUCAGAUGUGAUCUCAAUAUACUUAGCCUCUUUUAUAGACAUUGCCAUUCCCAUAUAUGGGUUGAUUUCAUUGAAAUAUUCUACAUACACUUUUGGUUUAUUUGUUUGAAAGAAUAUCGUUUAUGGAAAAUGAUUUUCUGAAAUUCCAGCAUUUGGACAACAGAAAAACUAGCUGAUUUACAAAAAAAAAAAAAAACAAAAACAAAAACAAAAACAAAUUUCAUGAAUAGCAAAUAACUUCCUUUUUCUAAUGAAAAAGAAAUCACUAUUUCAUAUAUCAUCAAAUGAACGAAAAGUAAUUAUUUUUCUUGACAAAUAUUUUUAUGAAAUUUUUUUCCUUACAAGUUUUCGGUGAAAGAAACUCACUCACUCUCUAUAUGGCAUAUACGCUCAAGCUUUUGAAAAAUAUGGAUAUUCAACGCGUAUGGUUAUAUUAUUGUCGGGCAGGGGGGUUAACAAUAUAGCCAUGACAGAUUGCUUGCAUUUUCAACUUAUUUUCAACUUAGAAAGAUUACAUUUUAUGAAAGAAUCCUAACUUACCCUAAUCACAUCAGUCUACUCCAAAUCCUCUCCCCCCCCCCCCCCCGGGGGGCCCGGGGUCUCUCUCUUUAAUCGCCGUCUAUCUCGUGGCCUUGAUCCCGCUGAUGAUUGAGGCAACAGUAUCUACAGAGCCCCCUGCUCCAAAUCUAGCCUCCUCGUCAAGAUGCGAUGGUCAGAUCUCAACGAGGUCUCGAAGCAGCUCUAAAGAGGGAGAGGCAGAGAGAAGGGUUAAUAGCAGUGUUCCGUCGGAGUUUGAUGUGUCCAGAGCAAAUUAAUACAGUGGACAUACCUGAUGAAUUAUAACAAUGGGACAGAUGUGCAUAUAUUCCUUUAGGCUUUGCAUGGGAAUUGAGGGAAAAUGGAAAAUCAGGGUGAAAGAAUAAAAAGUUUAAACUGAAAAUGAGACAUAUGGUCAUCAAAAUGUUGAUUCAACAUAUAAUGUUGUUCGUAAACUUUUAACUUGUUCAAUAUGUUAAAUGAGGUUUCCAAACUAUUAAUAAAGCUUUUAAUCUAAUCUUUAAAUUAUAUGAAAAAUGCUUAAUGUCGAUUUUGCAUUAAUUUAAUUUAAUAGAAUAUGUUGAUACGAUUCCAACUUGUUAACUUUGAACAGUGCACAACAAACAAUAAUUACAUGUGAAUUAUCCAAAUGAGAUAUCUAUUUCAAAUAAGGAUAUAGUAAUCUACAUCAUUAAAUAACAAUGGACAUGUUAAAAAAAUUUCAUUUUCUAACAUAGAUGGAUAAAAAGCUGGACACGUUGACUCAUAAUUUUUUUUAAACUAAGUCAGCAUGUAAUAAUCAACGUCAUCAAGCAACAUCUAAUUUGGCUUUUGAACAAACGAAAAGACCAUGUUAAAUAUUUGUCAAUAGUUCAAGGACCAUAUUAAACAAAUUAAAAACAUAUGAAUAACAUUGCACGUUGAANNNNNNNNNNNNNNNNNNNNNNNNNNNNNNNNNNNNNNNNNNNNNNNNNNNNNNNNNNNNNNNNNNNNNNNNNNNNNNNNNNNNNNNNNNNNNNNNNNNNNNNNNNNNNNNNNNNNNNNNNNNNNNNNNNNNNNNNNNNNNNNNNNNNNNNNNNNNNNNNNNNNNNNNNNNNNNNNNNNNNNNNNNNNNNNNNNNNNNNNNNNNNNNNNNNNNNNNNNNNNNNNNNNNNNNNNNNNNNNNNNNNNNNNNNNNNUAAAAUUUCUAAGCUGGCGAUUUGACUCACAUCGCUCUCAAUCGAUCUAGAGCCAUUUGGUUUUUUGAAACGAUGAGUUAAUUAAAAUUCGAAACAUGAAGACUUAUCUGCAAACAAAUCAGCAUGGAUAUACUUCAUUUGUAUAGAUGAUACAGGCCGCCCUUGAUUUUUGUGGAAAAGUUACUAGUUCAGUACAAACCUAUUAUACGGAUAUUAAUGUAGGCUUAAACUUUCCAAUUUUGUUAAUAUAGUUCUAAAUAUUUGCGCAAAAUUUCAAUUUAAGCAUUCGACCGAUUGCCGCCAAAAAUCACUAACUUGGUGAUCCACAAAACAUCCAUGUUAACAUGUCACGUAAGAUGACUGGCGAUGAUUGAACACCACAUUAGCAAUUCCUGGCAAUAAUUGGCCAAAAACGUUACAUGGGAAUUUCACGUGGAGGUUUAGGACUACAUGACAAAAACUGAAUUGAUAUCCGCACAAUAGUUUUAAGAUUAAUUGAGUAAUUAUUCUAAUAUUUUUUAAAAUAUAUUUAUAGAAGGUCUCGAAGGACAUUAUUCAUGUGAUCUUUGGUAUUUAUUUUAUGCACAAUAACUUUAAGAUUGAUUGGGUAAUUAUCUCGGCUUUUUUAAAAAUAUGUUUCUAGAGGGUCCCCCAAGACCUGAUUCAUGUGAUCCUUGAUAAUUAUUGUAUGCACUUAUCUCGGUUUAAUAUAUAUAUGUUUCUAGAGGGUCCCGCAAGACAUGAUUCAUUUGUUUCAGUCGACCAAUCUUCACCCACUAACUAAUUCUUGCAGCGCGCACAUUGCAAAAAUCAAAUCUCUAUUUAAUUAAUAGCUCGUUAAUUUUGAUAAAUCGUUCACUAUUGAAUCAAUCUCAAUACACAUUGUCACAUUCUCACGGCUAGAAGGGAUGAACAAUCGGGUGAUGUAUCAUUGCUGUACUGAUCGAUGUAGGCCAAUGUACACAUGAACGUACACAGAAGACACGAUUUUCCUGUGAUUUCACUUGUGUAAGAGGGAAUCUCUGGANNNNNNNNNNNNNNNNNNNNNNNNNNNNNNNNNNNNNNNNNNNNNNNNNNNNNNNNNNNNNNNNNNNNNNNNNNNNNNNNNNNNNNNNNNNNNNNNNNNNNNNNNNNNNNNNNNNNNNNNNNNNNNNNNNNNNNNNNNNNNNNNNNNNNNNNNNNNNNNNNNNNNNNNNNNNNNNNNNNNNNNNNNNNNNNNNNNNNNNNNNNNNNNNNNNNNNNNNNNNNNNNNNNNNNNNNNNNNNNNNNNNNNNNNNNNNNNNNNNNNNNNNNNNNNNNNNNNNNNNNNNNNNNNNNNNNNNNNNNNNNNNNNNNNNNNNNNNNNNNNNNNNNNNNNNNNNNNNNNNNNNNNNNNNNNNNNNNNNNNNNNNNNNNNNNNNNNNNNNNNNNNNNNNNNNNNNNNNNNNNNNNNNNNNNNNNNNNNNNNNNNNNNNNNNNNNNNNNNNNNNNNNNNNNNNNNNNNNNNNNNNNNNNNNNNNNNNNNNNNNNNNNNNNNNNNNNNNNNNNNNNNNNNNNNNNNNNNNNNNNNNNNNNNNNNNNNNNNNNNNNNNNNNNNNNNNNNNNNNNNNNNNNNNNNNNNNNNNNNNNNNNNNNNNNNNNNNNNNNNNNNNNNNNNNNNNNNNNNNNNNNNNNNNNNNNNNNNNNNNNNNNNNNNNNNNNNNNNNNNNNNNNNNNNNNNNNNNNNNNNNNNNNNNNNNNNNNNNNNNNNNNNNNNNNNNNNNNNNNNNNNNNNNNNNNNNNNNNNNNNNNNNNNNNNNNNNNNNNNNNNNNNNNNNNNNNNNNNNNNNNNNNNNNNNNNNNNNNNNNNNNNNNNNNNNNNNNNNNNNNNNNNNNNNNNNNNNNNNNNNNNNNNNNNNNNNNNNNNNNNNNNNNNNNNNNNNNNNNNNNNNNNNNNNNNNNNNNNNNNNNNNNNNNNNNNNNNNNNNNNNNUAGUCCAUUAUUGAGAUGGAACAUGACUCCUUUCUCACCCUCUUUUUAAUGAUGACAAAAAGGGGGAGAACCAAUUUGAACAAACAUUAUUUUAAAACUUUAUUUGAAGUGACUUUUGUGUUUAUGUUUAUUUUUUAGUAUGACUUGAGAACUUGAACUUGACAGUGCACAACAAACAAUAAUUACAUGUGAAUUAUCCAAAUGAGAUAUCUAUAUCAAGUAUUGUUACAUGGUAUUACUCAUGAAAGACUAACCAAUUUGCUGUGGAUGCAGAGUCUGGUUGUUUAUUAAUCUUUAUGAGUUAGCCAUAUUGCUUGAGAAAUGUUUUUGCAGGUCAAAGUUGUUCAAAUCUUCAAGAAAGUUUUGUCACCAUCAAAAAGGGGGAGAUUGUUGGAGAAAUCUUUCCAGAAUAUUUUGAAGCUGACAAAACAUUUCUAUCAGUCUAAGUCUGGAUAUCGAUAGUUAAAGUCUCAAGAAUUUAUAGUCUCAAGACUUUGUUAUCUCAAGACUCAAGACUCAAGACUCAAGACUCAAGACUCAAAAUUAUUCUCACUGACAGUCUUUCUAAUCCAGUGUUGAAGGAAAUCCAAAGUCGAGGUUUAUGGUUGAGGAUUUGAUUCUAUCCUCUGGAAUAGAUUCUUUGGUUGGAUAAUCAUUUCGGAUUCUUUAAUUCUUAUCUAAGAACAAUUGAAGAUCCGAUGGUCGACGAAAUAAUCUUGGAUUAUUCUAUUCUUGGAAACCGAGAUCCUGAUUGUAUGGGCGAACAGGAUUGAUGGGCUAUCAUCAGAUUCCUUAAAUAGCUCGGAUGAUCUUCUUGAUUGAUUCCGUCCAACGGGUAGAUUGGAGGAAUUCCUUUGGUAAGUGCCAACGGCUAUGAUGGCAUGAAGGAGUAUAAAAGGAAGAUGUUCUAGUUGUUUUAAGUGUGUGAUCGAUAGAAAAAUUCCAGAGUCUGAAGAUCCUUGAUUGUUAGUCGAGACUGAGCGAAAUUGUACACAGAGAGUGUUUAUACUUGGUAACGCCUUGAGCGAGUGUGGUAGAUCAUCUACACCUAGAAAUCAAGGAAGAUCAACACUGUAACAACUCUUUGAUCAUAGUGGAAUCCAGCCAAUCGGCUGUCAGUGCAGAAGAGUGGACGUAGGCUUGAAUUAAGCCGAAUCACUAGAAACUAAGUGUUCAAUUCUCUCUUUCCCUUACUCAGUCUUGCGAUUGAAUUUUUAACUGUUGCAAAUUCUCUAAUUGUUUAAAUAUCGUGCAAGCUUCGAGAAAUUUUUUUGUAUACCUAUUCACCCCCCCUCUAGGUACUCGUACUAGCUAUUUCACAAACGAAAAGACUAUGUUAAAUAUUUGUCAAUAGUUCGAGGACCAUAUUAAAAAAAUUAAAAACAUAUGAAUAACAUUGCACGUUGAAUUAAAGUUAAUGAAUCACUUGUGUCAUUUUCCUUUUAAAAGUUCGUGAUGAGGGAGACAAGGGAAAAUUGAAAAAAAAAUUAUUUAAAGAUUGUUACUUUCUUAAAAUAUUUUCUAUUUCAAAUUUUUACAAUACUUCAAUAUUGAUUGAAAAUCUAUAAAAUUAGGAAGUUCACACUACAGAACAAAAAUUAAAAAUUAAAAGGCUAAUCAAUGGCCUCUAAACUUUACCGGCAUCGUGAUUCCGAAUCUUGUAAAAUUUCUAAGCUGGCGAUUUGACCUCCACAUCGCUCUCCAAUCGAUCCUAGGAGGCCAUUUGGUUUUUUGAAACGAUGAGUUAAUUAAAAUUCGAAACAUGAAGACUUAUCUGCAAACAAAUCAGCAUGGAUAUACUUCAUUUGUAUAGAUGAUACAGGCCGCCCUUGAUUUUUGUGGAAAAGUUACUAGUUCAGUACAAACCUAUUAUACGGAUAUUAAUGUAGGCUUAAACUUUCCAAUUUUGUUAAUAUAGUUCUAAAUAUUUGCGCAAAAUUUCAAUUUAAGCAUUCGACCGAUUGCCGCCAAAAAUCACUAACUUGGUGAUCCACAAAACAUCCAUGUUAACAUGUCACGUAAGAUGACUGGCGAUGAUUGAACACCACAUUAGCAAUUCCUGGCAAUAAUUGGCCAAAAACGUUACAUGGGAAUUUCACGUGGAGGUUUAGGACUACAUGACAAAAACUGAAUUGAUAUCCGCACAAUAGUUUUAAGAUUAAUUGAGUAAUUAUUCUAAUAUUUUUUAAAAUAUAUUUAUAGAAGGUCUCGAAGGACAUUAUUCAUGUGAUCUUUGGUAUUUAUUUUAUGCACAAUAACUUUAAGAUUGAUUGGGUAAUUAUCUCGGCUUUUUUAAAAAUAUGUUUCUAGAGGGUCCCCCAAGACCUGAUUCAUGUGAUCCUUGAUAAUUAUUGUAUGCACUUAUCUCGGUUUAAUAUAUAUAUGUUUCUAGAGGGUCCCGCAAGACAUGAUUCAUUUGUUUCAGUCGACCAAUCUUCACCCACUAACUAAUUCUUGCAGCGCGCACAUUGCAAAAAUCAAAUCUCUAUUUAAUUAAUAGCUCGUUAAUUUUGAUAAAUCGUUCAACUUUAGUCAUAUAAUAUUUAGCUAUUUAUAUAGAUUAGCAGAUUUUAUUGAUCUAGCCCAUUGUUCAAAUCUUUGGCCAACAAAAGACAAGGAUUUUUACGUUAAUUUCACCUCUAAAAGAGAGAAUCUUAGAGCGGUAAGAUCAUCCCCAUCUUAUACUCGUGUUCCAUGGCUAAGAUGGAAGGAUUAUUUACAUUGCUUUAUGUAUGUAGGUGAAACUGGGAUUGGCCAAUUUUGUUGAGGAUUCAAAGGCGCAAUCAACGAUCUAAGUAUGUAUAUGUGCAUCCAUCGCCCAAUAUAUGCAUGUAUGAAAUUGUUGUCGUGGCCAAAAUAGAAAAAAAAAAUGUGGAAGCUGUAUGAUUGUUGUCAUAUCGACUCAAAAGUAUCAAUACCACGUGAAUUUAGCACUCUAGAUUUCUGGUUAUCCAGAAAUCACCAGAAAUCUAGAGUGCUAAAUUCACAAAAUGAGAACAAUCUUGCAAACACACAAGUUUGUGUGAAAACACAGGACUUUCUCUCUCUAAAUGUAUUCUGAUUAAGAAUGAAGAAGUUUUUGUUCUCCAAUCGAGACACUUAUUGGUGAUAGAGGAAAGUGUAACCUAAAAUGGAUAAAACAUCUAAUCUAUAUCACAAAAUAGCAACAAAUUCAUAAUUUCUAUCUUCAAAUAAUAGUUUUGUAAACUAACUUAAUCCUUAUAAUAAUUUCUAUCUUAAUCCUGUAAAUCAAAUACUCAUUUGAAUAAUAUUUAUUUAAAUUACUGCUAUAUCUGGAAGUCAACAUACAUUGGAUGAGAUAUUUAAAAUCAUAUCAUAUCCUUGUCUUAUCUGAUAUUAUUUUAUCAAACAAAAAUGUCCGAAUGGCCAAAUGUAGUGUAAGCAACUUUCAUACUUAAUCUCCUGGGAUGUCUUCUUGUAGUGUAGGCAACUUUCAUACUUAUCCCAUCCCUAAUGUAAGCAACGUUCAUGCUAACGUCACACUCACAUUGGAUAUCCCAAUCCUAAUCUCCAGCGAUGUCUUCUACUCAAGCCAUCAUAUGAUUUGACAACACUACUAAUCGUCCUUCGGAAAACAGAGGUGCUCCAAUUUAUAAUAAACUUUCGCGCUUUUGUCAUGCUCAAAUAUCAUGUCUGAACCCUAAUGCAAAGGGGGUGUCAUCAUCCAUUAGAAUUGACAACACUUCUGAAAAAUCGGACCUGGGAAAAUGGAGGAAGUCCUUGCGAGGAUUUUAAGGAGAGAGCUAGCUUCGCAACUUAACUCUCUCUCAUUGAAACCAAAAAAGAAAACGACAACAGUGAAAAUAAUAAUAACCAUUUAUAACCUUCUUUCCUUAUACAAUUGUAUUCUCGACUUUUGAAAUAUACAGUUUGUACCGUGGAUCAAGGCAUAUGCUUCAAACCAUGGGGUCUAGAAAAGUUAUGUAAAAUGGUCAACGCCAGGUUUGGUUUUUUCUAAGGAAAAAACAAGGUGCAAAGAAUAGACAGAGAGCAUUAAUUUUGAUAUUAUAAAACUAUUGGAUGGAAAAUGUAACUAAUGGGAAAACUGAGGAUCACUUUUCUGAUUCUAAGAUACUAUAUAAUAAGAUGAUAGGUUGAAUAAUGGACGGAAAGAAUAUUACGCUUGGCGCAAACAACAAGAAAGCAAAGGUAAGUGCUAGAAAGAGAAUGGAACCCCGAAAUGGUUGAAAGUAAGCAAUGACUCAGAUAUCAUACUAAAUGAUUUAACUUAGAAAUUUAAAGGCCUGUUUUUUUUUUCUCGAAAUUCAAAGGCUUGUUCAAGAGAUAAGUAUUUUCAUCCUUCUCGUUCAAGACUUGAGUUUGAAUCAUCAUUCUUCUUUUGAGACCACUCCAAAAAAUAUAAAGAUGCGUGUCUCGAACCAUUAGAAGCUUACCCCACUAUUACCAUUCUAAAAUGGGAAUGAGGAGGAGGAGAGGUCCGAACUUCAAGUGGGUCAGUGGACCCACCGAGGAGCUUUAAAGUUUGGGAAUACACUUGACAGGAAAAAAAAAAGAAAAAAAAAACAUAUAUGUGUCUUCAUUAAUUAUUCAGCUGGUAUAUAUGGUCUAGGAGGACAAGCACAUAUUGUAAGAAUUAGUCAAAUGUUCAAAAUAUUCUGGACAACCUAUUGAAAAUUUGAAUAAUAAUCUAACCCUGAAACUUAGAUGGUCAAGAAGGCGAUGCAAAUUUUAUCUAUCAUAAAAUGAAGAUUAAACGGCUAAGUGAAUUACCACCCUAACAAAUAAAAUAAUGAAUGCACACCUUUUUUUUGUCCUUCUCAAGCAAGAUCCUAAAUCUUCUCCAUUGGCGAUGGAUCCAAAAGAAUGGGUAGAGUCGAUGUGGCCUUCCUGCCGCCGCAAGAUUCAGCCUAGUCCCAGAAAAUAUAAAUACAAGAAACUUUUCUUAGAAAAAAAAAAAAUCAAAUCGACAUUAAAAUAGUUAAUCUUUUACGAGUGGAAAUUAUGGCAUUCAUUGCAUAUUUAGUAAUGACUGUCCUUUUCUUGGGGAUGCUAGAACAAAUAUAAACCAAUCAAAGCAAAAUUUAAAGUACAGGGACAUGUGUACCUCCUACAGUAAUAAUAUCACGACAUUUUUUAUUAUAGGAUUACGGAAAGCUAUCUCUAAAGAGAUAGGCACCGCCAUUUAAUUUAAAUUUUGGUCACUUAAUGAUGGGUUUUAUGGUUGUUAGGCCACCCAUAUUAGGCUAACCUAGGCCGUAAUUAAAAUAGACCCACAAUUAAAAGAAAAGAAAUAACCACCAUAAGGCAAUUAUUGUGGGUUACUUCUUAAAGGGAAAAGAACAUUUUCUUAUUAAGAGAAGUGCUUAUUGUUAAAAAGUGAGAAUGAACAUAAAAAAAAAAAAAAAAAAAAAAAAAAAAAAAAAAAAACAUGAUAACUCUAUAAUAAUAGAGUUUUUUUUACCUAUUUUAGGCAAAAAUAUAGUAUUUCAUAAUACAAUAUUUGUUAAAAAAAUCGAUUUCCUUCUAUUUAAGCAAAUAUUCCUUAUUUAUGCGGAAUAAUGAGAUAUGGAUAAAAUAAGAAAAAUAAAAAGGACAAAAAGAAGGAAAGGAAAAUUCUGUCAUUUAGGAUUUCAAAUAAAUAAAAACAUUAGAAGAUGGAUACCAAAUCAAAAAUUCUGAGAUUUAUUCACUAAUUUUACGCGAAAAAAAUAAGCAAUUGCGUUGUGUUAGGAUUCUUGAUUAUAUUUUAUAAAUAGGAUAAUAUAGAUAGAUGGUUUUUUUUUUUUUUGGUUUUUUAGAUCGUUUUGUUUUCAUUAUUCUAAGAGUUUUUCAAGUAUUUUAAAGAGAAUAUAAAAGUGAUGAUAGAAUUCUUGUUCUUGGACUUGAGAUGCUUGGUUUGAUUUAUAUUUUUAUUUCUUCUUCUACUAUCUUCUAAUUUUCUUUUGUUACGGCUACAAUGUAGCCUAACCAUGAUGAUUUCAUGAUUUUUAUGCGUGCAAGUAACUUCAUUCAUGUAAGUUAUAUUAUUAUUGUGCUUAAUGCUUUUAAGUGACUGUCUCAUGUGUAUAUUUGAGAUUGAAAAAUGAUAAUUUGUAAUUGCUCCUUAUAAUAUAUAAUAGUAAAUUAAACGUUGAUAAAGAUAUAUCACGUUAUUUGUAUAGCUUUCGAUGAGAAGGUGAUAUAGAAGAUUUAUUGUAAGCCAUGAAUAUUCAUAGAUUUUAAUGCACUUAUGUUUAUUUAAAUUUACAUAGAGAUAUAAUAAAUUAAUAAACUAAGUAUAUUUGUUAUACCUAGAGAUAGGAUAGUAAACAGAUUAGGAAAUUCUAUUAUCACAUGUUUGAUAUCAUUAUUGUAUGCAUAACAAUCUGAAAUUCAUAUCUAUAAUUAUGCUAAAAUCGGAUGCUCUGACAUAUUUAUCUGAUUUAUUUACUAUAUUUAGUUUCUAAAUUUUUCUUUUAAGAUUUUAGUUUUAAUUUAUUCUUAAUUCUAUUUUUGAUAUGUCAAAUAAAUUUUAGAAUUAAUCUAUUUUUAAUAUUUAAUUAGUUUAUUAAUCAUAAAUCUCCAUGGGACGAUACUCUUUCUCAUAAUUAUAUUACUUAUUCAAUAUGUUCACUUGCAUUUAGAAUCUUACGAACAAAACCUCCCUCUCACUCAUGAAGGAAAUCACUCUCACUCAACAAAUAAAAAGGGAGUAUUUACUUUCAUGACACUACAAUAAGGGUGUAUUUAAUUCAUGAAAAAUAAGGUACAUCCCUUUGGCCAUGUGCUUUUCGAUCGGCGAUUCAAGUUUUCUUGGACAUGUUUCUUGUAUGUGGUUCUUGCAUUACACAAUGAUAUGUAAUUAGAAAUUCUUUCCUUCACUUAGUUUACUGAGGUAAAUGAUACCACAUCAAUUUUGAUGCAUGUACAAGAAUUUUCAAUUUUCAAUGCUUGGGAACAUUUUGCACAACUCUAGCGAUCACUUAUAAGCUGCACCUCACCAUCAACGGCGAAAUGGCAACAAUAGUCACGAUGCUGGAGUGUGGGAAAUGGCUCAAAUGAAUUUAGACCAAUUACUGAAGAAAAAUAUUAGUCAUACUGCAUAGAUUCCUAAUUCUAGGAUACUUUCUUUUCUGGCAAGAUAGGCUAAAGCUCAACUUGAAAAAUCACACGGGGAACGAUCAAAAAUUCCGAAAAAGUCACAUGAAAUAUGCCCAGAAAUCGCUUGCGUUGGAUCCACUACACUUACAAACUAUAAUCUUUGUCCAAGCUCAUUUAACUUGUAUUUCGAUAUCGUUAUUGCCAUUAAAUUUCGGCAUUGUCACGAUGUGAUUACUCUUAUCCUCGUGCACAACUGGAGUGGUUACGCGAACGCGCUCGAAGUCAAAGCACUUAUCGGAAAUCUUGGAUAUUCAUUUAUGCAGGGAUCAAAUCAAAGAUUGUACUAACUUCCCCAUAACCAAAUCAUUUUGCAAAAACCACGAGGUUUCUUAUUGCAAGCACAACUAAACACGAACAUGAUACACGAUUCUGAUAUUUCCAAAACCCAAUUCAACUUCACAUCACCUGGUGAACCGACUUUACUUAUUUAAUCAACAUACAUUAAAGUACUAGAUUUCUCAACCAUAAUAAGGCACAAACUUCACAUAUGAUCAGUCAUGCCACGAUCUUCACCCUCAUGCGCUUAAAACGUGAGCAUCGAUGUCCUUGGUCAUGUCGAUGAAGAACGCCAUGUACUUGUCGGGGUUAGGGUCGCUCUCCUUGUACUUCUCGUACUCGAUGCUCAACUUAGCCAGACUGCCUUUCUCCUUCGGGAUGAGCUUGCAUACAGGCUUGUAGACCUUCAACUCGUCGAAGACGUCGCCCUCGAUGCCAUGGAGGGUGAAUGACAUGUUGUCAUCGUCGAACUCAACCUUCUCUUUGAACACCCCUGAUUUUCCUUCUAUAUAAUUGCACCAGCCAAAAAAAAAAGAAGUUUAGGAGUUAGGAAAUAUGUAUAGGGUCAUCAGUUGAAUUUCAAUGACAACAUCGAGUAAAUUAGUAACUCGAGAGACGAAAAUUGAAUCAAUUACCAACGGUGUAAUUCCAAAUCUUGAUAGCUCCAUGUUGAUCCCAGUCACCUUCAUGAACUUUGACUCCUUGAAUGUUUUUGGAGGUGGCGGUGGGCAUUUUGUGGGAUUCGCUCCUCCAGAUCUUGAAGAACUUGUCAGCCGGUGAUUGCAGUUCGACUUCAGCUUCUAAUUUUCCUUGCAAUU